rnacentral:lncRNA from 1 species
AGUAUCUACCAAGGUUCCGGCCAGAGAACUUGGCUCACAACACGAAGUUAUUUGACCGAGUGAAUGGAAUUGCACAAAGAAAGGGAUGCACCACAUCGCAGUUAGCCCUCGCCUGGGUACACCACCAGGGUGAUGAUGUUUGCCUGAUUCCCGGCACGACCAAGAUCGAGAAUUUCAACUAGAACAUUGGAGCUCUGUCAGUGAAGCUUACACCGGAAGAGAUGGCCGAGCUUGAAUCGAUUGCUUCUGCAGACAGUGUCAAGGGUGGCAGGUACGAUGGAAGCAUGUCUACAUGGGAAAACUCCGACACUCCACCCCUUUCUUAAUAAAAUUAUGUGUUUUUCUAGUAAGGGAUGUUGCGAAAACUUUAUUGUCUUUUGCAUGCGUAAUUAUAACUAUGAGUGUAACUAUGCGUAAUUACAACAUGUGGCGUCACACAAUCCUCAGCACUUGAAUUGGGGUCUAUCAAGGUAGUGCUUGAGUCUAUGAUGCUCAAGCUCUAUUCAAUAGCACUUAGGCUCGGGUCCGCAAAGAUUGUGCAUCAGUCCUCAAUGCUUGAGGUCGGCUCGUUAGUUAAUAAAACGUUUGUUCUUAUAAAAAUAAUUAUUUUUAAAAAAUCUAUUUUUUUAUAUUAUUUGUUUUCUUUCUUUUUAUUUUCCUUCUUCUCGGCUAGUUGCCAACCAUGGCGCCGAUUGCGCCUGAUAACAAGCACCGGAUGAGCUAGCCCAAGGCCAAGAAGACUUGAGAUUGCUGAUUUGGCAAGCUUGAAGCUGGUCAAGUGCAAGCUCGAGUUUCGCCCCGUGGCUAGUCGCCAACUACCACCGUGGCUAGCGUUCGGUCGAGGAAGAAGAAAAAGAAAAAUAAGUAAAAAUCUGAAUAUUUUGUAAUCUUCUAUAGGGAAAUCAAAUAAGAUUUUUCAUAUUAAACGAUAAAAAAUAUUUUCUAGUUUAUUUUUAAGACUUAACCAAAUAUUGAAAAUGACUUUUUGUAAAAUAUUAUUCAAAUAUGUCAUAUUUUUUGCGAAACAAACGGUACAUAAAUUUAAAUUUGAUAAUUGUCCUUGUUAAUUUGGUACACAUUAUCUGUCUCUUUGUUUUGUUGCUGAACUGAUGCUAAUCUCUAGAUGAAGCUUGACUAGUUUCAAUAGGCGGCUUGACUUUUGCGCUUCCUUUUUUUUAAAACCCAAAACACUCAAAACUUUCGUGAUACACGACUUUCGACAUGCAGAGUUACAAUCACUUCAAAUAAUUUAUCUGAAAAUUGUAUAGUGGGCCAUCCGAGAAAGGUGAGGGCAACUUGUCCCCCUAGAAAUUGUCAUGACGUGGAACUCUUGACAUGAAUUGAAGUGACUUUUGUUAAGAGUUAACUAGUCAAGAUCGGGCCACAUCUGUCCAUUCAUGUCCGCCACAUCCGGCCCCUCCAAUCGGACUCCCCGGCGAAAAGAUUCACGGACACGUGGCUGGAUCUAGAAAGUCACGGGUUUGACUUGUCUUUUGUGUCACUAUCAAGAAUGUGCAUGGUCCGGACGGGCGAUUCCCGACCUAGAAUCGGGAACUGCUUGCUAAGGACCGAUUCCAAAACAUUGAAACGGAGAUCCACCAGUUAGUUGAAUGAAUCCACUUGGGAACCAGAUCGCUGAUUCAGUCCGAUUUCUAGGUGGAUCUAUGGAACCGAUCUUGACGCUAAAUAAUUUUAUUUUCAAUAUAGAACGACUACGUGAUUUCCAUAACAACAGCUGGAGAGGUUGUAGAAGGAUAUCAUGGUAGGCACUUACGAUAAUCGUGAGGAAAUGAUAGCAAUUUUGGUUAAACUUGUUUUCUAUCAUGGCUAUCAUGGGUCGAAUAAAAUUUUGCAAGCAAAUUUCGUGUCCUAGGCAUUUUUUUUCUCUUAGGUGUGAUGCUUUAAAAACCCUCUAUGUGAUGCUUAGGAACCUUUGUUUGUGAUGAAGCCUAAAGAUUUAUUCCUUGUUGUGGACUUGUUGUCCUACAUCAAAAUCUCUCAGUCAAACUUUUUUGCUUUGUUUUGGUAAGUCUGUAUAAGGUAUAUUACAGAAGUUGCAUUACGAGAUAUUUCUUCCUUAUUGUCUUUUUAGUUUAACUAAGGCCAAAUUGUUUUGGCAUUUUUCCAAGCAUUUCAUUAUGGAAUGAUGAUAAGAAGCGAUCUUGACUUAAUGCUUUUAGUUAUUUGAUUUGGAUUUAUUAAUUAGUAAUUUCAUUUUUUAAUAUUAAAAAUUAAUAUAUUAUUUUAAUAUAAUCGGUUCGGUCUAGGUGGGCGGGUAGAUAGAUCCGCUCAUGGAACUGGGAACCAGACUGGUACUCACCGGUUCCCAUAAAUUGGAAUCGAGAACCGGACCGGUUCCCUUAAAAACUACCGGUUCUGGGCGGUCCAAGCGGGUUUCGGUUAUUUUGCACAAAGAAUUAAAAAUUCAAUUUUUUUUAAAAAUAUUUUAAAAAGAAUUAUAAAAAUUUUCAUUAAAUUUGUAUUGCAUAAAAAUGUUUUAACAAUACUUUUUUUUAAAUAAAAAAAUCAUAAAAACGAGCUUUUUAAGGGUUAAUUAUUUUUUUUAUGUUAUUGUUUUUAGUUAUUCAAAGGUAUGUUUACUUCAAAUAAGGGAAGCAUGUGCAUAGUUUAAUUCUUUAUAAAUAUUUAAAUGUUUUUUUAAACUUUUCUUAUUUUAUUUUAUUUUCUAUUUUUAAUUUAAUUUGAAGAUUUAAUCUAAUUAGCAUAUAAUAGAAGUGGAUUUUCCUAAAAUAUUAAGAGGUUUUAGCAAUACGAGUUGGAUCGGGUAUGUGUCGGGUAUAUAUGAAUAUGGAUCAGAAUAAGUUAAAUAGAUCAAAUAUGAGUUCAUUCGUUUUCGACCGGACUCAAAUCCGGCUUGAUCCGGUUUCGACCCAACCCAAAUCCGACUCGAUCCACUCAUUUAACGGGUCUAGAUUGAAUUGACGUAAGCACGUGCGUCUUCGUAGCUACUGCCGCUCCCCUCCUAUAAAUCUCGGCUCGCCCGACAUCUUAGCCAUCGUCACGGUGCAGUGCAGGGAACGAGCGAGCUCGAGCUAGACGACGGCAAUGGCAGCGUCGACGACGACGGUGGGGAGGAUCAAGCUGGGGUCGCAGGGCAUGGAGGUGUCGGCGCAGGGGCUGGGCUGCAUGGGCAUGUCCAUCGGCUACGGCCCUCCCAAGCCCGACCCCGACAUGAUCGCCCUCAUCCACCACGCCGUCGGCUCCGGCGUCACCUUCCUCGACACCUCCGACAUCUACGGCCCCCACACCAACGAAAUCCUCCUCGGAAAGGUCGGUUCUCUCAGUCUCUCUUUUGCCUCCGCAUGAAUCAUACGUGCUUAUAGUGUUACGGAAUUCAGCUUCAUCGAGCAGGAUGCUCCGAUCCUGCGCCUUGGUUUUCUGAUUUCGGGGUUGAUUUUGAGCAGGCACUGAAGGGAGGGGUGAGGCAGAAGGUGGAAUUGGCGACCAAGUUCGGAGUCAGCUUCGCGGACGGGAAGAGGGAGAUCCGGGGCGAUCCGGCGUACGUGAGGGCUGCUUGCGAGGCCAGCUUGAGGCGGCUCCACAUCGAUUGCAUUGACCUCUACUACCAACAUCGCAUCGACACUCGCGUCCCCAUCGAAGUCACUGUAUGGAUCCCACAUCAAACCUUUACCUCUCUCGGGACUUUCUCCGAGUGAUCAGUUGCUAAAUUAGAAUGGUGUUGAUGAUGCAUCAUCAUCAAGAUAUCGUUAAAUGUGACUUGAGUUCAGAUGAUAGCAGAGUUCAAGAUGUGGCACGGUGUUGUUCAAGGGAUUGCGGAAUUUAGUAGUUUAUAUGGCUUGAGUUUUUGUUUUAUGGGUCAACAAGCAUGAAAAUUAUUCGAAAUCCAGGGUUCACCCUGAUUUAUAUCUGAGAAUCACAUUUGAAGUUGUUCCUGGACUUUCUGCGCAGACAUUUGGUUCUUGACUUGUCAUUGUGAAAUAUGACAAGUACUUGGAAUACUUCUUUAAUUUGCCUUCUUCUGUGAUAGAUUAGAGAGAUCCAUUUCCGUUAACGAUACCUUGCCAUUUUCUUGUUGCAUUGAGAUGCAUAAAGAUUGACUAUUUUUUGCUAGGAGCUACCUAAUCAAAUUGUAAUGUUUGAGAAGUCAGGGAACACAAACUAUUCAGGCAUCAGGACACAAGAAAAACUAAUGAUGUUCAAUAACUUCUGGAUCUUAACACGUAAGAUUUUGACGAUUGUUGUUUUGUCAUGUGAAUAUGCACAGGUUGGAGAGCUAAAGAAGCUCGUUGAAGAGGGUAAGAUAAAGUACAUCGGUUUAUCCGAGGCCUCUGCAUCAACAAUCAGAAGAGCACAUGCUGUUCAUCCCAUCACAGCAGUGCAAUUGGAGUGGUCGCUUUGGUCAAGAGAUGUGGAGGCAGAGAUCAUUCCCACGUGCAGGUAGGAUAUCACUGUUUAUUUGUUUAUGCAGUAACAACAUCUUUCUUCUGACUCUGCUCUUCCUUAAAAUGUUGACUAGGGAGCUUGGCAUUGGAAUUGUUGCCUACAGUCCUCUUGGACGAGGAUUCUUUUCUGUUGGCUCCAAGUUGGUGGAGAAUCUCUCUAAGGAUGACUUCAGACAGGUCUGUUUCUGCUGGUUAACAUAAUUAGAUGCUCACAGUUACUGUCAUUCCCAUUGAAGUGCUGGAAACCUGUUCUUAUUCUAUAAAGAAAAAGUUUGUGACACGAAUGCUUCAUAUUCUUAUUCGAUCCAGCACUUGCCAGUCAUCCCACCUCUCGUGAUUCUAGAUAAAUUUAAAAAUCACAAGUAAUGGCUUUAAUGAGCCUGAAAGGGGCAGUUUUCUGGAUUCUCGUGCUUUUGGGAAUGAACAAAUAUAGGUUUAUUUGUAAGUUGCUCCGUUUCCCAGCUUUCCCACCAUUUGCUUAUCACUAUCCUUUCCCCACUUUCCACCCGCCCUUUUUCUCUCAUAUCUCUUCACAAGAUUAGCAAUAUUUGCUCAAAAUAACCGAGACCAGUAUCGGGCCUUGGCCUCCGUCCUUUUUGUUUCUCAUCUUUCUUCACAAGAUAAAUUAUAUCUUGACACAACCAUUUCUUGAGCGAGGACUCCCUAACACCCUUCUUAUGAGAGUGUUGGGAUCAAGUUCCCAUCUGACAUAAAGCCAAUUGUGUAUUACUCCUGGCCAUUAGUGUUUGAGUAGCGAUAGUGCUGGGCAAGUGAAGUAGCUAUUUUUCUUUGUAGCUAAAUGAGCUUUGCGUCUGAUAACAUUCUUCUACACGUCAUCUACCUUUUGUGAUUUUUUUUUCUUAUGUGUGACUAAUGUUACCAUCACACGUACAAAACUUAGAUUGUCUAGUUUGUUUCUGUUUUCACUUCCUACAUCAAACCCAUCAGCCUUGUGUGGUAGUUGCUAGAUCACUUCGCUCGACGUUUCUAGUUCUUAUGAUUUGGGGCUAGGUAUUUUAAUCAUUUCAAGAUAAUCAUAACUGAUCAUGCUUUUCCAGGUACACAACAAUUGUGCACUUCUAAAUGCUUAUUAGGUCAAGUAACAAGGCAAUCUGUUGGCAUGCAAUGCGAUCACUUUUGCACCUUGCUGCUGUAGAAUUUGGCCUUAAAAGGAAAAUGAUAGUUGCUCAUAUGCUUUCUGCUGAGACAUUGCUCUAUGUUAUGCAGAACCAACCAAGGUUCCAGCCAGAGAACUUGGCUCACAACAUGAAGUUAUUUGACCGAGUGAAUGAAAUUGCGCAAAGAAAGGGAUGCACCACAUCGCAGUUAGCCCUUGCCUGGGUACACUACCAGGGUGAUGAUGUUUGCCCGAUUCCCGGCACGACCAAGAUCGAGAAUUUCAACCAGAACAUUGGAGCUCUGUCAGUGAAGCUUACACCGGAAGAGAUGGCUGAGCUCGAAUCAAUUGCUUCUGCAGACAAUGUCAAGGGUGGCAGGUACAAUGGAAACCUCUCUCCAUGGGAAAACUCCGACACUCCACCCCUUUCUUCUUGGAAACCUGCCUAGAAACAUGUCUACUUCUGUUGCUGCGUCUUUGAUAUGCAGAGUUUGUGCAUUUGCCGCUGAAGUAAUUUGAGGCUAUGUUGUGUGGCUGUUAUAAGUACGUGUAAUAAGAGAGUGACUGUUUUCGUUUUGUACAUGUGACAUUCACUAUGAGAAGAUUAUGGAUAUGUUCUAAGCUUACUGGGGAAAGAUCACCCGCUAACACGAGAGCAAGUUUUUUAUGAACCGAGCUUGCCGUGCCGACUUUAUCGGGGUGACUUUUAGAAUAUGAGAAAUUGGGAUUUUGAAGAAUUCAAACUCAGUCAUACAUACUAGAGUGAUGCUUUAUUCUCCUCCAACUAGUCUUGGUCCAGUUUCCAGAGAGAUUAGGUCGAUCCUUGGUCCUAGAAUUUCAGGACUAGCACUGUGCGGGUCGAUUCUUAGUCCUAAGAGUUCUAGGUCGGUCCAAUCCAAACCAACCUUAUAUAUAUAUAUAUAUAUUAUUUAUAAUUUUUUUAUAUAGAGAAAACCUUAAAACAAACGGCGUCAAUAACAUUAAAGAGUUAUUUAGUAAAGAGUUCAAGUAAUUUUACAUUGUUCUUUAAUAUUUUAGAUUUUUAAUGUCUUUUACGAUAUUAAUAGUCAUAAUUUACGAAGGAGGAAAUUGUUUUUGUAAGGAGUCCUCAUGAUAUCUAAAAAGGUAUAAAUGGCAUCAUUCUUUAGUAUUCGUUCUCUUUGGUUUUAUUCGUUCUCUUAAUUAUCAAUUUGCCAAAAUUGAAAGAAGCAAUCGCUCACUUUGGGUCACUCCUGCCGCUCGCCGCUUAAUGCUCGCUUGGCUUGUUGCUCCAUGCUCGAUAUUCGAUAUUUAUUCUGUUCGACGCUCACCCCACUUGACUCUCGUUGCUUGCCUUUUUUAGUUGACCUUGCUCAUCAUCGAAUCCAUUAGGUCAAUAUGGUCCUCAGUUGCUUUUUCAAGGAUUACAAAAAAUGAAAUAAAAAAUUAUUAAUUAGUCCUAAGUUGACCUUGAAACCAGACCGAACCCAUUGGGUCCGUUUGAUCUUCAAUCGCUUUUUUAAGGUGUACAAAAAAUGAAAUAAAAAAUUAUUGGUUGGUCCCGGGUUGACCCUAGAACUGGACCGAACCCAUUGGAUCAGUUCGGUCAUUGGUCCUAAGCUUAAUAGGGUUGGUUCUCGGUCCAAAAAACUGAGGACCAGCAUUGUGUGAGUUGGUCAUAGGGUUAGGGGGUGAACCGGCCCAACCUGGACCAUACUCACUCCUACCUCUAACCAUGAGUUCAAUACUAGCACCAUGUGCAACAUACUCUUAGGACUGGAUGCUACACAUAGAUACAACGCUUCGCUUUGUGUUUGGUUUCGUAGCGAAGUAAAGGAACAGUAAAAUGCUAUUGGAUGUUCUCGCGAAAAUGAAGUUUGGGAUAAAAUGUUGGCGCGGUUGAUAUGAGUGUCGAGGAAAUCGAAGGUUUCUUGUUCAAGUUUAACCACCUACGGUUCAUGAGCUUUUAUGUAGCUCAAUACCUUCGCUCAUGCCUCUGCAUUAUUAUAAAACAGUCGGAGAUAUUGCGCAAGUUUCCUAAAAUUAAAAACAACAAUUCUAUUGUUUUUUAUUUGGAGUUAGAGUGGAGCAAUGUCGUUUUGUUUUGAUUUAGGAAAAUAACGCAAAUAGUCAUUGAACUUUGGUCCAAUGUGUUAUGUUCUUAUUGAACUUUUAAUUUAUUUAGUAUGACUGUCGAACUUUUUAUACAUGUUUAAUUUAGAUCCUAGGCUAGAUAAAUCCAACGAUGCUGUGUUUGGUCGUUCGAACAUCUUUGCUGUAUGGGAUAAUGAAUGGAUGAAAAUCCCAUCUAAUAUUUCUUGACGUCUGGAUAUAGCAUGAUUCAAAAUAAAUCUUUUUUUUUUUAAAUGAGUGUUUGAUUUGUAUAAUUAAAAUUAAAAAUAAACCAUGGAAGUCGUGAAUAGUAUUCAUCCUUUCACAAUCUUCAUCGAUAUUAAACACCCCCGUUCCAUGUGACUUCAAGGACGCUCUCUCCUUCUGCAACGCCCCUUUCGCUGCCCUUGAUCAACUUGAUGGAUUACGCUCGCUCUACCUUUGACUUCGCCACAUUGAGAGGCCCUUGGGUUUGAGUUCUCCGCUGGUCUAGCCAUCUUUACUUCGAAUGCCUUUUCCUGCGAUGAAUCCAUCCCCUUCGACGAGUGCGAAUACUGCGUUGAUUCCCUGUUACCGUGCCCCGACUUGUUCAGUCGCUUCAACAGCUUCCCCCGAGACAGCGUGCGGAUCCGGUUUAUGAGUGGUAGCACCAUCGGUGCUACUCGCUCCGAGUGACGUGGUUGAAGAGCUCUAUCACCUUGGCUGCCGCCUCUUUCGGAUCAUCUUCUUCACAGAGAAGAUGUCCAGCUUUGAUCGGGAUCACAAAGUUCCCUACUAAAAUGGAGUUAAGUGACAUAAGAAAGAGGCAGGGCUGACGAGCUCCGACGCCACUUUUCCGAGGCAGCCAAAGGUGGUAAGCAGCUUGUCACUGGUAGGAGGAACGGUGGCCCUUAGACUUUGCUCAGGUCGUUGUGGCGAGGGCUUCUCUAGGUAUCUUCGCGAUACUCAUGCUCUAAGUUUGUGGUGGUCAUUUUAGUGAGAGAAAUUGAAACAAGAGAGAUGAUGCGGCACCGGUCAAAAGUGAGGAUAAGCCAUCAACAAGCGCAGGAGUGGGGGAAAAACUUGUAUCCCUUAUUUUUUUCAAUUUUCCAAAUUUCACAUAUCCUAUUUGGAUCUAUAUCACUUUCUAGAUGAGAUUUUUUAUCCGGACUAUAUCCAAAUUUCACGUUACUCUAAACACCGGAUAUGAUCAAACUUAUCAUAUCAGAGUUUUAUUCGGCCCAUCAAAGACAGACUUAUGAGAUAGAAUGCAAUGAUAUAAUCUAUGAAUUAGAUUAAACAUUUAUUAAAAGUUUAAGAAUAAUAUUUCACAUUUUGAUUGUUAGGAUGCACGAGUGAGUUAUGUUAAAACAAUCCCACAAUAUAUUGAUAGCUUUGUAAUAAGGCUUUCUCUUGGUGAUGACAUAGAUCCAUAUGGAGAAAUUAAUGGGAGGGUUUAUUUGGCCUAACUAAAUGGGAGGCUAUAUCAAUCGGAGCUUUUUCAUUGUAACAUUCCCUUGUGCUUGGUAUUUGUAUUUUAGUAAAAGGAUUUUGCUAGCAUAAUAAUCUUUGGGUUAUCAUGAGAAUAACAAUUUAUUAUGAUUUACAAAAUUUUAAAAUAGUAAACCUCAAUUCAAUUUUAAACUUUUUUUUUUCUAACUAAUUCAAUCCUAAAUAUUUUGCAUUUGUGACAAUUUAGUCUAUUCGGCCAUUUUUCGCCAAGAGGCAUUGAUGUGAACUUUGGCUGAUCGACCAAUGCUGACAUGGACAAUUUUUUUAAUAAUAUUUUAUUUUUCUUAUUUUUUAUUAAUUUUUUCUUUCUUUUUUUCUUCACUUCCUUCUCCUUCCUCCAGCCAGUCGGCAAGAGGCAAGGUUGGUGAGGGACCUUGCUGGCCUUGAGGAAGCUUGGCCAUGGUUGGGCAACCUUGCUCGUGGCUAGGCGACCUCGCCGAGGCCGCCGAUUGGGCUGGCGAGGGUUGACCCUCGUUGGCCAUAGGUCAGGACAAAGGCUGCUAGUUGGGCUUGCCCUUAUUGAAUCUGGUGAGGGUUGAGUCUCAUUGGCCAUGGGCAAGGUCAAAGGCCGCGACCUCUCGUGGUCUCUGGCGAGGCUUGCCAAAGGUUGAGCAAGGCUUACCCUCAUUGGACUGACGAGGGUUGAGCCUCGUCAGCCAAGAGCGAGAUCGUAACUUGCCCAUGGCCGGUGAGGCUCGCCUAGGCCAAAGACAGGCGGGGCCUUGCCUAACCAUGGCAAGGGUGGCCUCACCAUUGUUGGGUGAGGCUAGCCCUUGCCAGUGGCGUGUGGGGGUAAGCCUUGCCAUUGGUUGGCAAGGCUGACUUCACUGGCUUGAAUAAAAUAAAAUAUUAUUAAAAGAUUAUUCACAUCAAUAUUAGCCGAACGAGUGGUGCUCGUCGGCCAAAAUUGGCCGGAUGAAUUGAAUUAGUAUAAUUGCAAAAUGUUUAGGACUGAAUUGGCUAGAAAAAAAAAAGAUUUUAAGACUAAAUUAGAAAAAUUGCAAUAAGUUUAUGAUUGUUUUGGUAAUUUUUUCGUAUAAUAACCCUAGUAAAGAUGACUCACUUAAUUUGAGCGUCAAUAAAUCAAAGGUCACUUGUUUAGUUCUCACAACUUAUUUGUAAAUCACUUUAGAAGUGCAAAUCCAAUCAAUUUAUGAGCUUGCAAAAUGAGUCUCUAGAUAAACCAACUUUUGUAUUCGUGCUUCAGGAUUAUAAUAAAAUAUUAGAGGUUUUCAUCAGUGUAUCAUGAUAGGCUAGAUAGGGCGUUUUCUUUUGCACUUGUCAUACAUGAUCAUUUUGUAUCCUUUGAACUCAUGUUAUUUGUUGGUACUAGGUUGAGUGGUAAUAUGAUCUCCUACCUUAUACUUAGAUAUUUCAUUUAUUAGGCUUCGCCUCACUCCUUUUUUUCUUUUUUUUUCUUUUUUGUUGUAGGAUGAUUCCCCUAAAGAUGGUGACGGAGGGGCCGAGUUGAUAUCGGAAGCCAUUAAUCCUUGAGUUGGAUGGUAGUUUAGUUAGUAUGGAUGUAAUGGUAUUAGGUGACCCCGAUCUUUCCUAGGACUAUAAAAUUUUUUGUGAUAAUUACUAUCGAUAUUGUAUAAAGCCAAAGACACUUUUUUUUUUAAUAAACUCAUGCAUUUUUCUAGUAAAGGAUGUUGUGAAAACUUUAUUGUCUUUUCCAUGCGUAAUUAUAACUAUGAGUAUAAAUGGAAAUGACAUGUGCCGCAUGUGAUGUUCCAAGGCGUCACAUAAUCCCCAACACUCAAAUUAGGGUCCAUUAAGGCAGUGCUUAAAACUAUGAUGCUCAAGUUCUAUUCGGCAGCACUUAGGCUCGGGUCCAACAAGAUCGUGUGUCAGUCCUCAAUGCUCGGGCUCGGCUCGUUAGUUAAUAAAAUGUUGUUCUUAUAAAAAUAAUUCUUUUUAUUUUCAUUUUAUAUUCAUUUGUUUUCUUUCUUUUUCUUUCUCCUUCUUCUUGGCUGGUUGCCGACCAUGAUGACGAUUGCGCCUGAGAACAAGCGAGAGAUGAGCUAGCCCAAGGCCAAGAAGACUUGAGAUUGCUGAUUUGGCAAGCUUGAAGUUGGUUGAUCAAGUGACGCUAAAGCUCCCUAGCGUUGGGCAACCUCGAGUUUCACCUCAUGGCUAGUCGCCAACUACCACCGUGGCGAGCGAUCGGUUGAGGAAGAAGAAAAAUAAAAAUAAAAUUAAAAGAGAAAAUAACUAAAAAUCUGAAUAUUUUGGCAUUUUCUAUAGGGAAAUCAAAUCGAAAAAAUAUUUUCUAGUUUAUCUUUAGGACUUAACCAAAUAUUGGAAAUAUUAUUCAGAUAUGUCAUAUUUUUUGCGAAACAAACGGUGCGUAAAUAUUUAGAUUUGAUAAUUGUCCAUGUUAAUUAGGUACACAUUAUCUCACUCUUUGUUUCGUUGCCGAACUGAUGCUAAUCUCUAGACGAAGCUUGACUAGUCUCAACUCAAUAGGCGGCUUGACUUUUGCGCUUCCUUUUCUUCUUUUCUUUUUUCUUUUUAACUCAAAACACUCAAAACUUUCCUGGUACACGACUGUCGUCGUGUUACAAUCACUUUCAAUAAUGAUGGCCAUCCGAGCAAGAUGAGGGCGACUGGUCCCCCUAGAAAUUGUCAUGACGUUUGACUUUCAUGAAUUGAAAUGACUUUUCUCUGUCAAGGAGAAAAAUAGUUAACUAGUCAAGAUCGUGCCACAUCUCUCCAUCCAUGUCCUCCACAUCCGGCCCCACCAAUCGGACUCCCCGACAAAAAAAAUCGAGGACACGUGGCUGGAUCUAGAAAGUCACAGGUUCGACUUGUCUACUGUUAUCACUGUCCUUUUGCAAUAAUUUUUUUACACCCGUCUAGCUGUUGUGAGCUCCUCUGACAUACUAAUUGUGUGGAUAUGGUGAACUUGGGACCUUCUAUAAUCUGUCCAUAUUAAAAAUUUAAAAUGGACAAAUUCCGCCUCUCAUUGUGGAAUUCCACCCACAUUUCUCGCAAACUUUCAAACAUUAGUUCCAGGUCGUGCAUUCCAAUUGAGCCUUGUCUGGUCAAAUAUCAAAGUACUCUAGAGAAAAAUUUUAAAAAAAAUUGUAAAAAAGAGAGAGAAGGAAAACGAUUCAGCCUUAUAAUAACUUGCUAGGAACCACGUAGUUAAUUAGAGCAUCAAGAAAUUAGAGGUAGCUUGUGUAGUUCUCGCAAGUUACUUGUAAAUUGCUUUAGAAGUACAAACUUAAUUGAUUUAUGAGCUUGCACCAUAUUUUAUGAGUUUCUGAAUAACCAACUUUUGUAUUCAUGCAACUCACUCCGCUGUGACUGAGUUGGUUCGGACGUUCCCUCCUCUUCCAAUUGGGGGGAGGUUUGAGUCACCACGAUUGCAUUUGCGCAACUUAAGUGCGGCGCCAUGAGAGGUGGGUCCCCGUGCUAGCGUCACCGUGGGUUUACGUCGCCAGCUGCCGGUUGUACGGCGAUUCUCAAGUCAUAAAAAAAAAAGAAAAAAGAAAAUUUGUAUUCAUGCUUGUAGAUUAUAAUAAAAUAAUUGGUUGUGGUGGGCAAUUGAGAGUGACACCGUUUUCGCCUUUUAUUUUUUGUAAUAUGUGAAGUGUUGUUCUGUUUUUUGUUUUCGUCACCCUCCCACUUGUGCUAUAUUUGUUAGGUCUCCUCGCCAGGAGUUCGUCACUUUAUGUUAUUGACCUCUUAAUUAAAUACAACAAUACCUUCAAGGACUGCUCUUCAUAAAGGCGCGGAUUGGACGGCCGGUGACCGAGAUAGCAGCCUCCGCCCCUCCCUCGGUCUUGCCCUUUGCAUAACUUUUAGAAAACAUGCGUGAUUAGAGGAUCAAUAGUGACUUAAUUCUAACCCGUAUCGAUGUUACCCGUUUAGCAUCUCUUAGUAAAUGUAAAUAUUGUACGCGGAUGACAGCAUUUUGAAGAAUUUACAAUUGGUGUUCUUUUAUUAAAUAUGGUUGAUAUCAUGAAAAAUCUUAGAUUGAUACAUUUGCGACAAACUUAUCCCAAACUAUUUUUUUUACACAAAAACCGUAAACUAGUAUAUUUGUAAUUUUACCUAAAACUAUUUUUUUUUAUCGUCAAAAACCUCAAACUGAUAUAUUUGUAGCAAAAUUACUCUUUACUAACUAGUGUUAAAUUAUACUAAUAUGAAUUGGUACAUCUAUGACAAACGAAGGGUAAAAUCCUAAAUUGGUACACUCAUUAACUAUCAUAUGUCAUUUAACUCAGUAAUUUAAUAGUACAAUUUAAGGGAAAUUAACGGAGGGUCAAUUUGUCAUAGGUGUAUCGGUAUGAGAUUUUUGAUAGCAAAUGUAGGAGUUUUACAUGGUAUUAAACUCUAUUGCAUAUGAUCAAAAGUCCUAGUUUCUACUAUUUUUGUCGACACAAUACCUUAAAAAACCUCAAACUUAAGCUCUGAUCCUAAUUCUAUCUUUUGUGUUAUAAGACCUCCAACUUUAGAUCAUGUCCCAAUUCCACCCUAACAUACAUAUUUUAGAAAACCCCAUAUUUUAGUUAUAGUCCCAAUCUUAUCUAAACAUCUGUUAUCUCAUAAAAUCCCUCAAAUUUAGGUCAAGUACCAAUUCCAACCUAAACGUUAUUUUGUCUUAUAAAAAGAAUCCUAGCUUUAGGUCCAAUUUCAUUUUCACUUUUUUUUUUUAUCUCAUAAAAGAUUACCAACUUUUACUUGAGUCCCAAAUCCACUCUCCAUUAACCCUCCAUCAAAAUUGCCCUUAGUGAUUUUGUGCUCGGUUUUUGAUCUCGCGUGCUUGGAAAUAUUUCAUUUCUCUUGAACAACUUGUGCUUGAGGGUUUUCCAUCUCUCGAUGUCAGCAGGAAAUUUUGCACGAAGGGUUAAUGGUGGCAAAUAUGCGACUCAAGUAAAAAUUUAUAGUUUUUUCAUCAGACUAUAAAAAUUUUACGGUAAUAUUGAGAGUGGAUAGGCUUUUCAUAAGACAAGAAAAGGUUUAAGGUAGAAUUAGUAUAUUAUUUAAAAUUGAAUUGUGAAUGGCUAUAAAAUUAGUGAUUUUUUUUAUGAGAUAAAAGGUAAAAUUAGGAGAAAAGCUAAAGUUAGAGAGUUUUUUUUAGGGUAUCAAACCUAUUUUUGUCAAUCAUAUGAUGUCAACAUUAUCUUUGUUUUUGUUUUUCUUUCAAUUGUCCAUUUGGUCGGUUCUUUUCUAUUCUUAUUCUCAAACUUUUGCCUUGACUCAUUACAAGUGUGAGAAUUGAAACCACAUUUGAUACUAUAUUGUCCCCCGGUAGGCAUUCAAAACCCCCAUCUCCCGCUUCUCAUGUAAGUUAUGAAUGGAGCCUUCGUGUCGUGUCCGACACGCUCGAAGAUGCGGUCAAUACGUGUUCGAAAUCCGACACGUGAACAAUUCUUAUUGACACAUUCUAACACACAAGUCCGAGAGAGAGGAUCGUUGAAGAAAACAAUGGCAAGGGAGCGAAGGCAACGGCAAGGCCACGACGGUGAGAGAGGGCUAGAGGAAGAGUAGAGACCGAGAUGACCUAAAGAGAGGAUCGUGACUGCAAUGGAGGGCCGGUGGCGAGACUGCACCUAUGUAGGAGGAAGGGUUGGAGGUGAGGCGGCAAGCGAUUAUGACAAGGCAAUCAAGAGAGAGAAGAGAUUGAGAGGUGGAUGGUCGUGCGAGGAGGAGGGGAAGGCCAGGGCUAGGGUUUUUGAAGGGGGAAAAUCAAAAAAUUAAAAACAUGAUUUUGAUGGGACAUUAGGGUUGUGCAAGGAGGAGGGGAAGGCCAGGGCUAGGGUUUUUGAAGGGGAAAACUCAAAAAAAUUAAAAACAUGAUUUUGAUGGGACAUUGCUGUGAUUUCUCCUUUAUGGAGAGGGGGAGCGUGUCGGGAGGUGGAGGGGGAGGGCAGAUAAAUGAGGGAAAGAUGAGUGAAAUAAGUUUGUUGGGGGCACAAAAGGAGGGGUUGGUAGGACCUGAGCAAGUCCUUAGACUGCUCCGUCUGGUCGGAAAUAGCCCACGGACGUAAAAUGUGGGCAAUGUUAAUCGUGGGAGAUCAGACCACCCUGUGUAAGGAUCUCCUGGCUCAGAUUCCCGCGAUGCCUUUCUCCUAACAUAUUAGGCUGGGUACAGGAAAAUGAUGAGUGAAAUAAGUUUGUUGGGGGGGGGGGGCACAAAAGGAGGGGUUGGUAAGGGUUGGCAUGGACCCCAUGGAUUUUUAUUUUUUUUUAAUCAAAAAAAUAAAUAAGGAAGGCCAGAAAGUGGGGGAAGAAACUAUGGAAAGAGAGUGAAGUAAAUGUGGGGGUGAGGGUUGGGGUGGACCACGGGGGUCUUUUCUUAUCAGAAAAAUAAAUAAGAAAAACUAUAAGGUGAUUUCGGAAAAUGAAAGUGUUGAAUGUUGAAUAAUAAUAAAAUUUGAUAAUUGUAAAAGAUUAUAGAUUUAUUUAAAUAAGUUAAUUCUAAUUUUUCUUAAUCAUUAGUUUUAUCAAUAAUUUUUGUUAGAGUUAGAAAUAUGUUCGUAUGGAUGCUAUAUGGCAUAUGGAAAGGGUGGCCUCACUUCUGGCGUUUCAUGUAUGGAAAGAGUGAUUAUUAAUGGCGCAUUUGGUAACGUUUUUGUUUCGGAGGACAAUUUUUGAAUAGAAAUAGUUUUUUUUUUUGUUCUAGGGAAUAAUUUUUGAGUAUAAGAAUGUGUUUGGUAACUGCAAACAAUUUCUACUCUAAAAAUAGAAACGCGCUUGGUAAACUUGUAUAAUUUCUUUGUUUCUUUUAAUUUUUUAAUAUUUUUAAUAUUUUUUUUCUUUUUUUCUUUUUUCUUUUUCUCUUUGGUCGGUUGCUGGCUAUGGCGAUGUCCGUUGAGCCUUGUCCAGGCAACGCGAGGUUCGCCUCGUGCCGAUUGGGGAGGUCAAGGCCUCUUGGCUUUGUCUGGGCUAAGCGAGGUUGACCUUGCCCAGCCACCGGCGAGACUCGGCCUCGCUGGGCCACCGCUAGGCGACUCUGUCCUGGAGGUGGCUCGGCGAGGUCGAGCCUCAUGCGGCCAUGGCGAGGCUCGGCCUCUCUGGGGGCUAGCGACACUCCGGCGAGGUCGUCGGCUCUCGUCUAGCCAGUUGCCGGUGUCAACUAUGGCUAAGGCUGAUGACNNNNNNNNNNNNNNNNNNNNNNNNNNNNNNNNNNNNNNNNNNNNNNNNNNNNNNNNNNNNNNNNNNNNNNNNNNNNNNNNNNNNNNNNNNNNNNNNNNNNCGUCUGGUCGAAAACAGCCCAUGGACGUAAAAUGUGGGCAAUGUUAAUCGCGGGAGAUCGGACCACCCUGUGUAAGGAUCUCUCGGUUCAGAUUCCCGCGAUGCCCUUCUCCUAACGUAUUAGACUGGGUACAGGAAAAUGACGAGUGAAAUAAGUUUGCUGGGGGCACAAAAGGAGGGGUUGGUAAGGGUUGGCAUGGACCCCAUGGACUUUUAUUUUUUUAUCAGAAAAAUAAAUAAGGAAGGCUAGAAAGUGGGGGAAGAAACUAUGGAAAGAGAGUGAAGUAAAUGUGGGGGUGAGGGUUGGGGUGGACCACGGGGGUCUUUUCUUAUCAGAAAAAUAAAUAAGAAAAACUAUAAGGUGAUUUCGGAAAAUGAAAGUGUUGAAUGUUGAAUAAUAAUAAAAUUUGAUAAUUGUAAAAGAUUAUAGAUUUAUUUAAAUAAGUUAAUUCUAAUUUUUCUUAAUCAUUAGUUUUAUCAAUAAUUUUUGUUAGAGUUAGAAAUAUGUUCGUAUGGAUGCUAUAUGGCAUAUGGAAAGGGUGGCCUCACUUCUGGCGUUUCAUGUAUGGAAAGAGUGAUUAUUAAUGGCGCAUUUGGUAACGUUUUUGUUUCGGAGGACAAUUUUUGAAUAGAAAUAGUUUUUUUUUUUGUUCUAGGGAAUAAUUUUUGAGUAUAAGAAUGUGUUUGGUAACUGCAAACAAUUUCUACUCUAAAAAUAGAAACGCGCUUGGUAAACUUGUAUAAUUUCUUUGUUUCUUUUAAUUUUUUAAUAUUUUUAAUAUUUUUUUUCUUUUUUUCUUUUUUCUUUUUCUCUUUGGUCGGUUGCUGGCUAUGGCGAUGUCCGUUGAGCCUUGUCCAGGCAACGCGAGGUUCGCCUCGUGCCGAUUGGGGAGGUCAAGGCCUCUUGGCUUUGUCUGGGCUAAGCGAGGUUGACCUUGCCCAGCCACCGGCGAGACUCGGCCUCGCUGGGCCACCGCUAGGCGACUCUGUCCUGGAGGUGGCUCGGCGAGGUCGAGCCUCAUGCGGCCAUGGCGAGGCUCGGCCUCUCUGGGGGCUAGCGACACUCCGGCGAGGUCGUCGGCUCUCGUCUAGCCAGUUGCCGGUGUCAACUAUGGCUAAGGCUGAUGACUGGCAAAAGGAAGAAGAAGAAGAAGAAGAAGAAGAAAAGAAAGAGAAAAUAGAAGAAGAAAAAUGAUAAGAAAAAAAAGUGUUUUUCGAAAGUGUUCUCGAGAAUAAGAAAUAAGUUUUUUUUUUUAAUUUCUUAUUUUUGUUCCAAAGUUGCUCUCACAAUAAAAAAAAAAGACCAGAAUAAAAGUAUAAACAAAUGAGUUUCUAUUCUUUUUUGGUUCUCUGGAACAAAAUAAUAAAAAUUUAUAUUCCAGGAAAAAAAAAUAAUUUUAAACGAACACACCCUAAGAUAUCUUUUGUAUUCCGGGGAAGUAGUUCAAUUGACGUGAGCCCGUGCGUCUUCCCUACAUGGGAAGGGUCGUCACUGGGUCUCAUCUGACCUAAGCAAGUGCGUCUUCACAGCUUUUACCGCUCCCCUCCUACACUUCGUAGCUACCGCCACUCCCCUCCUAUAAAUCUCGGCUCGCCCGACGCCUUCGCCAUCGUCUCGGUGCAGUGCAGGGAACGAGCGAGCUCGAGCUAGACGACGGCAAUGGCGGCUUCGACGACGACGGUGAGGAGGAUCAAGCUGGGGUCGCAGGGCCUCGAGGUGUCGGUGCAGGGGCUGGGCUGCAUGGGCAUGUCCGCCUUCUACGGCCCUCCCAAGUCCGACACCGACAUGAUCGCCCUGAUCCACCACGCCGUUGGCUCCGGCGUCACCUUCCUCGACACCUCCGACAUCUACGGCCCCCACACCAACGAAACCCUCCUCGGAAAGGUCGGUUCUCUCUCAGUCUCUGUUUUGCCUCCGCAUGAAUUAUAUGUGCUUAUAGUGUUACGGAAUUUAGCUUCAUCGAGCAGAGUGCUCUGAUCCUGCGCCUUGGUUUUCUGAUUUCGGGGUUGAUUUUGAGCAGGCACUGAAGGGAGGGGUGAGGCAGAAGGUGGAAUUGGCGACCAAGUUCGGAAUCAGCUUCGCGGACGGGAAGAGGGAGGUCCGGGGCGAUCCGGCGUACGUGAGGGCGGCUUGCGAGGCCAGCUUGAAGCGGCUUGACAUCGAUUGCAUCGACCUCUACUACCAACAUCGCAUCGACACUCGCGUCCCCAUCGAAGUCACUGUAUGGAUCCCCCAUCAAACUUUCACCUCGCUUGAGACUUUCUCCGAGCCAUAUGAUUAGUUGCUAAGUUAGAUUGGUGUUGAUGAUGCAUCGUCAUGUUGUUACAAGUUUGUUGAAAUUUGUUAAAUGACACUUAAGUUCGGCUGAUAGCAGAGUUCAAGAUGCGGCACGUUGUUGUUCAAGGGGUUGUGGAAUUUAGUAGUUUAGUGGCUUGAGUUUUCGUUUUGUGGGCAUCUUUUACAAGUUAAGGGUCAACAAGCAUGAAAAUUAUUCAAAAUCUUCCUUUGAGAUGAAAGUGCUCCAGGGUUCAUCCAGAAUUUAUAUACGGGAAUCACAUAUAAAGUUGUUCCUGGACUUUAUGUGGAGACAUUUGAUUCUUGACAUAUUGUGAAAUAUGACAAGUACUUGGAAUACUUCUUUUAUUUGCUCUCUUCUGUGAGAGAUUCAAGAAAUCAACCUCCGUUAACUCAAUACCUUGUGACUUUUUUGUCGCAUUGAGAUGCAUGAUAAUAGAGGGAUCUAGACGCAUAAAAAGCUAAUGACAUGCAUAAUUUUCUGGAUCUUAACAUGUAAGAUCUUGAUGUUGUUGUUCUGUCAUGUGAAUAUGCACAGAUCGGAGAGCUAAAGAAGCUCGUUGAAGAAGGUAAGAUAAAGUACAUCGGUUUAUCCGAGGCCUCUGCAUCAACAAUCAGAAGAGCACAUGCUGUUCAUCCCAUCACAGCAGUGCAAUUGGAGUGGUCGCUUUGGUCAAGAGAUGUGGAGGCAGAGAUCGUUCCAACGUGCAGGUAGGAUAUCACUCUGUUAAUUGUUUAUGCAGCAACAACAGCUUCCUUCUGACUCUGCUUUUCCUUUAAAAUGCUGACUAGGGAGCUUGGCAUUGGAAUUGUUGCCUACAGUCCUUUAGGACGAGGAUUCUUUUCUGUUGGCUCCAAGUUGGUGGAGAAUAUCUCUAAGGAUGACUUCAGACAGGUCUGUUCCUGCUUGUCAACAUAAUUAGAUGUUUACAUUGACUGUCAUUCUUAUUGAAGUGCUGGAAACCUGUUCUUGUGGUAUAAAGAAAAAGUAUCUGGAUGGGAUGAAUAAAACUUGGUGACACGAAUGCUUCGUGUUCUUAUAUGUCUUUAAUCCAGCACUUGCCAGACAUCCCACCUCUCUUGAUUCUAGAUAAAUGUAAAAUCACAAGUAACGGCUUUAAUGAGCCUGAAAGAGGCAGUUUCCUGGAUUCUCGUGCUUUUGGGAAUGAAUACAUAUAGGUUUAUAUGUAAGUUGCUCUGUUUCCCAGCCUUCCCAACAUUUGCUUAUCACUAUCCUUUCCCCACUUUCCACCCACCCUUUUUCUCUCAUCUUUCUUCACAAGAAUAGCGAUAUUUCCUCGAAAUAACUGACGCCAGUAUCGGGCUUUGGCCCUCCGUCCUUUUUCAUUCUCAUCUUUCUUCACAAGAUAAACUAUAUCUUGACACAACCAUUUCUUGAGCGCGGACUCCCGACACCCUUCUUAUGAGAGUUUUGGAUCAAGUUCCCAUCUGACAUAAAGCCAAUUGUGUAUUACUCCCCGCCAUUAGCGUUUGACUAGCGAUAGUGCUGGGCAAGUGAAGUAGCUAUUUUUCUUUGUAGCUAAAAGAGCUCUGCGUCUGAUAACAUUCUUCUACUCAUCAUCUACAUUUCUGAUUUUUUAUUUUAUGUGACUAAUGGUAUCAUCACACGUACAAAACUUAGAUUGUCGAGUUUGUUUCUGUUUUCACAUCCUACAUCAAGCCCAUCAGCCUUGUGUGGUAGUUGCUAGAUCACUUCGCUUGACGUUUCUAAUGCUUAUGAUUUGGGACAUGAUAUUUUAAUCAUUUCAAGAUAAUUUAUAACUGAUCAUGCUUUUUCAGAUACACAACGAUUGCACACUUCUAAAUGCUUAUUAUGUCAAGUAACAAGACAAUCCGAUGGCAUGCAAUGCAACCACUUUUGCACUUGUUGCUGUAGAAUUUAGCCUUAAGAGGAAAAUGAUAAUUUCUCAUAUGCUCUCUGCUGAGACAUUGCUCUAUGUUAUGCAGUAUCUACCAAGGUUCCGGCCAGAGAACUUGGCUCACAACACGAAGUUAUUUGACCGAGUGAAUGAAAUUGCGCAAAGAAAGGGAUGCACCACAUCGCAGUUAGCCCUGGCCUGGGUACACCACCAGGGUGACGACAUUUGCCCGAUUCCCGGCACAACCAAGAUCGAGAAUUUCAACCAGAACAUUGGAGCUCUGUCAGUGAAGCUUACACCGGAAGAGAUGGCCGAGCUUGAAUCGAUUGCUUCUGCGGACAAUGUCAAGGGUGGCAGGUACGAUGGAAGCAUGUCUACAUGGGAAAACUCCGACACUCCACCCCUUUCUUCUUGGAAACCUGCCUAGAAGCGUGUCUGCUUCUGUUGCUGCAUCUUUGAUGUGCAGAGGUUGAGCAUUUGCCGCUGAAGUAAUUUGAGUUUAUGUUGUGUGGCUGUUAUAAGUAUGUGUAAUAAGAGAGUGACUGUUUUCAUUUUGUACAUGUGACAUUCACUAUGAUAAGAUUAUGGAUGUGUACUAACCUUACUGGGGAAAGAUCACUCGAUAAACACGAGAGCGAGUUGAAUACGAACUGAGCCUGCCGUGUCGACUUUAUUGGGGUGACUUUUAGAAUCUGAGAAAUCGGGAUUUUGAAGAAUUCAAACUCAGUCGUACAUACUAGAGUGGUAUUCUCCACCAACCAUGAGUUCAAUCUCUUAAGACUGGAUGCUGCACAUAGAUGCAAAGCUUCGCUUUGUGUUUGGUUUGGUAGCGAAGUUAAGGAACAGUAAAAUGUUACCGGAUGUUCUCGCGAAAACGAAGUUGGGGAUAAAAUGCUGGCGCGGAUGAUAUGAGCGUCGGGGAAAUCGAGGGUUUCUUGUUCAAGUUUCACCACCUACGGUUCAUGAGCUUUUAUGUAGCUCGAUACCUUCGCUCAAUGCCUCUGCAUUAUUAUAAAACAGUCGGAGAUAUUGCGCAAGUUUCCUAAAAUUAAAAACGACACUUCUAUUGUUUUUUAUUUGGAGUUAGAGUGGUGCAAUGUUGUUUUGUUUUGGUUUAGGAAAAUAACGCAAAUAGUCACUACACUUUGGUCCAAUGUGUUAUGUUCUUACUGAAUUUUUAACUUGUUUAAUAUGGUUGUCGAGCUUUUUGUAUAUGUUUAAUUUAAAUCCUAGGCUAGAUAAAUCCAAUGAUGCCGUGUUUGGUCGGUUCGAAGAUCGUUGCUAUAUGGGAUAAUGAUAGGAUAAAAAUCCCAUCUAAUAUUUCUUGACGUCUGGAUAUAACAUGAUUCAAAUAAUUUUUUUUUUAAACGAGUGUUUGAUUUGUAUAAUUAAAAUUAAAAAUAAACCAUGGAAGUCGUGAAUACUAUUCAUCCUUUCACAAUCUUCAUCCAUAUCAAGCACCCCCGUUCCAUGUGACUUCAAGGACGCUCGCUCCUUCUGCAACACCCCUUUCGCUGCCCUUGAUCAACUUGAUGGAUUACGCUCGCUCUGCCUUUUGACUUCGCCACAUUGAGAGGCCCUUGGGUUUGAGUUCUCCGCUGGUCUAGCCAUCUUUAUUUUCAACGCCUUUUCCUGCGAUGAAUCCAUCCCCCUCGACGAGUGUGAAUGCCGCGUUGAUUCCCUGUUACCGUGCUCCGACUUGUUCAGUCGCUUCAACAGCUUCCCCCGAGACAGCGUGCGGAUCCGGUUUAUGAGUGGUAGCAGCAUCGGUACUACUCGCUCCGAGUGACGUGGUUGAGGAGCUCUAUCACCUUGGCUGCCGCCUCUUUCGGAUCAUCUUCUUCACAGAGGAGGUGUCCAGCUUUGAUCGGGAUCACAAAUUUCCCUACUAAAAUGAAGUUGAGUGACACAAGAAAGAGGCAGGGCUGACGAGCUCCGCGAUACUCAUGCUCAUGCUCUAAUUUUGUGGUGGUCAUUUUAGCGAGACAAAUUGGAACAAGAGAGAGAUGAUGGUGGCACUGGUCAAAAGCGAGGAUAAGCUAUAAAAAGCGCCCCGCCGCCCGGGGGGGGGGGGGGGGGGGGGGGGGGGGUCAGUUUUUCAAAUUUCACAUAUUUUAUCUGGAUUUAUAUCACUUUCUAGAUGUGAUUUUUUAUCCGUGCUAUAUCCUAAUUUCACAUUACUCUAGACACCAUAUAGGAUUAAACUUAUCAUAUUAGAGUUUUAUCCAGCCCUUCAAAUGCAGUCUUAUGAGAUAGAAUGCAAUGAUAUAAUCUGUGAACUAAAUUUAAACAUUUAUUAAAAGUUUACGAACGGAAUUUCACAUUUUGAUUGUUAAGAUGCAUGAGUGAGUUAUGUUAAAAUAAUCACACAAUAUAUUGAUAGCUUUAAAAAUGGGCUUUCUCUUGGUGAUGACGUUGAUCCAUAUAGAGAAAUUAAUGAGAGGGUUUAUUUGGCCUAACUAAAUGGGAGGCUAUAUCAAUGGGAGGUUUUUCAUUGUAACAUUCCCUUGUGCUUGGAAUUUGUUUUUUAGUAAAGGAUUUUAUUAGCGUAAUAAUAGUCUUUGGGUUAUUAUGUGAAUAACAAUUUAUUGUGAGUCACAAAUUUUUUAAAGUAAUGAACCCCAUAAUAAUUUCAAUUAUUUGUUACUUGAUUUUUUGUAGUUUAGAAUAAAAAUUAUCACCAAGUUAUUUCUUUUUAACAAAUAUAUUGCUCUAACUGUUGUUUUCAAUUAAGUUUGCAUCGGAGAAGAGAUUAUUUUGUUUUGCUACGCUUGUCGGAUAUUGCACAGGAUAUUGUCAUUUUCUUAGCACUAGCAACGUUGCGUUCAGACAAGGCGGCAUGGAAUUAUUUGCUCAGCUGCACAUCACACGACCAUACAUUCAUGGACUGUUCCUCAGGAAAGCAUAUAGACAUGUGGCAGAUGCAGAACAUUUCACGAGAUUAAAAAAAAGAAAAUAAUUUUUAAAAAACAAUACUUUCGACUUCAAAACGUGCCAAUCGAACGCCUGCUACUCCCGCCUAUAAAGCUCGGCUCACCCAACGGCUUCGUUGUCGUCUCGAACUGUCCAUUCUCCAUUCUCUGUUCUUGCAUCGACCUCGAGCUAGACGAUGGUGGCAAUGGCGUCGUCAGACGGUGAGGAGGAUCAAGUUGGGGUCGUAGGGUCUCAAGGUCUCGGCGCAGGGGCUGGGCUUGCAUGGGCAUGUUGGAAGAUAUGCGGAUUGCCUGAUUUGAUUUGAUCUUAAUUGAUCAUGAUUAAUCACGAUCUUCAUGUAUAUGUAAAUUAAAAAUUAGAUCUAGAUCUCGAUUGAUAAUCCAGAUCAUUUACUUCCUUAUUCAAGAUAGAGCUUGUAUUAUAUCUCUGCAAAAUUGUACAUUCAGAUUGUAAUAGUGAUAAUACAGAAAAAUCUCCCCACAUCGAUUCCCAUUUUCCUCUCCAAACUUCAUCCGUUCUUCCUUCACUCUUGCCUUCUUUCAUGGUAUCAGAGCAGCUUUGAUCUCUGACUCGCUUCCGUUCCAAACCACUGCUGAAGAAAAUUCUCAACCUGCAAAAGGGUUGAUCUUUCGGCAUUAGGCAUACUCUCGAAGGAAGAAAUUUAAAUUAUCUUACUAUGGCCUCUCCGCAGGACUCCAGUCUGGCUGCUGACGACAGGACCACCGAAGAAAGUAGUCCUCAAGCUCCACAGAUCCAGAAUCUCCCUGCAGUAAUACCAGUAUCCACCCAACCCCAGCAGUGGCGGCCCACGCAGGCUCAGUUUCAAUUGGGGCAACCCACGACGGGUCAACCAUACUAGUGGAUCCCCUAUCCACUCUAUUUUGGGCCAAGCCCAAAUUUCUCAUCGCCUUUUUUCGUGGGCCACCAGAAUCACAAUGGAGGCCCGCCAGCCACGAAUGGGGCAAGCCCAUCCAUCGCGAGAGAGCAGACGGGCGGUUCAAGCGAAUCGGGUACGGGGCAUAAUCCCUACCCGGGACAUGUCAAUGCGGGGUAUCUAGUUGGAUUGAGCGAAUCGGGUCAAGGGACGAAUCCCUACCCGAAUUUCGCACCGGGUUUUCUGUCCAUUCCAGCGGCGGCGUUCACUGGGCGACUAGAAAUAGGCGAUCCUCUGUUUGUCUCCACCGCUGACGGAUCGGAGCUUUGACUGAUAAACCAGCAACUAACCGGACUAGAGACCUAUUCGAAGUGGUCACAGGAGCUCCGGCGGGCAUUGGUGACAAAAGACAAAGACGGAUUUCUCGAUGGGACAAUUUCCAUCCCCUCCGAUGAACGCCUAGCCGGACACUGGCGGAAAUGCAAUCAACUCGUCCGAAUGUGGAUCAGAAAUUGCAUAUCCCCAGAAGUCAUGGCUGGGCUUCCACCCACAGAGGAUGCCAAAACCAUGUGGGAAAACAUUCGAGAAAUAUACGGUAAAAUGGAUCAAGCAAAAGUUUUUAAUCUUAUGCAGGAAAUUAGCGAACUCAAACAGGGAAAUUCGACGGUCACGGCCUGCUUCAACAGGCUAUCGUCCCUCCUGAAUCAACUCGAAGCAGUAGAAGAAAAGCUCGAAGGGCCAGAAUCUACCCUCAAGCAGUACAAACAAAUCAAAGAGAGAGAAAAAGCCACGCGAUUCUUGCUGAUUUUAAACGAAUCGUACCUCACGUUUCGGUCACAGAUCCUUGUCAUGGAUCCCAUGCCACCGAUCGGACGUAUUUACAAACUGGCGAUGCAGGAGGAGAGUCAGCGACUCACAAUCACGAACAACGGUGAGAGCAUCGCUCUGGCUGCCCGCGGAGAGGGGAGAACCCUAACCCUAGCUCGUGAAAAUGAAAAGAAAAGCCCUUUAGGGUUCGACGAGCUCGAUUCGCGCGGGCUUAAAAGGGAUGGGAUGAACGGCCAGGAUUACAUGCAAGGAUCGAGCGGCUUAGAUUACUCCCGAAAAUAUGACGGCCCAGAUUACGCAUGGAGAUCCGACGGUCGUCAAGGAAUCGAAAUUGCGCCUGGAUUGGACGGUGGACAGCAGAUCGCGAUCAAAGGAACGGACGGCCAGAUCUUCACCACGUCAUCAAAGAAUUUCGCAAAUUUUUUUAAAGGAAAGGGGUAAAUUUUUUUGCGAUUAUUGCAAACGUACUAAUCAUACCAUUGACAGUUGCUGGAAAUUACACGGGAAGCCGGGAGAAAAGGAGAAAAAAAUUUCCACAGCUUAUCAAGUCACUGGACCAGCUGGUCCAAAAAUUGACCAGCCAAUCUCAUAUGGUCAAUAUCAGCAACUCAUGCAAAAACUACAGAAGAUGGAAAUUUCCAACAAAGGGGGCAAUUUCUCAGGUAUUUCACAUUGCCUAAUUAAUUCCAUUUCCAGGAAGGCGUGGAUUAUAAUUCUGGGGCAAGUGACCAUAUUAUACGCGACAAGGGAUUUUUUUUUCAAAUAUAAAUGAAAGUUUGAAUUUUCCUGUCUCCGUACAAUUACCCAACGGAAAUGUUACUCAUGUCAAAGUGAUAGGAACAGUGAAUCUCAGUCCUCAGAUUAUUCUCUAGAAUGUGCUAUAUGUCCCAGAAUUCCAAUUCAACCUCAUAUCUGUGUCUCAAGUCUGCAAAGAGAACUCAUGCCGGGUAAUAUUCAAUGCUGACACAUGUUUAUUUCAGGCCCUUUCGACUGGAAGACAGAUGGACUUGGGUAAUCUUUCUGAAGGACUCUAUUUCUGGACGAGUUUUCCAAGUAAUUUCAAUUUUCCAUGCAAUUCCUUGAAUAAAAAAUCAUUGUGUAAUUCAACUGCCAAUGAUAGAAAUUUGACUAUGCAUAUGAGAUUGGGUCACAGUGCUUCAUUUUCAUAUCAUGAAUGUCUUAUAUGUCCCCUUGCAAAGCAAUCUCGCACACCAUUUUCUUCUAGUACUUCACGGACUAGUCAAAUAUUUGCAUUACUUCACGUGGACAUUUGGGGACCUUAUCAUACAGUCAAUCAUGAUGGCUCCCGUUAUUUUCUUACGAUAGUAGAUGACUAUUCUCGGGCAACAUGGAUCUUCCUAAUACAAUAAAAAAAUUAGGUCUAUUCUCACCUGAAAAAUUUCAUUAUGCUAUCUAAGAACCAAUUCAGGAAAUCCAUUCAGCGGAUUCGCACAGAUAACGGGAGAGAAUUCUUCAGUCAUGAAUGCUCCCAGUUAUUCAAUUCUCAUGGUAUUCGACACGAAAGUUCCUGCAUUUACUCACCACAACAAAAUGGAGUGGUUGAAAGAAAGCAUCGCCAUCUACUGGAAGUGGCUCGUGCCUUGAAAUUUCAAGCAUCAAUUCCAGAAAGAUAUUGGGGUGACUGUGUCACCAUAGCAGCUUAUCUUAUUAAUAGAAUGCCUACUCGGAUUCUUAAUGGACAGAUGCCAUUCGAGCUGUUAUUUGGGAAGAAACCGGACUUGAAUCAUCUCAAGAUCUUCGGAUGUCUCUGCUAUGCUGCAAUCAUGGGGCCUCGAGAUAAAAUGAGCCCAUGUGCGCGGCGAUGCGUCUUUAUGGGAUAUCCCAAUCUCCAGAAGGGGUAUCGGGUGCUUGAGAUUUCCACAGGAGAAUUCAUAGUAAGUCAUGAUGUCAUUUUCCAUGAAACUACUUUUCCAUUUUAUGAAGGGGAAUCUUCACAUGGAGAUCCAAAGAUAACUUCCAGCCAUCAUAAUUUUCUCAAUGAUGAAGCACCAUACCGGGAUCUUUCCUAUGUACCAAUAGUACAGCCGAGGGAUCCUAUUCUUCCUACAGUCCCAGUUCUACAAGAUUCUAAUGGAAAUUCGAAUUCUUCAGAACAUAUUCAGGGAGAUAUCUUGGAGGAACCCAUUGCUGAUGCAGAAGUUGAUGACACUACAACAACUUCAUUACCAGCAACAUCACAGCCCACCACCGAAGCUGGACAUCCUAGGAGGUCUGAACGAGCUACAAGACCACCAACCCGGACGAAAGAUUAUGUCUGUACUACUCACAACUCUCCAAGUAUUCAGUAUCCAGUCUCUUCAUAUGUUUCCUUUGAUAGAUUGUCUCAAGAACAUAGAUGUUGUAUUAGUCGAUUGUUUGAAGAGAAAGAACCGUCCAGUUAUAAAGAAGCCUCCAAUAACCCAAAAUGGCAAGAGACCAUGAAGGCAGAAUUGAAGGCCCUUACUGAUAAUCAUACAUGGGAUCUUGUUCCAUUACCAGCUCAUCGUAAACCAAUUGGAUGCAAAUGGGUUUACAAAAUCAAGUAUCGGGCUGAUGGCUCCAUUGAACGGUACAAGGCAAGAUUGGUAGCUAAGGGGUUCACCCAAAGAGAAGGUUUUGACUACCACGAGACGUUCUCACCAGUUGCCAAAGAUGUUACAGUCCGUUCAUUCUUAGCUGUUGCUGCCAUCAAUGACUGGCACCUACACCAGAUGGAUGUCCAUAAUGCUUUUCUCCAUGGCAAUCUAGAUGAAGAGAUCUACAUGAAUAUUCCUCAAGGCAUACAGAGACAGGGGGAUAAUAAGGUGUGUCGUCUCCGUAAAUCCCUUUAUGGAUUAAAACAGGCAUCCGGACAAUGGUAUGCUAAAUUUGCCAGUGCUCUUACAACAGCAGGCUUCAAGCAAUCCAAGCAUGAUUAUGCUCUGUUCUAAAAAACUAAAGGUAUGUCAUCUAUCUAUUUGAUGAUUUAUGUCGAUGACAUACUUGUUAUGGGAAAUGAUAGAGCCUCUAUAGAGAAUUUCAAGGAAUAUUUGCAUGCUACCUUCCAUAUUAAAGACUUAGGAGCACCAAAAUAUUUCCUUGGAAUCGAAGUUGCUCGAUCUGACAAGGGAAUUUCCCUUAGUCAGCGGAAGUUCAUUCUAGAAAUCAUAUCAGAAGUAGGUCUAUUAGGAUGCAAGCUAGCUGUAAUUCCUAUAGAGCAAAACACUAAGUUGACCAUCGCAGACUAUGAUAAGGGAAUAUUUCGAAAUGAUGAUUCCUUACUCAGUGAUCCGUCAGGCUAUCAAAGACUUGUUGGGAAACUUAUAUACCUGACAAUGACUAGACCUGAUAUCUUAUAUGCGGUUCAGACACUUAGCCAGUUUAUGCAUCAACCAAAGCGUUCUCAUUUGGAUGCAGCCUUAAAGGUCGUUAAAUAUCUCAAGAAAUGUCCGGGGCUAGGGAUACUUCUCUCUAAGGAAUGUGACAUGAGGAUGACAGCAUAUUGUGAUGCAGACUAUGCAACAUGUCCGAUUAGUCGAAGAUCUGUUACUGGAUAUUGCAUUAAAUUGGGAGGAUCUCUUCUAUCUUGGAAAACCAAGAAACAAGCUACUGUGUCUCUGUCCUCAGCCGAAGCAGAAUAUCGAGCUGUGGCCAAGGCCACUUGUCAAGUAGUUUGGAUGCGAGGAUUACUCAAGGAUCUUGGAGUAGAAGUGCAAGGACCCACAAGGUUAUAUUGUGAUAAUGAUACAGCUCUUAAACUUGCAACUAAUCCUAUAGUACAUGAAAGAACCAAGCAUAUAGAAGUGGAUUGUCACUUCACACGGGAAAAGAUCCAGGAAGGAGUAAUUGAGACGAGGAAUUUGGACAACGGAGCAACCAGUAGACUUGUUCACCAAGCCCCUAUGUCAGAGGCAACAUGCAUAUCUAUUAAAAAAGCUAGGCGUCUUGGACAUCUACAAGCCACCAGCUUGAGGGGGAGUGUUGGAAGAUAUGUGGAUUGCCUGAUUUGAUUUGAUCUUAAUUGAUCAUGAUUAAUCACGAUCUUCAUGUAUAUGUAAAUUAAAAAUUAGAUCUAGAUCUAGAUUGAUAGUCUAGAUCAUUUACUUCCUUAUUCAAGAUAGAGCUUGUAUUAUAUCUCUGCAGAAUUGUACAUUCAGAUUGUAAUAGUGAUAAUACAGAAAAAUCUCCCCACAUCGAUUCCCAUUUUCCUCUCUAAACUUCAUCCGUUCUUCCUUCACUCUUGCCUUCUUUCAGGGCAUAUCUACUUUGCCGGCCCUCCCAAGCCCAACCCCGACACGAUCGAGCUUGUCCACCACGCCGUUGAAUCUGGCGUUGCCUUCCUCGACACCUCCGACAUCUAUGGCCUUAACGCCAAGGAAGUCCUCCUUGGAAAGGUCGGUAUUUAUUUUGUAGAUAUAAUUGAAGAUCUUGAUCGUGACGCCAAUCCUAAUUGCGGACUAAUUGAUUUGGUCAAUUUGUGAUUGUUUAGUGAAUAUGGAAAUUUUUGUAAUUCUUUAUAUAUUAUUUCAUUUUUUCUCUUUCAUUCUUACACUAUAAAUAGACCAAUGAACUAAUAUACAGAUCAAUCAAUAUACAACAAAAUUUUCUUCAUUUUCUCUUUUGUUUUCUAUUAUGUUAUCAGUGUCAUUCUUCCUCGCCUAGCUUCCCAUAUCUUAGAGUUGCCUUUCUUUUUUUCUUUGUUUUUUUUUUUUUUUUGGUUAUUGCAAGUCCUCAUCCUGCAAUACAAAUCAGCAAAUCGAUUAGGAAUUCAAUUUUUUUUUUCAAUACCAAGGCAAAAAAUAAGAACACUGAGAGCUCCAUGAUAGAGGAGACACCUACCUCACCUCAAAAUCAAGCCCCAUCGCCGUCGGAUUCGAUUAUGAUUUGGGACAAUAUAUUUUAAUCAUUUCGAGAUAAUCUUUAACUGAUCAUGCUCUUCCAGAUACACAGCAAUUGCGCACUUCCAAAUGCUUAUUAUGUCAAGUAACAUGACAAUCUGAUGGCAUGCAACGCAACCAAUUUUGCACUCGUUGAUGUAGAAUUUGGCGUUAAAAGGAAAAUGAUGGUUGCUCGUAUGCUCUCUGCUUAGACAUUGCUUUAUGUUAUGAAGUACCUACCAAGGCUGCGGCCAGAGAACUUGGCUAAUGCAAAGUUAUUCGACCAAGUGAAUGAAAUUGCACAAAGAAAGGGAUGCACCCCAUUGCAGUUAACCCUCGCCUGGGUACACCACUGGAGUGAUGACGUUUGCCCGAUUACCGGCACGAUCAAGAUCGAGAAUUUCAACCAGAACAUUGGAGCUCUGUCAGUGAAGCUUUCGCCAGAAGAGAUGGCCAAGCUCAAAUCGAUUGCUUAUACGGACAAUGUCAGGCGUGAGAAUUAAAACCACAUUUGAUACUAAAUUAUGCCUAGGUAGGAAUUCAAAACUCCACCUCCCGCUUUUCAUGUGGGAAGGUUGGCCCCACCUCGCGCUUAUGGAAAGAGUAAUCACGAAGACAUCACAAUAGUUCAAUUGACGUGAGCAGGUACGUCUUCCCUACAUGGUAAGGGUCGUCACUGGGCGUGCAAUUGACGUAAGCACGUGCGUCUUCACAGCCACUACCGCUCCCCUCCUACUCAUCGUAGCUUCUGCCACUACCCUCCUAUAAAUCUCGGCUCGCCCGACGACUUCGCCAUCGUCUCGGUGCAGUGCAGGGAACGAUCGAGCUCGAGCUAGACUACGGCAAUGGCGGCAUCGACGACGACGGUGAGGAGGAUCAAGCUGGGGUCGCAGGGCCUGGAGGUGUCGGCGCAGGGGCUGGGCUGCAUGAGCAUGUCCGCCUUCUACGGCCCUCCCAAGUCCGAGCCCGACAUGAUCGCCCUCAUCCACCACGCCGUCGGCUCCGGCGUCACCUUCCUCGACACCUCCGACUUCUACGGUCCUCACACCAACGAAAUCCUCCUCGGAAAGGUCGUUCUCUCAGUCUCUCUUUUGCCUCUGCAUGAAUUAUAUAUGCUUAUGGUUUUACGGAACUUAGCUUCAUCGAGCAGGAUGCUCUGAUCCUGCGCCUUGGUUUUCUGAUUUCGGGGUUGAUUUUGAGCAGGCACUGAAGGGAGGGGUGAGGCAGAAGGUGGAAUUGGCGACCAAGUUCGGAAUCAGAUUGGCGGACGGGAAGAGGGAGAUCCAGGGCGAUCCGGCGUACGUGAGGGCUGCUUGCGAGGCCAGCUUGAAGCGGCUCGACAUCGAUUGCAUCGACCUCUACUACCAGCACCGUAUCGACACUCGCGUCCCCAUUGAAGUCACUGUAUGGAUCCCUUAUCAAACUUUCACCUCGCUUGAGACUUUCUCUGAGCCAUACGAUGCAUCGUCAUGUUGUUACAAGUUUGUUGAAUUUUGUUAAAUGACACUUAAGUUCAGCUGAUAGCAGAGUUCAAGAUGCGGCACGGUGUUGUUCAAGGGUUGUGGAAUUUAGUAGUUUAGUGGCUUGAGUUUUCGUUUUGUGGGAAUCUUUUACAAGUUAAGGGUCAACAAGCAUGGAAAUUAUUCGAAAUCUUCCUUUGAGAUGAAAGUGCUCCGGGGUUCAUCCUGAAUUUAUAUACGGGAAUCACAUAUAAAGUUGUUCCUGGACUUUAUACGGAGACAUUUGAUUCUUGACAUAUUGUGAAAUAUGACAAGUACUUGGAAUACUUCUUUUAUUUGCUCUCUUCUGUGAGAGAUUCAAGAAAUCUACCUCCGUUAACUCAAUUCCUUGUGGGUUUUUUGUCGCAUUGAGAUGCAUGAUAAUUGAGGGAUCUAGACACAAAAAGCUAAUGACAAAAAUAAUUUUCUGGAUCUUAACAUGUAAGAUCUUGAUGUUGUUGUUCUGUCAUGUGAAUAUGCACAGAUCGGAGAGCUAAAGAAGCUCGUUGAAGAGGGUAAGAUAAAGUACAUCGGUUUAUCCGAGGCCUCUGCAUCAACAAUCAGAAGAGCACAUGCUGUUCAUCCCAUCACAGCAGUGCAAUUGGAGUGGUCGCUUUGGUCCAGAGAUGUGGAGGCGGACAUCGUUCCAACGUGCAGGUAGGAUAUCACUCCGUUAAUUGUUUAUGCAGCAACAACAGCUUCCUUCUGACUCUGCUUUUCCUUUAAAAUGUUGACUAGGGAGCUUGGCAUUGGAAUUGUUGCCUACAGUCCUUUAGGACGAGGAUUCUUUUCUGUUGGCUCCAAGUUGGCGGAGAAUUUCUCAAAGGAUGACUUCAGACAGGUCUGUUUCUGCUGGUCGACAUAAUUAGAUGCUCACAGUGACUGUCAUUCUCAUUGAAGUGCUGGAAACCUGUUCUUGUGGUAUAAAGAAAAGUUUCUGGAUGGGAUGAAUAAAACUUGGUGACACAAAUGCAUCACGUUCUUAUAUGUCUUCAAUCCAGCACUCGCCAGACAUACUACCUCUCUCGAUUCUAGAUAAAUGUAAAAUCACAAGUAAUGGCUUUAGUGAGCCUGAAAGAGGUAGGUUCCCGGAUUCUCAUUCUUUUGGGAAUGAAUACAUAUAGGUUUAUAUGUAAGUUGCUCUGUUUCCCAGCCUUCCCAACAUUUGCUUAUCACUAUCCUUUCCCCACUUUCCACCCACCCUUUUUCUCUCAUCUUUCUUCACAAGAUUAGCGAUAUUUCCUCGAAAUAACUGACGCCAGUAUCGGGCUCUGGCCUUCCGUCCUUUUUCAUUCUCAUCUUUCUUCACAAGAUAAACUAUAUCUUGACACAACCAUUUCUUGAGUGAGGACUCACGACACCCUUCUUAUGAGAGUUUUGGAUCAAGUUCCCAUCUGACAUAAAGCCAAUUGUGUAUUACUCCCUGCCAUUAGCGUUUGACUAGCGAUAGCGCUGGGCAAGUGAAGUAGCUAUUUUUCUUUGUAGCUAAAAGAGCUCUGCGUCUGAUAACAUUCUUCUACACAUCAUCUACAUUUCUGAUUUUUUAUUUUAUGUGUGACUAAUGGUAUCAUCACACGUACAAAACUUAGAUUGUCGAGUUUGUUUCUGUUUUCACAUCCUACAUCAAGCCCAUCAGCCUUGUGUGGUAGUUGCUAGAUCACUUCGCUUGACGUUUCUAAUGCUUAUGAUUUGGGACAUGAUAUUUUAAUCAUUUCAAGAUUAUUUAUAACUGAUCAUGCUUAUCCAGAUAGACAACGAUUGCACACUUCUAAAUGCUUAUUAUGUCAAGUAACAAGACAAUCUGAUGGCAUGCAAUGCAACCACUUUUGCACUUGUUGCUGUAGAAUUUAGCCUUAAAAGGAAAAUGAUAAUUGCAAUUGCUUUCUGCUGAGACAUUGCUCUAUGUUAUGCAGUAUCAUCCAAGGUUCCAGCCAGAGAACUUGGCUCACAACACGAAGUUAUUUGACCGAGUGAAUGAAAUUGCGCAAAGAAAGGGAUGCACCCCAUCUCAGUUAGCCCUGGCCUGGGUACACCACCAUGGUGACGACAUUUGCCCGAUUCCCGGCACAACCAAGAUCGAGAAUUUCAACCAGAACAUUGGAGCUCUGUCAGUGAAGCUUACACAGGAAGAGAUGGCCGAGCUUGAAUUGAUUGCUUCUGCGGACAAUGUCAAGGGUGGCAGGUAUGAUGGAAGCAUAUCUACAUGGGAAAACUCCGACACUCCACCCCUUUCUUCUUGGAAACCUGCCUAGAAGCGUGUCUGCUUCUGUUGCUGCAUCUUUGAUGUGCAGAGUUUGAGCAUUUGCCGCUGAAGUAAUUUGAGUUGAUGUUGUGUGGCUGUUAUAAGUAUGUGUAAUAAGAGAGUGACUGUUUUCAUUUUGUACAUGUGACAUUCACUAUGAGAAGAUUAUGGAUGUGUACUAACCUUACUGGGGAAAGAUCACUCGAUAAACACGAGAGCGAGUUGAAUAUGAACUGAGCCUGCCUUGUCGACUUUAUGGGGUGACUUUUAGAAUCAAUUGGGAUUUUGAAGAAUUCAAACUCAGUCGUACAUACCGCUGGAAAUAUGGCUUCGAAAUUGGGUAGAACAAUGAAAUCGGAUCGAGUAAAAUAACUCGGACUUUGAGGCGCGAUAUCACUUUCUUUAAGGAUUUAUUUACCCCACAACGUUGCUAAUGGUCACCAGCAAAAAUCCUCCAGGAUACAACAAAGUCUCGGAUGAGAAUACUAGAUAGCAAUUCAAGUAUUUCUCCAGGGUCUCUCUAAGAAACAAUCGAAAAAUUGGAUGCUGUUUUUCAGAAAGGAAUACUCGAAAAUGACACUCUUUUUCUUUCCGAAAAUGAUAGAUAUAUAUAUGAAACAGUCUUGCNNNNNNNNNNNNNNNNNNNNNNNNNNNNNNNNNNNNNNNNNNNNNNNNNNNNNNNNNNNNNNNNNNNNNNNNNNNNNNNNNNNNNNNNNNNNNNNNNNNNUUUUUUUUUUUUAUUUCUUAUUUUUGUUCCAAAGUUGCUCUCACAAUAAAAAAAAAAAAGACCAGAAUAAAAGUAUAAACAAAUGAGUUUCUGUUCUUUUUUGGUUCUCUAGAACAAAAUAAUAAAAAUUUAUAUUUCGGGAAAAAAAAUAAUUUUAAAUGAACACACCCUAAGAUAUCUUUUGUAUUCCGGGGAAGUAGUUCAAUUGACGUGAGCCCGUGCGUCUUCCCUACAUGGGAAGGGUCGUCGCUGGGUCUCAUCUGACCUAAGCAAGCGCGUCUUCACAGCUAUUACCGCUCCCCUCCUACACUUCGUAGCUACCGCCACUCCCCUCCUAUAAAUCUCGGCUCGCCCGACGCCUUCGCCAUCGUCUCGGUGCAGUGCAGGGAACGAGCGAGCUCGAGCUAGACGACGGCAAUGGCGGCUUCGACGACGACGGUGAGGAGGAUCAAGCUGGGGUCGCAGGGCCUCGAGGUGUCGGCGCAGGGGCUGGGCUGCAUGAGCAUGUCCGCCUUCUACGGCCCUCCCAAGUCCGAGCCCGACAUGAUCGCCCUCAUCCACCACGCCGUCGGCUCCGGCGUCACCUUCCUCGACACCUCCGACGUCUACGGUCCUCACACCAACGAAAUCCUCCUCGGAAAGGUCGUUCUCUCAGUCUCUGUUUUGCGUCCGCAUGAAUUAUAUGUGCUUAUAGUGUUACGGAAUUUGGCUUCAUCGAGCAGAGUGCUCUGAUCCCGCGCCUUGGUUUUCUGAUUUCGGGGUUGAUUUUGAGCAGGCACUGAAGGGAGGGGUGAGGCAGAAGGUGGAAUUGGCGACCAAGUUCGGAAUCAGCUUCGCGGACGGGAAGAGGGAGGUCCGGGGCGAUCCGGCGUACGUGAGGGCGGCUUGCGAGGCCAGCUUGAAGCGGCUUGACAUCGAUUGCAUCGACCUCUACUACCAACAUCGCAUCGACACUCGCGUCCCCAUCGAAGUCACUGUAUGGAUCCCCCAUCAAACUUUCACCUCGCUUGAGACUUUCUCCGAGCCAUAUGAUUAGUUGCUAAGUUAGAUUGGUGUUGAUGAUGCAUCGUCAUGUUGUUACAAGUUUGUUGAAAUUUGUUAAAUGACACUUAAGUUCGGCUGAUAGCAGAGUUCAAGAUGCGGCACGUUGUUGUUCAAGGGGUUGUGGAAUUUAGUAGUUUAGUGGCUUGAGUUUUCGUUUUGUGGGCAUCUUUUACAAGUUAAGGGUCAACAAGCAUGAAAAUUAUUCAAAAUCUUCCUUUGAGAUGAAAGUGCUCCAGGGUUCAUCCAGAAUUUAUAUACGGGAAUCACAUAUAAAGUUGUUCCUGGACUUUAUGUGGAGACAUUUGAUUCUUAACAUAUUGUGAAAUAUGUCGAGUACUUGGAAUACUUAUUUUAUUUGCUCUCUUCUGUGAGAGAUUCAAGAAAUCUACCUCCGUUAACUCAAUACCUUGUGACUUUUUUGUCGCAUUGAGAUGCAUGAUAAUAGAGGGAUCUAGACGCAUAAAAAGCUAAUGACAUGCAUAAUUUUCUGGAUCUUAACAUGUAAGAUCUUGAUGUUGUUGUUCUGUCAUGUGAAUAUGCACAGAUCGGAGAGCUAAAGAAGCUCGUUGAAGAAGGUAAGAUAAAGUACAUCGGUUUAUCCGAGGCCUCUGCAUCAACAAUCAGAAGAGCACAUGCUGUUCAUCCCAUCACAGCAGUGCAAUUGGAGUGGUCGCUUUGGUCAAGAGAUGUGGAGGCAGAGAUCGUUCCAACGUGCAGGUAGGAUAUCACUCUGUUAAUUGUUUAUGCAGCAACAACAGCUUCCUUCUGACUCUGCUUUUCCUUUAAAAUGCUGACUAGGGAGCUUGGCAUUGGAAUUGUUGCCUACAGUCCUUUAGGACGAGGAUUCUUUUCUGUUGGCUCCAAGUUGGUGGAGAAUAUCUCUAAGGAUGACUUCAGACAGGUCUGUUCCUGCUUGUCAACAUAAUUAGAUGCUUACAUCAACUGUCAUUCUUAUUGAAGUGCUGGAAACCUGUUCUUGUGGUAUAAAGAAAAAGUAUCUGGAUGGGAUGAAUAAAACUUGGUGACACGAAUGCUUUGUGUUCUUAUAUGUCUUUAAUCCAGCACUUGCCAGACAUCCCACCUCUCUUGAUUCUAGAUAAAUGUAAAAUCACAAGUAAUGGCUUUAAUGAGCCUGAAAGAGGCAGUUUUCUGGAUUCUCGUGCUUUUGGGAAUGAAUACAUAUAGGUUUAUUUGUAAGUUGCUCUGUUUCCCAGCCUUCCCACCAUUUGCUAAUCACUAUCCUCUCCCCACUUUCCACCCACCCUUUUUCUCUCAUCUUUCUUCACAAGAUUAGCGAUAUUUCCUCAAAAUAGCUGACGCCAGUAGCGGGCUUUGGCCCUCCGUCCUUUUUCAUUCUCAUCUUUCUUCACAAGAUAAACUAUAUCUUGACACAACCAUUUCUUGAGUAAGGACUCCUAGCACCCUUCUUAUGAGAGUUUUGGAUCAAGUUCCCAUCUGACAUAAAGCCAAUUGAGUAUUACUCCCCGCCAUUAGCAUUUGACUAGCGAUAGUGCUGGGCAAGUGAAGUAGCUAUUUUUCUUUGUAGCUAAAAGAGCUCUGCGUCUGAUAACAUUCUUCUACACAUCAUCUACAUUUCUGAUAUUUAUUUUAUGUGUGACUAAUGGUAUCAUCACACAUACAAAACUUAGAUUGUCGAGUUUGUUUCUGUUUUCACAUCCUACAUCAAACCCAUCAGCCUUGUGUGGUAGUUUCUAGAUCACUUCGCUUGACGUUUCUAAUGCUUAUGAUUUGGGACAAGAUAUUUUAAUCAUGUCAAGAUAAUUUAUAACUGAUCAUGCUUUUCCAGAUACACAACGAUUGCGCACUUCUAAUGCUUAUUAUGUCAAGUAACAAGACAAUCCGAUGGCAUGCAAUGCAACCACUUUUGCACUCGUUGCUGUAGAAUCUAGCCUUAAAAGGAAAAUGAUAAUUGCUCAUAUGCUCUCUGCUGAGACAUUGCUCUAUGUUAUGCAGUAUCUACCAAGGUUCCGGCCAGAGAACUUGGCUCACAACACGAAGUUAUUUGACCGAGUGAAUGAAAUUGCGCAAAGAAAGGGAUGCACCACAUCGCAGUUAGCCCUGGCCUGGGUAUACCACCAGCGUGAUGAUGUUUGCCCAAUUCCCGGCACGACCAAGAUCGAGAAUUUCAACCAGAACACUGGAGCUAUGUCAGUGAAGCUUACACCGGAAGAGAUGGCCGAGCUUGAAUCGAUUGCUUCUGCGGACAAUGUCAAGGGUGGCAGGUACGAUGGAAGCAUGUCUACAUGGGAAAACUCCGACACUCCACCCCUUUCUUCUUGGAAACCUGCCUAGAAGCGUGUCUGCUUCUGUUGCUGCAUCUUUGAUGUGCAGAGUUUGAGCAUUUGCCGCUGAAGUAAUUUGAGUUUAUGUUAUGUGGCUGUUAUAAGUACGUGUAAUAAGAGAGUGACUGUUUUCAUUUUGUACAUGUGAUAUUCACUAUGAGAAGAUUAUGGAUGUGUACUAACCUUACUGGGGAAAGAGCACUCGAUAAACACGAGAGCGAGUUGAAUACGAACUGAGCCCGCCGUGCCGACUUUAUUGGGGUGACUUUUAGAAACUGAGAAAUCGGGAUUUUGAAGAAUUCAAACUCAGUCGUACAUACUAGAGUGACGCUUUAUUCUCCUCCAACCAUGAGUUCAAUACUAAAACCGUGUGCAACAUGCUCUUAAGACUGGAUGCCACACAUAGAUACAAAGCUUCGCUUUGUGUUUGGUUUGGUAGCGAAGUUAAGGAACAGUAAAAUGUUACCGGAUGUUCUCGCGAAAACGAAGUUGGGGUUAAAAUGCUGGCGGGGUUGAUAUGAGUGUCAGAGAAAUCGAAGGUUUCUUGUUCAAGUUUUACCACGUACGGUUCAUGAGCUUUUAUGUAGCUCGAUACCUUCGCUUAUGCGUCUGCAUUAUUAUAAAACGGUCGGAGAUAUUGUGCAAGUUUCCUAAAAUUAAAAAUGACACUUCUAUUGUUUUUUAUUUGGAGUUAGAGUGAAGCAAUAUUGUUUUGUUUUGGUUUAAGAAAAUAACGCAAAUAGUUAUUGAACUUUGGUCCAAUGUGUUAUGUUCUUACUGAACUUUUAACUUAUUUAAUAUGGUUGUCGAACUUUUUGUACAUGUUUAAUUUAAAUCCUAGGCUAGAUAAAUCCAAUGAUGCUGUGUUUGGUCGUUCAAACAUUGUUGCUGAUGCAGCCCGCAUUGAAGACCAGCUCUCUUGAUCAAGAAGAUCGGCCCACAUGCAAGCUCGAUGAAUCCUCUUAUCAAUGAAGUUGUCGAUUGUCGAUGAAGUUCGAUGAAGUUGUCGAUUCAACCGAGAAGCCAUAUUGAUAUCUUGAGUCCAUCCUGGAAGCUUGAAAGAAAACACCUUGUCGAUCUGUAUCGACAAAGAUAUGAUUGUUCUCCUAAGCUUGCAUAGUAAAUUUCUGUUCGUCUUAUUUCCUGUGUGCGAGUCACUCUCCCGAUCCUACCGUUUGAGAAAGCUUAACCUUGGCUUGCAUCAUUUUGGUAUUAGAGCUUUGGAGGAGAGGACAAUGCCUCCAAGACAAGCUAGAUGUCGUGGUGGCAGAACCAUUCCCCUCGAUGAAGUGCACACACUCGCUGAGAAUUUGCAACAAUGUAUGCAACAACAAAUUGACGAAUUGACGCUAGAAGUUUAGCGUUUGAGGGCUGAAGCAAAUAAUUCUCCACCUCGUUCCAGGACUGAAGAUUCCUAUGGUGACUCUUCCUCUUUGGAGAGUGUUCAAUCUAUUCACGGUUAGAGGAAUGUUUGACAUCAUUUACAACAUGUUCGUGAGCCAGAUUGGGAAAAGGAAGUCAUGUUCCAGAAUUUACAUGUACUAAGUCUCCUGAUGAAAUUGUUGAUUGGCUGACACUUGUGAAUGAGGUAUUUGAGCAUCGAAAUGUUCCGGAGAAUCGUCAAGUUGGGAUCAUUGCUAUGUGAUUCCAAGGCAAGGCAAUUGCUGGUGGAGACAUGAAAAACAAACUUGCCAAGCAGUUGGCAAAGCACUAAUCACUUUGUGGAGAAAGAUGGAGGGCAAGAUUCAAAAAUAUUUUCUUCCCAUAGGAUAUAAGAGAGAGCUCUACCAACGGUACCAAAAUCUAAAACAAGGUAAACAAACGGUGGAUCAAUACACCAAUGAAUUCAAUGUGUUGGUGAUUUGUAACAAUAUCUAGGACUCGGAGGAGGUGCUUGUGAACAAAUACUUGAACGGUCUUCAAUUUUACAUUCAAGAUGCCUUGGAAGUCCUCGACAUUUGGGACUUAGGACAUGCACACCAACGGGCACUCAAAAUGGAGCGCUCUCGUUCUUGGAGAUAGCAAUCAAUUACCAUGACAAGUCGGGCCACUAAGAGUACCACUAGCAUUGCUAAAGUUGUUGAGGGUACAAUGCAAUAUGCUAGUAAGCCUUCUACGCAACCCCAUGUUUCGAAGCAACCUGCUAUGUUCAAAAUAUGUUGCUAUUCUUGUGGGGAGUUGGGUCAUCAUGCUAGCAAUUGUCGAAUCAAUAAGAGUCAACCUAUCGGUAAAGCCUUCUUAGUGGAUAAUGAUUCUGAUGAGAAUAUUGAGGAUCCACUUGAAGAGGAGUUGAACAAUGAUGAAGAAGCUGUGCAUGAUGAACAAAUAGUGCAUGUUGACACUAGCGAACUUCUUACGGUGAGGAAAUUUUUUUUACUCCUUGAGAUGACACUGGAGAUAGAUGGCUGCGUACCAAUAUUUUUCAUUCUGCUUGCACAAUCAUGGGAAAGGUGUGUCAAUUAAUUAUUGACUAUGGUUGUUGUGAGUAUAUAAUUUUUGAAGUAGUGGCUAACAAGCUGGAGUUGGAAUUAAAGACGCACCCUACGCCUUAUAAAAUGUUGUGGUUGAAGAAAGGCGCUGAGGUAACUAUUUCAAAAUGAUGCCUUGUUAAUCUGUCCAUUGGUUUUGUUUAUAAUGACAAGAUAUGGUGUGAUGUUCUGCCGAUAGAUGCUAGUCACAGUAUUCUUGGUCGACUGUGGCAAUUCGAUAGGAGGACUAUGCAUGAUGGUUAUCGAAAUACAUAUUCUUUUGAAUUUGGAGGCAAGAAGAUUAUGUUGGCACCUAGUAGGGAACCUUGAGAAUUCCUUCUCCCCUACGUUGUUUACAAUGAAGGAUAUGAACGAUGCUUUGAAAGGAGUUUGUAUCUUGUAUAUUUUGCUUAAUAAAACUAGUGAGAAGAAUGAAGUUGCCUCUAUCAUGCCUCAUUGAGUUCAACCUCUUUUGGAAGAGUUCAAGGAUGUCCUCUCGAUGGACUUACCCGAUGGUCUCCCUCCUAUUAGAGAUAUUCAGCAUCAAACCGACUUGAUGCCUGGAGCCUCUUUGUCGACUCUCGCUCAUUACCGAAUGAGUUUGACCGAACAUGAGGAAUUGCAUCAACAAGUUAUGGAGCUAUUGAAUAAGGGUUUUAUAAGGGAGAGCCUCAGUUCGUGUGCUGUUCCAGCUCUUUUAGUGCCUAAGAAAAAUGGUACUUGGAGGAUGUGUGUCGACAAUAGAGCGAUCAACAAGAUCACCAUCAAGUAUUGAUUUUCUAUUCCUCGCCUUGAUGAUCUCUUAGAUCAACUUUCUGGUGCAAUUAUAUUCUCGAAGCUAGAUUUGAAGAGUGGAUACCAUCGAAUUAGAAUCAAACUCGAAGAUGAAUGGAAGACAGCAUUCAAAAAUAAAGUUGGGCUACAUGAGUGGCUAGUCAUGCCAUUUGGAUUGUCGAAUGCACCAUUGACAUUCAUGAGGUUCAUGACUCAGGUGUUGAAGCCUUUUCUGGGAAAGUUUAUUGUGGUUUAUUUUGAUGAUAUCUUGAUUUUUAGCAAGUCUACUGAUGAGCACUUGUAGCAUCUUCAAGAAGUAUUAUGUGUGUUGAGGCAGGAAUGAUUGUAUGAGGCUCUCAACAAGUGCUAUUUUAUGGUACCACAAAUCCUUUUCUUGGGGUUAUAUAUUUCAAAGAAUGGCAUUUCGGUGGAUGAUUCUAAGAUCAAGGUGAUUCGAGAAUGGCCAACUCCAACAAAUGUGCAUGAAGUGCAACGUUUUCUUGGUCUCGCUUCAUUUUAUCGACAGUUUAUUGCGCAUUUUAGCACCACUGCAGCCCCACUCACUUCUUGCAUGAAGAAGGGAGAGAAAGCCCAACCUUGGCUUGCAUCAGUUGCUCUAUGGGAUGAUGAUAGGAUAAAAAUCCCAUCUAUUAUUUCUUGACGUCUGGAUACAGCAUGAUUCAAAUAAAUAUUUUUUAAAUGAGUGUUUGAUUUGUAUAAUUAAAAUUAAAAUUAAACCAUGGAAGUCGUAAAUACUAUUCAUCCUUUCACAAUCUUCAUCCAUAUCAAACACCCCCGUUCCAUGUGACUUCAAGGACUCUCGCUCCUUCUGCAACACCCCUUUCGCUGCCCUUGAUCAACUUGAUGGAUUACGCUCGCUCUACCUUUGACUUCGCCACAUUGAGAGGCCCUUGGGUUUGAGUUCUCCGCUAGUCUAGCCAUCUUUACUUUCAACGCUUUUCCUGCGAUGAAUCCAUCCCCUUCGACGAGUGCGAAUACUGCGUCGAUUCCCUGUUACCGUGCCCCGACUUGUUCAGUCACUUCAACAGCUUCCCCCGAGACAGCGUGCGGAUCCGGUUUGUGAGUGGUAGCACGAUCGGUACUAGUUGCUCCGAGUGACGUGGUUGAGGAGCUCUAUCACCUUGGCUGCCGCCUCUUUCGGAUCAUCUUCUUCACAGAGGAGGUGUCCAGCUUUGAUCGGGAUCACAAAUUUCCCUACUAAAAUGAAGUUGAGUGACACAAGAAAGAGGUAGGGCUGACGAGCUCCGCGAUACUCAUGCUCAUGCUCUAAUUUUGUGGUGGUCAUUUUAGCGAGACAAAUUGGAACAAGAGAGAGAUGAUGGUGACACUGGUCAAAAGCGCCCCGGGGGGUGGUCAGUUUUUCAAAUUUCACAUAUUUUAUCUGGCUUUAUAUACUUUCUAGAUGUGAUUUUUUAUCCGGACUAUAUCCUAAUUUCACAUUACUCUAGACACCAUAUAGGAUUAAACUUAUCAUAUUAGAGUUCUAUCCAGCCCUUCAAAUGCAGUCUUAUGAGAUAGAAUGCAAUGAUAUAAUCUGUGAACUAAAUUUAAACAUUUAUUAAAAGUUUACGAACGAAAUUUCACAUUUUGAUUGUUAAGAUGCAUGAGUGAGUUAUGUUAAAAUAAUCACAUAAUAUAUUGAUAGCUUUAAAAAUGGGCCUUCUCUUGGUGAUGACGUUGAUCCAUAUGGAGAAAUUAAUGAGAGGGUUUAUUUGGCCUAACUAAAUGGGAGGCUAUGGGCUCGUUUGAUAACGUUUCUGUUCAAAAAUUGUUCCAGGGAAUAGAAAUAAAAAAAAAAGUGUUUCUGUUCCGGGGAACAAUUUUUGACCAAAAACACUCGUUUGGUAAACUUGUUCUGGGAACAAUUCUUUUUUUGUUUCUUUUAAUUUUUUAAUAUUUUUAUUUUAUUUUUAUUUUUUUCCUUUCUUUUUUCUUUUUUCUUUUUUUCUUCUUUUGGCGGGCGACCGGCUGACGGGGGCCGACAGCCUCGCCCAGCCACGGCGAGGCCAAGCCUUGCCGGUGCGGGCGAGGCUGAGCCUCGCCUUGGCUGGGUGAGCUUGGCCUCGCCCAGAUCUAGUGAGGCCGAGCCUUGUUGGCCACUGGGCAAGCUCGGCCUCAUCAGCCACUGGGCGAGCUCGCCCAGCCAAGGCGAGGCCGAGCCUCGCCCAACUACAGCCAGGCUCGGCCUCGCUGGGGGCCGGCGACGCUCCGGCGAGGUCGUCGGCCCUCGACGGCGUCGCUGACCCUCGACGGCCGGUCGCCGGCCAUGGCCGAGGCCAGCAAUCGGCCAAAGAAAAAAGAAAGAAAAAAGAAGAAGAAAAGAAAAAGAAAAAAGAGAAAAGUGUUAAAAAAAUUUGUUUCAGAAACAAGAAACAACUUUUUUUUUGUUUUUUGUUUCUGUUCCAGAUGUGUUUUUGGGAACAAAAAAAAUAGUUUUGGAACAAAAACGCACACAAACGCGUUUCUGUUCCCUUUUUGUUCUCAGGAAAAAAAAACAGAAAAAUUGUUCAAAAACAUAAAAAAGAAACAACAACAAAUGCAGCCUAUAUCAAUGGGAGGUUUUUCAUUGUAACAUUCCCUUGUGCUUGGAAUUUGUUUUUUAGUAAAGGAUUUUAUUAGCAUAAUAAUAGUCUUUGGAUUAUUAUGUGAAUAACAAUUUAUUGUGAGUCACAAUUUUUUUUUUAAAGUAAUGAACCCCAUAAUAAUUUCAAUUAUUUGUUACUUUAUUUUCGUAGUUGUUAGAAAAAUAGAAAGCUUGGAAUUUUGGGAGAAUUGUAUAUUGCUUUUCUAUAUUCCUUUCAAUAUGUAAUUACAAUCUAUUUAUAAUACAGAGAGUCUAAAAUAAUAAAGGAAUAAAAAUAUACACAAUAUCCCAAAGAUGUACAUAAAAUAUUCCCUAUCAAUUAAGAUCAAUCGACAUCAGCAACGGUAUCUUCAACACUCCCCCUCAAGCUCGGCGGUUUAUACACAUCGAAGACGCCUAGCUUGUUUAAUAGAUACAAAUGUUGCCUCUGACAUAAAGCCUUGGUAAAAAUGUCUGCAGGUUGCUCUGUUGUUCUUAUCUCUUUUGUUCUAAUCACCCCACUUUGGAUCUUGUCUCGAAUGAAGUGACAAUCAACCUCUAUAUGUUUUGUCCUUUCAUGAAAUACUGGGUUCAUUGCAAGCUUAAUUGCAGCAUCAUUAUCACAAAAUAGGACAAUGGGCUCUCUUAUCUGUACACCAAGGUCUUGAAGGAGGCCUCUUAUCUAGACUAUCUCACAGCUAGUCUUCGCCAUUGCUCGGUAUUCUGCCUCAGCGGAUGAUAAAGAUACGGUUGACUGUUUCUUUGUCUUCCAUGAAAUUAGAGAAUCCCCUAAUUUUAUACAGAAUCCUAUGACUGAUCUUCUACUCAUGGGACAAGUAGCGUAAUUUGUGUCACAAUAUGCUGUCAUCUCCAAAUUGUUGUCUCGAGACAACAAUAUUCCCAAUCCAGGACACCCUUUUAAGUAUUUUAUGACUUUCAGUGCCGCAUUCAUGUGAGACUGUUUCGGAGCAUGCAUAAACUGGCUAAGAAUCUGAACUGCAUAAGAAAUGUCUGGCCUGGUCAUGGUCAAAUAAAUAAGCUUUCCAACAAGUCUUUGAUAAGCAGAAGGAUCUUUAAGCAAAGGAUCCUUGUUUACAGGUGACAACCCUUUGUCAUAUUCAGCUGUCGUUAAUCUGAUAUUCUGAUCAAUUGGAAUAACAGCCGGUCUAGAUCCUAACAAACCGGCUUCUGACACAAUUUCUAAGACAAAUUUCCGUUGGCUAAGACAAAUGCCCUUAUUUGACCGUGCAAUUUCUAUCCCAAGAAAGUAUUUGGGAGAACCCAAAUCCUUAAUAUGAAAUGUAGAAUGCAAAUACUCAUUGAAUUUCUCAAUGGCAGGCGCAUCGUUUCCCAUAAUGAGUAUAUCGUCAACAUAUAUAAGUAAAUAGAUUGACGACAUACCUUGUUUCCAUGUGAAUAAAGCAUAGUCAUGCUUAGAUUGCUGGAAUUUUGCAGUUGUAAGUGCACCGGUGAACUUGGCGUACCAUUGACGAGAAGCUUGCUUGAGUCCAUAUAGGGAUUUCUGAAGACGGCACACACUCCCCUCCCCCUGUCUGCGAAAUCCCGGUGGAAUAUCCAUAUAAAUCUCUUCUUCAAGAUCUCCAUGUAAAAAAGCAUUGUGAACGUCCAUUUGAUGAAGGGGCCAGUCACGGAUGGCAGCAAUGGAAAGAAAAGACCGUAUGGUGACUUCUUUGGCAACUGGAGAGAAAGUUUCCGUAUAGUCAAAGCCUUCCUUCUAUGUGAAUCCCUUCGCAACCAAUCUGGCCUUGUAAUGUUCAAUGGAUCCAUCUGCUUUAUAUUUGAUAUUGUAUACCCAUUUGCAUCCUAUGGAUCGACGAUGGGGAGGUAGACGAACAAUAUCCCAAGUCUCAUUUUCGAUGAGAGCUUGUAACUCAUCUUUCAUAGCCUGUUGCCAACGAGGAUCCUUGGCAGCCUCAUCAUAAGAGGAAGGUUCCUGCUGUGCAAAAAUUCUACUAACAUAGCAUAUAUGUUCAAGAGAGAGAUUAGCAAAACUGACAUAAGAGGAGAUGGGGUAUUGUGUACCACGCCUUUUUGACGAUGAACAAACGUAAUCCGCUGUCCAUGUUGGUGGUCGGACUGUGCGUCUUGAUCGCCGAAGAUUAGUUGGUUCAGAUGGAACAUCAGUUUGUGAGGCUGCAGAGACAUCAUCCGCCGGAAUAUUUGCUUGCAAAAAAUCAGGUCCUUCAAGUAUACUUGAUGAAGGAAGACUGGAAAUUGCAUUGUCCCCAUCUGAGCUGAUAGGUGCAUUGAUACUUGAGGAUGCUAUAGGAGAUAUCAUUUGUGGAAGCAUCAUCAUUGAUCCUUGUGGAGGAUCGUCUUCAUGCAGAAAGGGACGAGAAGAUGUCAGGGGAUCAUCAUGCUGAUAUGAUGGUAGCCUAUCCUUGAAAGGGAAGACAUCUUCAUGAAAUGUGACAUCUCUGCUGACAAAGAAUCUGCCAGUAGAUGGAUCAAGAACCAAGUAUCCUUUUUGAAGGGUAGAAUAUCCCAUAAAUACCGCAAGAAAGGCACGNNNNNNNNNNNNNNNNNNNNNNNNNNNNNNNNNNNNNNNNNNNNNNNNNNNNNNNNNNNNNNNNNNNNNNNNNNNNNNNNNNNNNNNNNNNNNNNNNNNNGGACGUUUUCCAAACAAUGACUCGAAUGGAGUCUUUCCACUCAAAAUUCGAGAUGGCAUUCUAUUGAUCAGGCAUGCUGCUGUGACCACACAGUCUCCCCAAAAAAUUUUAGGAAUUGAAGCUUGAUACUUAAGAGCUCGAGCGACUUCUAACAAAUGACGGUGUUUCCUUUCUACAAUCCCAUUUUGUUGGGGAGUAUAAACACAAGAGCUUUCAUGAAGAAUGCCAUUGGAAAUGAACAAUGAAGAACAUUCAUGAUUAAAGAAUUCUCGUGCAUUGUCAGUACGAACCCGUUGUACGGAUUUGUUAAAUUGAUUUUUGAUCAGGACAAUGAAAUUUUUGAGAUGUGAAAGAACUUGGGCUUUGGAUUGCAUAAGAAAAACCCAAGUUGCUUGAGUAUGAUCAUCUACAAUAGUAAGAAAGAAGCGUGACCCAUCACGAUGAGAGGUGUGAUAUGGGCCCCAAAUGUCUAUGUGCAAUAGAGAGAAGGCUCUAGUAGCACGCGAUGCACUUUGUGGAAAAGACAUUAUAGACUGUUUAGCUAAUGGGCAUAUAGGACACUUAGGAUGAGGAAAAAUGGCGCUGUGGCCUAGACGCUGAUGAGAUAAAAAAGGUAUCUUUAUUAUGAUUGGCAUUACAUAAGAUGCUCUUAUUGAAUGAAAAAUUCUUUGGAAAUGCCGUCCAGAAAUAAAGUCCCUCGAAAUUCCUACCUGAGCCCAUCAGUGUCCUAGUCAAAGGGGCCUGGAAGAGACAAGUGUCAAAAUCGAAAAUGACCUGACAGAAAUUGUCUUGACAAAUCUUGGAUACAUAAAUGAGAUUGAACUGAAAAUUCAGAAUGAAGAGGACAUUUUUUGGUGUGAUGGAAGAGCUCAGUUUAACAUCCCCAAUUUUAUCUACUGAAAUAUCACUACCAUUUGGGAGGCGAACGGAAGUGUGAUUUGAGGAUUUUUCUAAUUUAGAGAAGAACCGUUCAUCACAGACUAUAUGGUCACUAGCACCUGAAUCAAUAAUCCAUGCGUUGCUCGAAAUAUUGCAGUUCAAACAAUGAGAAAUACCUGCAUAGCUAGGCAUCUUUUCUUGAAUGCCCAUCUGACUUAAGGUCCUCAUGAUUUGUUGGAGUUGGUCAUUGCUGAUGGGUUGAUUUACCUUAGCAUUUGUUGCUAUAGAAUUUCCAAUAGAAAAUUCUCAUUCCUUCUUCUCCCCUGGUCUUCCAUGCAAUUUCCAACAAUUUUCUUUGGUAUGAUAAGGUUUUUUGCAAUAAUCACAAAAUUUACCUUUCCAUUUGUUUGAAUUAUUUCUGGUCGAAGACGUGGCAAAAUUUGGGCCGUUGGAUCGCUUUAAAACGGACGCUGAUGGUCCGUUCGAUCGCGGUGCUGCAAGGGCGAAAUUUGAGCCGUCCGAUCGCGCAAAAGAACCUCCACUGUCCGAUCGCGCAAAAGAACCUCCACCGUCGGAUCCGAAGAUUGGAUCUCGGCCAUUCAAUCCGCGCGAGCUGCCCGAGCCGUCCGAUCUCCCGAAAUGAUCCUGGCCGCCCAUUUGAGACAUAUAAAAAACCUCAUCUUCUUCCUUCCGAAACCCUAGUGUUCCUGCCCUUUUCGAAAAACCUCCAUGGUCGGACCUUGAAGACCCGAGCCGCUGCUCCGACGAAGCCUUGGCCGCGAGAACGACGCGCUCGCCACUCUUCACAUACUCGGACGACGCCAGCUUCUGGGAUUCUUCUUGAACCGCAAGCUGGUAUAGGACNNNNNNNNNNNNNNNNNNNNNNNNNNNNNNNNNNNNNNNNNNNNNNNNNNNNNNNNNNNNNNNNNNNNNNNNNNNNNNNNNNNNNNNNNNNNNNNNNNNNNNNNNNNNNNNNNNNNNNNNNNNNNNNNNNNNNNNNNNNNNNNNNNNNNNNNNNNNNNNNNNNNNNNNNNNNNNNNNNNNNNNNNNNNNNNNNNNNNNNNNNNNNNNNNNNNNNNNNNNNNNNNNNNNNNNNNNNNNNNNNNNNNNNNNNNNNCACUCUGACCCGGGAAGGACCAGUUCGCCCCAUAUCCGGACCCGCUCCAGGUAUGUGAGAUGAGCUUUCCUUUAGCCCACCAAUCCUUCCGGGGUUGAUUUGAGGUGAAUUCUGUGUCGAAUCUCCUUGAUUUGGUUGGAUUGAUACAGGUACCCACUGAACGUAUGGUCUUGUGAGGGGAUUUCCAGGAUUAAAUCCUAUGUUGAGCUGUGCAGGCUGCACGAGGCUUGUUUGACUUUCUGAUGGAUUCAUCUGUCGUUUUGUAGGGAUGACUUGUGGAUUUCCCUCAAUCCCCACAGAAACGCCGGAAGUUGAAUCCUCAGUCUUUGACAUGAUUUCUCCCUAAGAAGGCGUUGCGGAAGCUAGGCCAAGGCGGGAGGCUCUGAUACCAUGUCAGAAAAAUAGAAAGCUUGGAAUUUUGGGAGAAUUGUAUAUUGCUUUUCUAUAUUCCUUUCAAUAUGUAAUUACGAUCUAUUUAUAAUACAGAGAGUCUAAAAUAAUAAAGGAAUAAAAAUAUACACAAUAUCCCAAAAGAUGUACAUAAAAUAUUCCCUAUCAAUUAAGAUCAAUCGACAUCAGCAACGGUAUCUUCAACAGUAGUAACUGUUGUUUUCAAUUAAGUUUGCAUCGGAGAAGAGAUUAUUUUGUUUUGCUACGCUUGUCGGAUAUUGCGCAGGAUAUUGUCAUUUUCUUAGCACUAGCAACGUUGCGUUCAGACAAGGCGGCAUGGAAUUAUUUGCUUAGCUGCACAUCGCACGACCAUACAUUCAUGGACUGUUCCUCAGGAAAGCAUAUAGACAUGUGGCAGAUGCAGAACAUUUCACGAGAUUAAAAAAAAAAGAAAAUAAUUUUUAAAAAACAAUACUUUCGACUUCAAAACGUGCCAAUCGAACGCCUGCUAGUCCCGCCUAUAAAGCUCGGCUCACCCAACGGCUUCGUUGUCGUCUCGAACUGUCCAUUCUCCAUUCUCUGUUCUUGCAUCGACCUCGAGCUAGAGGAUGGCCCGCAAUGGCGUCGUCAGACGGUGAGGAGGAUCAAGUUGGGGUCGUAGGGUCUCAAGGUCUCGGCGCAGGGGCUGGGCUGCAUGGGCAUGUCUACUUCGCCGGCCCUCCCAAGCCCAACCCCGACACGAUCGAGCUUGUCCACCACGCCGUUGAAUCUGGCGUUGCCUUCCUCGACACCUCCGACAUCUAUGGCCUUAACGCCAAGGAAGUCCUCCUUGGAAAGGUCGGUAUUUAUUUUGUAGAUAUAAUUGAAGAUCUUGAUCGUGACGCCAAUCCUAAUUGCGGACUAAUUGANNNNNNNNNNNNNNNNNNNNNNNNNNNNNNNNNNNNNNNNNNNNNNNNNNNNNNNNNNNNNNNNNNNNNNNNNNNNNNNNNNNNNNNNNNNNNNNNNNNNNNNNNNNNNNNNNNNNNNNNNNNNNNNNNNNNNNNNNNNNNNNNNNNNNNNNNNNNNNNNNNNNNNNNNNNNNNNNNNNNNNNNNNNNNNNNNNNNNNNNNNNNNNNNNNNNNNNNNNNNNNNNNNNNNNNNNNNNNNNNNNNNNNNNNNNNNNNNNNNNNNNNNNNNNNNNNNNNNNNNNNNNNNNNNNNNNNNNNNNNNNNNNNNNNNNNNNNNNNNNNNNNNNNNNNNNNNNNNNNNNNNNNNNNNNNNNNNNNNNNNNNNNNNNNNNNNNNNNNNNNNNNNNNNNNNNNNNNNNNNNNNNNNNNNNNNNNNNNNNNNNNNNNNNNNNNNNNNNNNNNNNNNNNNNNNNNNNNNNNNNNNNNNNNNNNNNNNNNNNNNNNNNNNNNNNNNNNNNNNNNNNNNNNNNNNNNNNNNNNNNNNNNNNNNNNNNNNNNNNNNNNNNNNNNNNNNNNNNNNNNNNNNNNNNNNNNNNNNNNNNNNNNNNNNNNNNNNNNNNNNNNNNNNNNNUUAGACAUUGCUUUAUGUUAUGAAGUACCUACCAAGGCUGCGGCCAGAGAACUUGGCUAACGCAAAGUUAUUCGACCAAGUGAAUGAAAUUGCACAAAGAAAGGGAUGCACCCCAUUGCAGUUAACCCUCGCGUGGGUACACCACUGGAGUGAUGACGUUUGCCCGAUGCCCGGCACGAUCAAGAUCGAGAAUUUCAACCAGAACAUUGGAGCUCUGUCAGUGAAGCUUUUGCCAGAAGAGAUGGCCAAGCUCAAAUCAAUUGCUGAUAUGGACAAUGUCAGGCGUGAGAAUUAAAACCACAUUUGAUACUAAAUUAUGCCUAGGUAGAAAUUCAAAACUCCACCUCCCGCUUUUCAUGUGGGAAGUUUGGCCCCACCUCGCGCUUAUGGAAAGAGUAAUCACGAAGACAUCACAAUAGUUCAAUUGACGUGAGCAGGUACGUCUUCCCUACAUGGUAAGGGUCGUCACUGGGCGUGCAAUUGACGUAAGCACGUGCGUCUUCACAGCCACUACCGCUCCCCUCCUACUCAUCGUAGCUUCUGCCACUCCCCUCCUAUAAAUCUCGGCUCGCCCGACGCCUUCGCCAUCGUCUCGGUGCAUUGCAGGGAACGAUCGAGCUCGAGCUAGACUACGGCAAUGGCGGCAUCGACGACGACGACGGUGAGGAGGAUCAAGCUGGGGUCGCAGGGCCUCGAGGUGUCGGCGCAGGGGCUGGGCUGCAUGAGCAUGUCCGCCUUCUACGGCCCUCCCAAGUCCGAGCCCGACAUGAUCGCCCUCAUCCACCAUGCCGUCGGCUCCGGCGUCACCUUCCUCGACACCUCCGACGUCUACGGUCCUCACACCAACGAAAUCCUCCUCGGAAAGGUCGUUCUCUCAGUCUCUCUUUUGCCUCUGCAUGAAUUAUAUAUGCUUAUGGUUUUACGGAAAUUUGCUUCAUCGAGCAGGAUGCUCUGAUCCUGCGCCUUGGUUUUCUGAUUUCGGGGUUGAUUUUGAGCAGGCACUGAAGGGAGGGGUGAGGCAGAAGGUGGAAUUGGCGACCAAGUUCGGAAUCAGAUUCGCGGACGGGAAGAGGGAGAUCCAGGGCGAUCCGGCGUACGUGAGGGCUGCUUGCGAGGCCAGCUUGAAGCGGCUCGACAUCGAUUGCAUCGACCUCUACUACCAGCACCGUAUCGACACUCGCGUCCCCAUCGAAGUCACUGUAUGGAUCCCUUAUCAAACUUUCACCUCGCUUGAGACUUUCUCUGAGCCAUAUGAUGCAUCGUCAUGUUGUUACAAGUUUGUUGAAUUUUGUUAAAUGACACUUAAGUCAGCUGNNNNNNNNNNNNNNNNNNNNNNNNNNNNNNNNNNNNNNNNNNNNNNNNNNNNNNNNNNNNNNNNNNNNNNNNNNNNNNNNNNNNNNNNNNNNNNNNNNNNUUUUAUAUAUUUUAUUUCCGAAAUUCUCAAAAUAAAAGACAACAUUUGAAUUUACUAACAAUUAAUAAAAAUUGUUGGAGAAAUCUUCCUGGAGUAUUUUGAAGCUGACAAAACGUUUCCAUCAGUCUAAUCUGAAGAUUUGCAGACUCUACUAUUUAAAGUCUGAAGACCUCCGGACUGCCAGAUUCAAGAUUCAAAGUCUAUUCUCAUUGACAGUUUCUAGAUCGUCGAAGAAGGGUUAUCCAGAACUUGAUGUUUCAUUAAGGAUUUGACCUUAUCGACUGGAGAAGAUCUCUUGGCUGGAUAUGUCAUAACAGAAUCCUUUAUUUGAUCAUGAUUGAUUCAGAGAUUAAGGAUCUGAUGAUUGGCGAAGUAUACUUGGUUCUACUUAUGGAAACCGAGAUCCUAAUUGUAUGGGCGAGCAAAAUUGAUGGGCUAUCGACAUGUUCCUUUAAUAGCUCGAAUGAUCUUCCUAAUUGAUUUCGUCCAACGGGUAGAUUGGAGGAAUUCUUUUGGUAAGUGCCAACGGAUAUGAUGGCAUAAAGGAGUAUAAAAGGAAGACGUUCCAGUUGUUCGAGUGUGUACACGAUAGAAAAAUUCCAAAGUCUGAAGCUCUUUGUUCUUAGUCAAUUCAUUUACUGAGCAAAAUCUUGUACACAAAAGAGAGUAUAUACUUUGAGAGACCUUAAAGAAGUGUGGUAGAGGUUCUACACUGUGGAAUCAAGGAAGAGACUUGAUGUAACAUCUCUUUUGUUCAUAGUGAAAUCUAGCCGGUGGGCUGUUAGUGUGGAAGAGUGGAUGUAGGCUUGAAAUAAGCCGAACCACUGUAAACCUCGUGUUCAAUUUUCUCUUUCCUACUCUCUGCUUUACUUUGAUCAUAAUUCAUCCUGUUAACCAAAGAAGAACUUCCUUCUAUUGUCUGCUUAGUAUUGUUCUUAUAUCACGAAGAAUUAUUUUUACACACCUACUCACCCCCCUCCAUGUGCUUAUACUAGCUAUCUCAAUUGGUAUCAGAGCUUGUGUACUCACUUUGUUUGAAGUGUUUUACUUCAGAGUUAAAGAUCCAUAACUAGUAUGUUAACUCCAAGGCUGGUAGAAGGCCAAAGCAAUACCAGACCGCUUUACUUUGAUGGAAAGCAUUACAAUAUAUGGAAAAACAAGAUGAAGGCGUUCCUAAGAUCAAAGGAUCCUCUGGAAUGGGACGUUGUUGAAAAAUGAAUCAUUCCUAAAGCUGCGCCUAUCUCAGAGAGAGAAAAAUAUACUGUUGAGUCUAGUAAAAUGACUCAGGAAGAGAUAAUCAAGAGACAAGCUCUUGAUACAAAAGCAAUUUAUUUUUUAUAUUGUGCAUUGUCACCUACUUAAUAUAACAAAAUAUUUUCUUGUUUUACAGCUAAAGAAGUCUGGGAUAGAUUACACAUCACUUAUGAAGGAACUGAUCGAAUGAAAGAAACCAGAAUCAACAUUCUGCUCGGUCAAUAUGAAGCAUUCAAAAUGAAAUCUAGAGAAUCUAUCACUGACAUAUUUAGUCGUUUUACAGAGAUUGUGAAUGGCCUUGAAAAUCAAGAGCAACCAAUUUCUGAUCCCAUAAAAGUAAACAAGCUUCUUUGUGGACUCUAUAAGGAUUGGAAUAACAUAAAGACCUUAAUAAGAGAGACACAAAAAAUUAUGCCACUUUCGGUCGAUGAAUUGGUUGGGACUCUUCAGUCUUAUGAAGUAGAGCGAAUCAACGAAGAUGAAGAUCCUUAAGGUAAGAAAUCCAUUCCAUUAAAAUCUAAUGAUAAUUCUGAUGUCACAGAUUCUGAAGACGAUAUGGAUGGCGAAGAGCUUGCUCUCAUGAUAAGAAAAUUCAGAAAACUGAACAGAAAAUGAAGAAGAUUCAAUCCAAAGAAACAGAGUUUUCAAAAGCAACAGACUAAGUCUGUUGAGGAUGAUGAAUCAAACAAAGAUGUAGUCUGCUUUGAAUGCAAGAAAAAUAGACACAUCAGACCCAACUAUCCUCUUUUGAGGAAGAAGAAAGGAAAAUCUGAAAAAUAUUGAAAGGCUCUUAAAGUAGAAACCUGGAGUGAUAUAGAGUGUGAAGAAAGUGAUGAUGAUUAUGCCAAUAUAUGUUUGAUGGCACAAUCGGAUUCAGAUUCAAACUCCGAGACAAACUUAGAUUCAGACAGUGAAUUUAAGGUGAGUAACUUUAAAAUCCCUAUUAAAGUUUCUAAAUACAUUGAUGAAUUGUGUUUCAGUCUUAAGACUUCUCUUAAAAGGAUUUCCAAACUUAAAAAGGAAAAUUCUGCACUAAAACAACAAGAAAAUGUUUUGAAAGAAAAUGUCAAAGUUUUAGACAAAAAUGUUUCUACCUUGAAAGAAAAUGAAGGCAAUCUUUCAAAAGAAAAUGCAUUCUUGAAAAAUGAUAUCUCAAAUAUUUCUAAAUGAUUUUCUAUAGGAUCUGAGAAACUAGAAAAAAAUUCUUUCUGUUCAAAGACCUUAUUUCAAUAAAUCUGAUUUGGGAAUGUCUGCAUAAACCAUUCAUUUAAUUGAUUUUCCUAAAGUAAAGGAAAUAAUUAAGCAAAGACCCACAAGAGAUGCUUACAAAAAUCAUUUUAAAAAGAUCUUUGUAAAACUAGUAGGUCACAAUGCUCUCAGAUGUUCAAAGUGCAAUAGUGCAAAUCAUUUUGAAAAAGAAUGCCCUAUGGUUUGGAAACUUGUUAAGAAAGUAUGGGCAAAAACCGCAUGUCAUACUAACACCAAUGGACCCAAGAAAAUAUGGGUACCAAAGAAAGUUUGAGUUUCUUUUUUAAAUGCAGGUCACUAUCAAGAAAAAGGUAAAAUGGUAUCUGGAUAGUGAUGCUCAAGACAUAUGACAGGAGAUUCAAAUUUUUUGUAAAGCUCGUUCAAGUAAAUUGUGGAAAAGUCUCAUUUGGAGGGAACGGCAAAGGAAGAAUUGUGGGAUUUGGAACUGUAAAAAUUGGAAACCUCACAAUAAGUAAUGUUUCCUUAGGGGAAGGACUCAACUACAAUCUGCUCAAUAUCAGUCAGCUGUGUGAUACCGGUUUCAAAAUCAAUUUUCAAGAGGGAAUAUAUUCAGGAACCAGUAAAGAUUCUACUCAGUCAUUCAUGGGUCGAAGACAUGGAAAUAUCUACCUCUUGGAUGUGAAACCAGAUGCAUCACAAUGUCUAAUCUCAAUUCAAGACAAAGCGAACUUAUGGCACAGAAAACUUGGGCACAUCAAUAUAAAGCAGAUAGCCAAAAUUUCAGCAAAAAGGCUUGUUCGUGGUUUACCCAAUCUAUCAUACCAAAAGUCUGAUCUAUGUACACCAUGCAUAUUGGGAAAGCAGGUAAGAAAUUCCUUUAAACCAAUAAAUCAAGUUUCCACUAAUCGUGUAUUGCAGCUUCUGCAUAUGGAUCUCUUUGAACCAACUAGAACUUAAAGCAUUGAAGGUAAGAAAUAUUGCCUAGUAACUGUGGAUGACUACUCACGAUUUACUUGGGUAUAUUUCCUGGUAAGUAAGUCUGAAACCUUCUCUUACUUUAAAAAGUUUGCUAAAAAUGUUCAAAAUGAAAAAAAGGGUAUAUUAUUUCAAGCAUAAGAACAUACCAUGGAGGUGAAUUUGAAAAUCAAGAUUUUACAAAGUUUUGUGAUGAAUCUGGUUUUCAGCAUGUGUUCUCCUCUCCAUAUACUCCAGAGCAAAACGGAGUUGUGGAAAGAAAGAACAGGUCGCUUCAAGAAAUGGCUAGAACACUUUUAAUUGAAAGUAACAUCUCUUCACGUUUUUGGGCUGAAGCCGUUUCUACAGCAUGUUAUAUUAUUAAUAGAGUUUUUCUAAGACCAAUUCUAGAAAAAAAAAACCCCCUAUGAGUUAUUCAAAGAAAAGAAGCCUAUUGCUUCAUAUUUUCAUGUGUUUGGAUGUAAAUGCUUUAUAUUGAAAAAUGCAAAUGAUCGAGUUGGCAAGUUUGAAGAAAAAUCAGAUGAAGGCAUCUUCCUUGGAUAUUCAACCACAAGCAAAGCAUAUAGAGUCUACAACAAGAAGACUCAAUCUGUGGAGGAAUCAAUGAAUGUCAAAUUCCAAGAUUCUAUGCAAAAUGAAUCUAUUCAGACUCAUCUUGAAGAAUCUGAAUCUGCUCUAGACUCUACAAAGUCUAAAUCUCAGCAAGCAGCUCAGACUUCGAAAGACCAUCAUCAAAUGAUUGAUGAAGAUUCAAAUGAAGAAAGUGAUCAUCAAUCUGAUAAAUCGACCAGUAACUGGAAGCAUAAGUCCAGUCAUCCCAAAGAUCUCAUUAUUGACGACAUUAAUGAAGGAAUUCGCACAAGAUCCAAAAGGCGCAAAUAGUCUAGUGCUGUGACUCUUAUUUCUGAAAUAGAAUCCAAAAGCAUAUAAGAAGCUUUAUCUGAUGAAAGCUGGAUUGAAGCUAUGCAAGAAGAACUCAGGCAAUUCAGCAUUAAUGAUGUCUGGGAGUUGACUCCUAAACCGAAAGGUAAAUCUAUUAUUGGAACUAAAUGGGUUUUCAGGAACACGAUGAACGAGAAAGGAAAUGUCGUAAGAAACAAAGCAAGACUCGUGGCCAAGGGAUAUACGGAAGAAGAAGGGAUAGACUAUGACAAGACUUACGCACUAGUAGCAAGGUUAGAAGCAAUUCGAUUAUUACUUGCUUUUGCUUGUUAUAAGAAUUUCAGGUUAUUCUAAAUGGACAUCAAAAGUGCUUUCCUGAAUGGAUUUAUCCAUGAGGAAGUCUAUGUGGAACAACCAUCUGGGUUUGAAGACCCAAGGAAACCAGACUCAGUAUUCAGAUUGAAAAAUGCCUUAUAUGGUUUAAAGCAAACACCUCGAGCUUGGUACGACAGGCUGAGUAAGUUUUUAAUUCAAAACGGCUUUGUCAAAGGUAAAGUAGACACUACUCUGUUCAUCAAAAGAGAAAACAAAAGUUUUAUGCUUGUUCAAAUAUAUGUUGAUGAUAUUAUUUUUGGAUCCUCUAAUGAAAGUCUGUGCAAGAAAUUCUUUAAGUCUAUGCAAGAUGAAUUUGAAAUGAGCAUGAUGGGUGAACUAACCUUCUUUCUUGGACUUCAAGUGAAACAAUUGAAGAAAGAAACUUUUAUUCAUCAAGAAAAAUAUGCUAAUGAUCUUGUAAAAAAAUUUGAACUUGAAAAUUGCAAAAAGACUGAUAUACCAAUGUCAAGCUCUUUGAAGAUAGGCAAAGAUGAAUGAGGAAAGAAAGUUGACCAGAAGCUAUAAAUGAGUAUCAUUGGUUCACUUCUUUAUCUUACUGCUUUUAGACUUGACAUUUUGUUUAGUGUUUGCAUUUGUGCUAGAUUUCAAGCAGACCCAAAAGAAUCUCAUCUAAGUGCUGCCAAGCGUAUUAUCAAAUACAUUGCAUCAACUCCGAGCAUUGGUCUCUGAUAUCCUAAAAAUGGAGACUUUACUCUUCUCGGAUAUUCAGACGCAGACCUAGCUGGAUGCAGAGUUGAUAGAAAGAGCACCUCGGGUACCUAUCAACUACUUGGAAGCAGGACAGUAUCUUGGUUUUUAAGGAAGCAAAAUACAGUAGCUCUUUCUACAGCAGAAGCAGAGUAUGUAGCUCUUGGAAGUUGUUGUUCACAAAUUCUGUGGAUAAAACAAUAGCUAAGAGACUUUGGAAUUGAAGAUUAAUGCACGGAGAUUAACUGUGACAAUACCAGCGCAAUCAAUCUCACUAAGAAUCCAAUUCUUCACUCAAGAGCAAAGCAUAUAGAGAUUCGACAUCACUUCAUUAGAGAUCAUGUUCAAAAUGAAGAAGUUUCGAUUCAGUUUGUUGGCUCAAAGAACUAACUGGCAGAUAUAUUUACAAAGCCUUUGGAGAAAAAUCAAUUUGAAAUCAUUCGUUCCAGACUCAACAUCUUGAAGUUUGAAGAAGUUAAAGUCUAGAGACUCCUAGACUCAAACGAUCAGGAUUUUCUUUCCUUGGAAUCUCUCAAAGACUGUUAAAAAUGUCUUCCCAAAGAAAGUCUUCGAGGAUCGCAAGUAGGGGACCACAGCAAAUGCGUGAGGGGCCUACGCACUUCGAUCUCAACGAAGAAGAAGAGUUUCCUAGUCAGUAGUAAAGCCUACAACAUUCUUAGCAGUGUCCAUCUUCUCCAUCUAGACAACAGGAGGUUGCUCGACAAGAAAAGGAAGAGAUAAUUGAAGAUGCAAAACCUGUAAGAGUCUAUAAGCCUUCUUUUACCUACACGUUUUAUCGUGCUUUAAAAAGGGGUGGAACUCCUUUGAGCUACAUUGACGAAUUUCUGAAAGACAAAGGGUACAAAAAUGAAACCUUCUUUUUACACAUAAUGGAGUGUUUGGGAAUUGCCCCUGCUGGAUCAGCGGAAGAGGCAUUCGCAAAUAUCCCAAUCGAUCAUCGUGUUGGAGGGCUGAAUCAGAUAGAUGGGAAUGAUGAUGACAAGUUGUACAGUCAGUUUCAACCGAGAAUGGGUGUUGCGGCAAAAAUUCGGGGAAAAAUGACAGACUUGUUUCGAUCGGAGGAACAAAAGCAUCUAUACUCUAAGUUGUUGAAGUGUGGGGUAAUAAACCCUAGAAGUGUAGACUUUGAUUUCCUUGAUGCUGUGAAUGUUAAAUUGAGGGAAAAAUUUAGUCUUCUUCAACUUGAACAGUUCUGUUCUAACUCUACAGAAGCCUAUGCUGAACUCACUACUUAUUUCUAUUCAAAUCUUAGUUUCCUAGAUGCGAAUAGAUUCUUUUUUAGUGUCCGAGAUCAGGACUAUGUGGUGGAUGUAGAUAUGUUGGUUGAUGUGAUUGGGGUUGAGAGAGGGAGAUAUCAACCUAUCAAUGUCUCUAUUACUCGUACUACGUUGGAACUUAUUAAGGAUAAAAGAACCGAGGGAAAGGUUUCCUACUCAAGGAUGAGUGCAUUCAACAUUCUGCUUCACAAGAUUGUGAUUAAUUGCCUCAGACCAAAAUCUACUUCAAAGACUGAUGUUUCAAACUUAGAGGCAAAGCUGAUGUAUGCCAUUAAUGCAGGGAAAAAAGUUAUCUCUUCCACAUACUAUUAUGUUCCACAUGUAUAGGGCAUUGGUGAAGGACAAGGGUCAACUUCCUUAUUCAGCUCUUGUGACAAAGUUAUUCAGACAUUUGAAUGUUCAGCCUCCAUGAAUUCUUUGUGUUCGAUCGUGCGAUCAAAUGGUGGUGGGACUGAAAAUGGUCUCUAAAAUGCGUCUGAAGGAACUCAACAAGGCAUUGGAAAAAUUCAAGGAGAAAACCCCUGUUAAGUCUCAUCAAGUCUCUUCAGCUACAAAGAGAAAAGGAAAGGAGCCCAUGGUAGCUCCAUUCAAGAAAAGAAGAGCUCCCAUUGUUGAGGAUGAAGAUGAUGAGGAAGACAUCACCAUUUCUGCUAUGGCAUUGAAGAACUUGAGUCGUUCUGUUCCAGAAUCAAUGGAGAGACAAGAAAAGGACACAGAUGAGACAGAAUAGAGGACUGGAGAAAGAGAAAAUUUGGAAGCAGAGGAGAAAGAAGCAGAGGAAAGACAAACAGAGGAGAGAGAAGUAGAAGAAGUAGAUGAAGAGGAGGAAAGAAUUAAAGAAGAAGAAGAGAGAGGAGAUCAAGCGGAAACAGAGCAUGAGGAUCACUCUUCUCCACCUGAAGGCAUGGAAACAGGGGGAGAUCAUGAGAAAAGAAGAAUGUCCUCAUAUCAUGCUAUCAGUGAGGGAGUCAAUCACUCUCCAGCAAAUCCAUAGGACAUCUAUGCCUCUCAAUUUCCUGAAGAGGGACAUGAUGUUUCAUCGCCCAAUCUGCGUGACCAUGCUGAUUUGUCAUCGUCUGCCUUUACUCCAUCUGAUCGAGCAGAAGCCAAUACGCAGACUGAAAAUCAGCAUACUUUCGUAGAAUUCUUGAUGUUCUCUUGGAAAUGCGGGGUCACAUUUAUGCUCUGGGAUACGAAGUUCAGAAUUUGUAGAAUGCGGGUCAAGCUUCUUCAGUAUCCUUGAAUAAUCAGAUCCAAGCCAUUUCUCUUCAGAUUCAGGCAAAUGCUAAGGGUGAAGAUGUGGCACAACUGAAUGAGGACUUGAAAAAGCUAAAAGGCAUUGUCCAGUCAAUGGGAGAUUUCCAGCUUGUUCGUGUUCCCAAGCAUUCUUGAAUCCAUUCUUUUUCCAUCUCAACCUUUUUUAUGAUGACAAAAAAGGGGAGAGAUGCGAGAUUUGAAACUUUGAACUUAAUCUUGUUGAACUUUGGUUUUUGAACUUUGGUUUGUCUUGAUGUUUGACUUGACUUGACUUGUGUGUCUGGAUGUGGACUGAAUUUGGGAUUUGGAUUUGACUGCUUAUUGACUACUUAUAUUAAGUACUAUUGAUAUCUUAUGAAUGGCUUCACUCACAUGAAAGACUAACCUAUUUUCUGUGGUUGCAAAUUCUAGUGUUAUCAUUAAGCUAUUUAUCUUUAUAAGAUAUCCAUAUUUGCUUGAGUAAUAUUUUGCAGGUCAAAGUUAUUCAAAUCUGCAGGAAAGUUUUGUCACCAUCAAAAAGGGGGAGAUUGUUGGAGAAAUCUUCCUGGAGUAUUUUGAAGCUGACAAAACGUUUUCAUCAGUAUAGUCUGAAGAUUUGUAGACUCUACUAUUCCAAGUCUGAAGACCUCCGGACUGCCAGACUCAAGUUUCAAAGUCUAUUCUCAUUGACAGUUUCUAGACCGUUGAAGAAGGGUUAUCCAGAACUGGGUGUUUCAUUAAGGAUUUGACCUUAUCGACUGGAGAAGAUCUCUUGGAUGGAUAUGUCAUAACGGAAUCCUUUAUUUGAUCAUGAUUGAUUCAGAGAUUAAGGAUAUGAUGAUUGACGAAGUAUACUUGGAAAGUUCUACUUAUGGAAACCGAGAUCCUGAUUGUAUGGGCAAGCAUAAUUGAUGGGCUAUCGACAUGUUCCUUUAAUAGCUCGAAUGAUCUUCCUAAUUGAUUUCGUCCAAUUGGUAGAUUAGAGGAAUUCAUUUGGUAAGUGCCAACAGAUAUGAUGGUAUAAAGGAGUAUAAAAUGAAGACGUUCCAGUUGUUCGAGUGUGUGCGCGAUAGAAAAAUUCUAAAGUCUGAAGCUCUUUGUUCUUAGUCAAUUCAUUUACUGAGUGAAAUAUUGUACACAAAAGAGAGUAUAUAUUUUGAGAGACCUCGAGGAAAUGUGGUAGAGGUUCUACACUGUGGAAUCAAGGAAGAGAUUUGCUAUAACAUCUCUUUUGUUUAUAGUGAAAUCCAGCCGGUGGGCUGUCAGUGUGGAAGAGUGGACGUAGACUUGAAAUAAGCCGAACCACUAUAAACCUCGUGUUCAAUUUUCUCUUCCCUACUCUCUGCUUUACUUUGAUCAUAAUUCGUCCUGUUAACCAAAGAAGAACUUCCUUCUAUUGUCUGCUUAGUAUUGUUCUUAUAUCAUGAAAAAUUAUUUUUACACAUAUUUACCCCCCUCUAGGUGCUUAUACUAGCUAUCUCAAAAAUAAAAUAAAAAAUAAUAACAAAGGAAUUAGUGUUAAUUAAACCGUGGCGGGCAUGUGUGUUAAGUGUGCCAAAACCGCACAAUUAUUCGCGCACCCGCACGCUGGUAUGGUGGGGUCUAGCCCCACCCAAUCAUUCCUUGAUGUACACAAGGAAACCAUUCACUUAUAAAUCAGCCCACUUCUUCCCACUUUUCCUAUUUGAGACUAGAAAAACACACUCAGCUUGUUUCGACAAACAAACCUCCAACAAUCCCCCACUUUGUUUGUAAAACAAAGAUUUUAGAAUUAAAAUUUAAAAAAACAUACAGCCAAAAUUUUAGUAAGAUUAAUAUACAUACAUAAAGGUCUCUUUCGAGUUAAACCUUUAUUUAGUGCAAGUAUAUCAAAGCUCUAUCAAAGUGACAAGUAGCUCGGCUUUAAACUUGUACUUUAAUGUAAUAGAACCGGACAUACCGCAUAUACACUAACCUCUUGUUUAAGUGAGAAGUUCUAUAUUACUCCGCACUAUUUGUGGCAUCCCAAAAUUCAAGUCAUCCUCUAGAGAAAUUAAAGCCUAUAAUUAGGUAAUGAAAUUACCUAUGGUCUAUGUGUUAGCCAUUAGUUUUCUUAAGGCUAGGUGUUAUUGUGCUUGUGUUUAUGAAUUUUGAAUUUAGGACUAUAGGAUAAAUUAAUAAUCUAUGCUUGGCCAUGCACUUUAUAAAUUAAAUUUCAAUAAAUGAAAUGUCAAAAGACUUUGGCCAUGUGGAAAAUUUAAAGUUUAAAAUAUUUAUAAAAGAAAUUUUAAAAAAAAAAGAGAGGAAAAUGUCAAUUUUUAGGAUGGGCGUUAGGCCCAUUGGCCUAAGCUUUUAAUGGGCCAAGAUGGCCGGCCCAAUAGAGGCCCAAAAGGAGUGGUCGACCAGCCCAUUUGAUGGCCCAAGGUUGGCCCAAGAAGAAGGCCCAUUAACCUUGCAUGUCAUCCAACACUUGUCCUCUCCUUGUUGCCACUUGUUCUCCUCAUGAGAACACUUGUCCCCCCAUGCAAAGAGGGGAUACAUGCAAUAUAAAAGGGAAGGAAAGGAGAGAGAAUGGCUGGUUAGCCAUUCGGCCAAGAGAGAAAGGGAGAGAGAGAGAGAACCGUGCGAGAGAGAGAGGAAGAGGGUGCGGCCGAGAGAGAGAGGAAGGAGGUGGAGCCGAGGGGUUGCCGCCGUCCGUCCGCCGUGUUCGCCGCCGUACACCAUCGUUUCCUUCGGUUUAGAGGCAAGUGGAGUCCUAUAACUUCUCUUGCAUGUGUGUAUAUGGUUUGCAUUUUCGAUUUUGGGUGAUAUUUGUGAGAAAAACCGAGGUAAGGGUUGGUUGUUUUCAAGCCGUGUGACUGUUCUUGUUCGGGUUGUGUGAGUCCGAAACUUGUUUGACCUUGCAUGUGUGUUUAAAGACAGAUUUUUGCUUUGAUGUCUUCAUGGAAGUUGUAGCUAACAUCUUGUACUAUAACAUACUGAAAUUUCGUGAAAAAUGAUGGAGAUUUGAGGGGUUAAAGCCUUGUUAUACGGAGACCUCAGAUCUGUGAUGUUUUCACUGACUUCUUGUUGGAUUCUUGGUUGCAUGUUGGUUUGUGAUGAAAAUAUGACUUCGGUGUCUUCAUGAAAGUUGUAGGUAACACCUUAAAAUACAACAUACUCAAAUGUUAAGAGAAAUGAACAAGUAUAGCCUAGUAAAUCGGCUAGAUCUUGGAGACGAUGAUUCUGGUGAUGUGUUCCGAGACACCCGAGACUUAAUGGACUUAAAUGGUGAUCAUACCUUGGUUAUUUGACCUAGAUCUCUUCAUGAAACUUGUAAAGGACACCUUGAUACAUAACUAUCCGAAUUUCAGAAGAAACUAAAGAGAAUAGAUGGGUGAAAUCUUAAUAUUUCGGAGAUGUGUAUUCUGGACGAUGCGGUAAGGGUUCCAGAAGCUUCAUGAGGUUGAAUAAAAUAAUCUAUAAGAAAUUUGACUUGUAGUUCUUCAUGAAAGAUGCACGAAAAUUUCUUGGAUAUCACCCUGUAAAAUUUCGUAAUUUUUGGAGGCCGAAUGGAUAUUUUAAUUGAAUUUAUUCGGAAACUGUGCAUUUGGUUUAAAUCCGAGAAUCAUAGGAUGUUUUGGAAAAUUGUGGAAUUUGGUAAAAAUUUCAUAUUGGCCAUGAAUUUUGCAAGUAAAUAUCAUCCUAUGGGUUUGUUUAAUAAUUUCUUGGAUUUUUGUAAUCUUGGGAAAUUAUUGAUAUUAAAAUAAAAUAAUAAAAUAAUAAUAAAAUAAUAAUAAAAUAAAAUGGAUUUAUAUUUGGCCAUGGAUUCAAUUCUAUUUGUGUGGCAUAUGUGUGAUGAGGUCUUUGCACAUGUAUUGGAUUGAGAUGUAUAUGUGAUAAAGUUUUGGUAUGCGUAUGACAUGGUCCUUGUACAUGUAUUGAAUUGAGAUGUGUAUGGGAUAAAGUUUUGGCAUGUGUAUGACAUUCGAAUUGAGAUGCAAGUGUGAAUUCCAUGUCAAAUGUGAUUUGUUUGAUACCAUGCCAAUUGCCAUGUUAAAUUGAGAUAAGGAAAUGGUAUAUGUGGGUGAUGAUGCUCGGUGGCCUAGUGGCGUAAUUCCGGAGAUUCCCCGGGAGUGUCGGGAUGCCCGGUGGUAUACGGUACGUAAUUCCAGGGGAGGCCUGGUGGUAUGUCGGUACAUAAUUCCGGAAGCCCUGUCGGAGGUCUUUGCCCGAAGGGAAUGCCUCGCGAUGCCAGAUUUGGGUGCGAGAUGCCUGGCUAGAAAGGUAAAGGCCAGAUGUCCGGUUGUAUCUGGAUACAUGCCCGGAGGUUUUUCUCGCAUGGGAUGCGAGUGUAAAUAUGGGAUGAAUUGAUGAUCGAGGAAGGGUGAUGUGGUGAUCAAAUUUAAAGAUAAAGAUGAAAAUUAACUCAUGGCAUGAUAUGGUAUGAUAUGCAUGAUGAUAUGCAUGAUGAUGGUGAUGAUAUGUGAUGUGAUAUGAUGAUCACCCAUGGUAUGAUAUGCAUGAUGAUAUGCAUGAUGAAAUGAUGAUAUGUGAUGUGAUAUGAUGAUCACCCAUGGUAUGAUAUGCAUGAUGAUAUGUGAUGUGAUAUGAUGAUCACUCAUGGUAUGAUAUGCAUGAUGAUAUGCAUGAUGAUGAUGAUAAUAUGUGAUGUGAUGAUAUCAUGAUAAGGAUGACAUGUAUGAUAUAGUGAUGCCAUGAUGAUGAUUAUUAUGAUGACAUAUGAUGAUAUGAUAUGCAUGAUGAUAAGGCAUGAUGAUGCAUGAUAGUAUUACGCAUGGCUGCAAGGUAAGUUACGCCUGCAAUGCAUGUAUGAUUUGCAUGAUGCAUUGAGUUGUUAUUGGAUUCCUUUAUCUGCUGAGUGGUUGUACUCACCCCUUUUGGGGACCAACAUUUCAGAUUAGUAGAUGGUUUGAACGGUUGGAUGUGACCGUGAGGAGGAGGAUAACAAGGGAAGGAGCUUUUGGACGCUGACACGGAUCGAUGGACUUAAAGUGUAUGACUGUUUGAGGAAAUGUCGGUCAUCUUUUGGAGUGUAGCCGAAUAUAAAAGACUACGGCAUUUUGAUGUACCGAUGAAUGAUGUCCAUCUGAUUUAAGUAAAUAAAAGUGUACGGCUUUUACUUAUAAAUAUUUAGUAGGUGUGCAUCGUUUUCUGAAUAUAGGGAAGUGAGUUGUUGGACGUGCUUCCAUAUAUGAAUUGCGCAAGGGACCUUUAGUUGAAAAGAAAAAAAAAAGUGUAAACCCCCAUGGUUGUAUGGACCCGCUGCAAUUGAAAUGGUAUCAGAGUAACAUGUUAAUAGGGAAAUUGAAAGGUAGAGCGAACUGUGGCGACCCUAACGGAUCGGGGGCCGUCGAGGGGUGUCACACUAUUAUGGCCUUGUGCUUGAUCAUGUUUCAUGAGCUCUCUAGAAAGCAACCCUAACUUUCGUAAGAAGUGGCACCACUUCUAAGCUCAUAUAGGUGAAGUAUCUACCAUGUGUUUCUGUUACUAUCAACACACUACAAACUUGUAUCAUACUUUAUUAAGAAUUCAAUUCAGCCUACAAAACGUAACAGACGAUACUGACUUCUCAUAUCAGGGCUAUGUCAGUAUCAAACAAUCACAUUCAAUAACUUGUUCUUACCCAUUAAACCUUGUAACUAGUGAUGUUCUAGAAAAAUGUCGGGUUACCAUUUUUGGUGAUUUCAAUUAAAGGGUUUCAGCCCAAUUUCUUGUGAGGUCGUUAUUACCAUAUGGGCUUGGUNNNNNNNNNNNNNNNNNNNNNNNNNNNNNNNNNNNNNNNNNNNNNNNNNNNNNNNNNNNNNNNNNNNNNNNNNNNNNNNNNNNNNNNNNNNNNNNNNNNNNNNNNNNNNNNNNNNNNNNNNNNNNNNNNNNNNNNNNNNNNNNNNNNNNNNNNNNNNNNNNNNNNNNNNNNNNNNNNNNNNNNNNNNNNNNNNNNNNNNNNNNGAAUGCCGUCGAUGUGUUGACGAAGUGCGCUCUAAGGAGGGGAGGCGAUGCCUAGCUAGAUAUCAGUAGAUAGCCGGAUUGUGAGUAGGCUAUGCCCUGGUGUGACAGUGGAUAAUGAUGAUUUGGAAAUGCUUACUGUGAUUGCGAAAUUGAGUGAAAUUGAUUGAGUUCCGAUAAAUUGCCUUCUUGUCAUUACUUGUGCUUAAGUGAUAUGAAUUGUACUAACCUGCAGGGAGGCAAGAAGGUGAGGUAAGUCUUCUUGAUGUCGUGGCUAAGCUACUCUGGGGCGUAUUUACUUUCUAAUAGGGGUUUAGGAGGGGUGAACUUGCUGAGACAAAGUCUCAUCCCGGUUUGGGGAAAAAUAUUACAGGACCGUAGAUGGCGAGACCCCCGGAGAUGAGUGGCCUGCCGACGGAGAUUGACCAGACGACGGAGAGUGCUCCUGACCCUGGGAGUCCUUGGGUCUAUCAGUUGGUUAGGACCCUCAUCUGGGUCGAAGUGAGCGUGCACGGCAGGGUACCGUACAUGUUUAGGGCAUGGUUUCGUACCGGAGCAGAUGGUGUUAGGGUCGGCCCCCUAGAUAGCAUGGAUAUUCCGCUGGCAGUCUUGAAUGCCAUCCUGGGUGAAGGUGUGGCGGACCUUCCUACCGGUGGAGUGAUCAACGCCUCGCCCCCGCAAUCUUGGGUGUCAGAUCCGGAGGACGUGGGAUCGUCCAAUGGGGCUGACCUGUAGUUCUAGAGUGGUUGAUUGUUUUCUUUUUGGCGGACUAAUCCUUGCUAUGUAGGCUGACCCCCUUUUGAUGCACAUAAACUCUAACCCAUUUUUGGUGCAUAUAGCCUCCGGAUCCUGUUGAUGUAUGUAAGACUUGGAUUGUUGAUGAUGUAUGGAAUUAUGCUCGUUUGAUUUUUGAAUUAAUUCUUCCUGCUGUCCUAUCCCGCGAGUUUUUGUCAGGGGUUUUAUAAUACAUUCCGCUUGCGCAUUAAUAAAUGAAUGGGUCGGCGACUUAUCCUGGGACGUCGCAUUUGAAUGACCAUGGUGGGAUGUUGACGCGUUCGAGGUUCGGGGCGUGACAGAGUGUCUAUCACUUCCGCUUCAUCCUACAUCAUUCUUGGAGGAUCGGGGAAUGUCUCGUGAAUGCUCAGGGGUAGUGGGUUUUGCCUCCCUUGCCCUUGGUCAAGUGGCAAGCUCCGCCUUUCUUGUCUUUGUCGUUCAGAACUUCCCCCAUCUCUUCCAUGGUAUCCUAAACCAGUAGGACAGGACCUCUGAGGGGCUUCAAUGGGGCUUUGAAUGCCCUGACUAUUUCUCCCAAGACCAUUACUAGGGACGAAGCCAUUCCCAACCAUUACUCUUCCCACCAUGAGGGCAGCAUCUGAUACUUUAGGGGUAGGCGGUGAUGAACCCCGAGAAGCAUGUAUGGUGGACACCAAUUUAAAUGAGUGGUAACUUGAUUCAAAUUGGGAAUCCAGCUUUACAUAGGGGAUAUCCGUCUCAUGAUAGAUCCGGUGGUCUUCCUCACUAUACAUAGUGACCAACUUCUUUUCAAUCACAAAUUUCACAGCUUGAUGUAGACUUGAAAGCACUGCUCCAACAGUAUGUAUCCAGGGACGACCUAGCAGAAAAUUGAAUGCAGUAGGGAUGUCCAGCACUUGGAAGGGAAUGUUGAAAACGACCGGUCCUAUUUGUACAUCGAGGUGGAUUUCCCCGAUCACCUCCUUUUUUGUUCCAUCGAAAGCUCGCACCGAAGUUUUCGCGACAUGUAUCCUCGACGGGUCUACCUUGAGGCGGUGAAGAGUGGCCAAUGGAUAAAUGUUCAGAGCAGAUCCAUUAUCGAUGAGCACUCGGGACACAUGGGAAGACUUGUGCUUAACGGAUAUGUAGAGUGCUUUGUUAUGUCCCCUGCCUUUGAGAGGGAAUUCCUCAUCAGAGACGCAAUCAAAUCCUUAAGAUGACCGAUCCCAGAAUUCUUCCAGCUUGUCUGCUUUUAUAAUCNNNNNNNNNNNNNNNNNNNNNNNNNNNNNNNNNNNNNNNNNNNNNNNNNNNNNNNNNNNNNNNNNNNNNNNNNNNNNNNNNNNNNNNNNNNNNNNNNNNNGAUGCACGGGGGACGUCAUCAAGAGCUCGAGUAAGGAGAUCUGAGCGGGCAUCUUUGCGGUUGGUCAAACCACGUUAUACUCGCUUGCUUUGAUUACGGCCAAAAACUCCUUAGCUUCUUCAUCGGUGACCGGCUUUUCAGGUUGAGCACUUGCUUGACCAUCGGUCUAACCAGACCUUGUUACAAGGUCCACAUCCAGGUCAUAGGACCAAGGCACUGCCUUAUCAUUGACAUACUCAUACGGCUGAGGCACCUCUAUCACUAUCUUUCGUCGGAUGCAUCUUUUAAUGGGGGCAUGUCCACAGGCGAAGGAUCAACCUCUUUCUUGUUAGCAUCAAGUGCAGCCUGCUCCUCCUCCCAAUCGAUGAUGAGGUGGGAAAUAGUAGAAACUAUACAAUUACGAUCAGCAUACACAAUGAUACCGUCAUCCACCAUUUUGGCAACUCUUUCUCUCAUCAUUGAUAAAGAGACAUCUUCUUGACCUCGGUAAUACCCAGCUCUCACUAGCCCGUUGUGGGCAUCUGCCACGUGCACCUUUGAGUUCCUGAUCCUUCCGACUUCAGGUUCCAGGAUAGUAUUCACCGUACCCUCAUGCUUUGGUAACAUAUUUUUCUAGACGUUUGGCUAAGCAAUUUGGAAUGGAAAGGCCUUUGUGUCCAGGAGAUUUUGGAUCUUGUGCAUGAGGGUGAAACAUUCAUCAGUUGAAUGUCCCAGUUUACCGUUAUGGUAGUCACAUUUCUUUGUCGGGUCGUAACCGCAAAUGCCUUUGCGGUUAGGGCGCUUUGGUUUACUAGUAAGCAAACCCUUCUUUCGGAGGACUGUCAGCACUUGGGAUGGAGAUCCGGGGAGAGGGGAGAACUGCCUUCUAUUAUUUGCUUAGGCGAAUGAUCGACGGCCAGCGGGUUGUUGCUGUCUUGGGUUCACUCGUAUAGUCGGGGCACGUUUGGCACUUUCUUGGCUAUAAGCCAUGUUCACAUCCACGGCUGCUUCCUUCUCCUUCUUAGCAGAGAACCUUUUAGUAGAUGACUCAGAAAACCAUCAUUCCCUUAUCCCCAUCUCGAUCUGUUCUCCAACAGGAAUAAGCUGAUUGAAGCUCUCGACAUGCGUACUAGCCAUUGGGUUACGAAACUCAAAUGGAAGGGUCUUCAUGAAUAACUUCAUCAACUCCUUGUUGGUGGGCUCAGGAGUAAUUUGGGUCGCCAGGUUUCUCCAUCUCACAUCAUACUCUUUAAAUGACUCGCUCCUUUUCUUUUCCAUCCGCUCCAAGUCUUCUCGGGAAGGCGCGAUGUCCAUGUUGAACUUGUGCUGUUUGAGGAACGCGUCUGCUACUUCGUUCCAGGUUUUGAGGAGGUUUACGUUCUUCAUCACGUAUUAGUUUAGUGCGGGCCCAAUCAAACUCGCAUGAAACGAUUGGAUCAUAAGGGACUCAUUUUUGACGUGCUGGGCUAUGCGCACGUGGUACAUCUGCAAAUGAGAUUUCGAACAAGAUGUCAUGCCAUACUUCUCGAACUCUGGCAUUUUGAAGUUGCUUGGCAUUUUGACCUACUAAUAGACCGAGAGGUCGGAUGGGAGUGAGCUUUGAGACUCCUGUAGCUGUCUCACUUUCUCUUCUAGCUUUACAACGCACUCAUCCUGAUCUGCCUUGGGAACAUUGUCAAGCUUGGCCUUUUCAACAAGGACCAUGUCAUCUUCCAACUCAAGCAUUUCGUCGUCACUCAUUUAGGCCCUAUUUGCCGGCCUUGGAGCUCCAAUUUCAGGGAGAGCGGGUGCAGGAUUUGGAUUCACCCGGAAGGAUUGAAAUUGAGCUGUUAUAAGCUGCAUAGAGACAGCUAGCUGUUGGAGUUGCUCUUCCAUGGAGGACAUAUGAUCAUGCAUCUCGUUUUGGUUAGCCAUUUUAGCCUUUGAUCACGUAAUAAUGAGAGGGUGCGGAGGAUCCGUUAUUACCUAAUUUGAAUAAAUGAAUACACAUAAACACUUCAUAUAAAACAAUGCCGGUCCAUGACGAAAGUCUAACCGCUUUUAUUCAUUACUGAAAUUGUUUGACAUUAAUAAUGUAAAGAACUUGUAAAAUCUUAAACUAAUCAAGUAAACAACUCAACUUCCUAAACAUUAAGCUAAAGUAAAAAGACCGAAUAGAUUCAAGCCACUUUAUUUGGCCCGAUCUAUAAACACAUGGGAAGCCAACGCUCGAUGUAAUUGCCUCUUCUCCUUAGCGUCCUUCUUGGCUUGCUCUUCAAGUUCUUCAAUCUUCCUCUUGUGACGGUUAAGCUCCGCUUGCCGAGUGGGCUUCUCGGUCACAUUUGGCACAUUUGGGAGAUACUCGGCUGGAAUCUUGUGCUGACGAAUGUAUCGAGCUGUGGCAUAGUAAGUUUUUUCAUUCCUCUCAAGCUCAUCUUCAGGUAAGAUCAACUUUUGUUCACGACAUGCGAGCCAAGCUUGUUCGAUACAGUGAAGUUCUUUCUUGUGAUUGCCAUCCAUAACAGUGAAUUGGACUUGGAACAAACCCAGCUUGAGAGGGAGCAGUAGAUCUUGCACAACUCGAUACUGACGAGCCACUUGGAGUGGGUAGUAGGAAAUGGCACCGAUGAUCCCCAAUAGCGGGAUCGGCUCAUCAUCGCCACGAGAGAGAUGUGCUUUGNNNNNNNNNNNNNNNNNNNNNNNNNNNNNNNNNNNNNNNNNNNNNNNNNNNNNNNNNNNNNNNNNNNNNNNNNNNNNNNNNNNNNNNNNNNNNNNNNNNNAGCCUUCGUCAAUUUCUAGGUGUAAGUAAUGUACUUGACCUCACAUAGGACAAUUGUUAUGGUACCAUCUUUAAUCAAUUGUCUCACAUAUUCAUGUCUUAGACUAAUGUGUCUAGACUUACCAUUAUAGGUGCUACUAUAGGCUCUUGCCAAAGUGGCCUGACUAUCAUAAUGGAUAGAAAUAGGAGGCAUAAGACUAGGCCAUAAUUUGAUAUCUAACAACAAAUUUCUAAUCCAUUCAGCCUCUUUCCCAGCUACCGCCAAAGUAAUAAAUUCAUAUUCCAUUGUUGAGUGAGUUAUACAUGUCUGUUUCUUGCUUGCCCAAGAUACAGCACCUCUAGCUAAUGUGAAAAUCCAUCCAGAAGUGGAACGCUCAUCUCCCACACUUGUAAUCCAACUAGCAUCAGUGUAUCAUUCUAAUACAGCCGGAUAAUUAUUGUAGAACAAUCCUAAAUUUUUAGUUCUCUUAAGAUAACCAAAAAUUCUAGUAAUAGCUCUCCAAAAUUCUGUACUUGGAUUACUAAUAUACCUACUCAACUUGCAUACAAAAUAAGCAAUAUCGGGUCUAGUACAUUGCAUCGCAUACAUUAAAGACCCUAUAGCACUUGCAUAUUUUAGUUGUGCCACCGCUCUACCAGUAUUAUAAUUUAAUUUAAUAUUAGAAUCAAAUGGAGUACUUAUUUCUUUAAAACCAAGAUGUUGAAAUUUAUUUAAUAAUUUUUCAACAUAACUACAUUGGCUUAAAGAAUAACCCACACUAUUUUUCUUAACAUUAAUACCUAAGAUAAUAUCUACUUCACCCAAAUCCUUCAUUUUAAGCAUGGAAGUUAGAUACUUCUUAAUCUCAUUAAUUCCAGUAAUAUUUUUCCAAAGAUAAGCAUAUCAUCAAUAUACAAGCACACUAAGACAUCAUAGUCUUUAGUGAAUUUAGAGUAUAUACACCUAUCGGCACUACUAUUGAUGAAACCAUUUGACAAUAUGACCGAAUUAAACUUUUCAUGCCACUGCUUAGGAGCUUGCUUAAGUCCAUAAAGAAACUUAAUCAAUUUACAUACUUUUCUUUCAUUUCCAAGAAGAACAAAACCCUCCAAUUGUUCCAUGUAAAUCUCCUCAUUUAAGUCUCCAUUUAAGAAAGCAGUCUUAACAUCCAUUUGAUUAACACAAAGAUCAUAAAUGGAAGCUAGAGCAAAAAGAACUCGAAUAGAAGUUAUACGUGCAACAGGAGCAUAUGUAUCAAAAUAAUCUAUUACUUCUUUUUGUCUAUAUCCCUUAGCUACAAGCCUAGCUUUAAAAUCUUGAAUAGAACCAGCAGAAUGAUAUUUUCUUCUAAAAACCCAUUUGCACCCAAUAGGUUUUGAUCCUUUCGGUAAAUCUACUAAUACCCAAGUAUUAUUGUACAUAAUUGAGUACAUUUCAUCAUUCACAGCUUCUUUCCAAAAAGAAGCAUCUCUAGAAGAUAUAGCAUCAUUAAAGCUUCUAGGAUCAUCUUCUAAAUUUAAUACUAAAUGAUAUUUAUUUAUCACGUUAUUAUAUCCAUCUCCUUCAACAAGAAAAACAUGAGUUAUAAAAACAGGACCUAAGUCUUUUAUUUUCCUAGCUCUAGUACUUCUCCUUGGUUCAAUCAUGUCUUUAGAAUCAUUCGUUUCUUUCUCUUGACAAUCACUUUGAGUUUCCAUAGAUCUUGAAUUAUUUUCAGUAAUUUCAGAACUUGUAAAACAUAUAUUCUCAAAGAAUUCAACGUCUCUCGAUUUUACUAUGACAUUAGACUCUAAAUCAAGAAGUCUAUAAGCUUUACUAUUUUCAGCAUACCCAAUGAAAACACUUUUGAUAGCUCUAGGACCGAGCUUUGUUCUCUUAAGAUCUGGAGCUCGGUAGUAUGCCAAACACCCCCACACUUUAAGAUAUGAUAAAUUUGGCUUUCUACCUUUCCAUAUUUCAUAGGGGGUUAUGUCAUUUUUCUUGGAAGGUAUUCUGUUAUGAAUAUAGCAUGCAGUAAGUAAUGCUUCUCCCCAAAGAUUAAUUGGUAGAUUUGAAUUUGAAAGCAUACAAUUAACCAUUUCUCUAAGAGAUCGAUUUUUCCUUUUAGCUAAACCAUUUUGUUGUGGAGUAUGUGGUGCUGAAUCUUGAUGAAUAAUAUCAUAUUCUUCACAAAACGAAGAGAAUUCAUUUAAGAAAUAUUCUACACCUCUAUCUGAUUGUAGAACUUUAAUUUUCUUUUCUAAUUGAUUCUUUAUUCAGCCUUAUAUUUCAUAAACAUGGUAAAUGCUUAAUCCUUUGAUCUCAUGAGAUAAACAUAUAAGAACCUACUGCAAUCAUCCACAAAGGUAAUAAAAUACAUUUUACCUCCACGUGUUAGCAUACCAUUAAAUUCACAUAUAUCACUAUGAACCAAAUCCAAUAAAUUCGAAUUUCUUUUAACACUAGGAAAUGGCUUCUUAGUAAAUUUUGACUUAGCACAUAUUUCACAUUUAUCAAAUUCGCCAUUAAAAUUUAUCAAGUCUAAUUUUCUCAUAUUCUUCAAAUAACGAAUAUUUAUAUGUGUCAACCUACUAUGCCAUAAAAUUGAAGACUCGACAAUAUAAGAAGAACUAUAAAUAUUAUUAUUGAUACUCAGUUGAUACAUGUCAUCAUUGGCAUAACCCUUCCCAACAAACAGCCCAUUUUUCGACAGGAUAACCUUGUCGAAUCUAAACAGAAUCCGAAACCCCCUUUUACAAAGUAAAUCAAUAGAAACUAGGUUCUUCAUAAUUUCAGGUAUAAAUAACACAUUAAGAAGAGUUAUCUUCUUUCCAGAAGUGAAGUCUAUCUCCACCGUACCUUUUCCAGCAACCUUUACAAGAGCAUUAUUCACCAUCAGGACCUCUUAAACAUUUGAGUCAACAAUCUCUUCAAAUUGCUUGAACAUGUACUUGUCCUUGCACACAUGGACUGUUGCUCUAGAAUCUAUCCACCAACCGGAUUGGACAGUGGUAGAUUUAAUUUCAGAAACCAUAGCCAUCGCAUCAUUGAUUUCAGAAAUUUCCAUGUUUGAAAACAUGUUUGAAAUCAUGGCUACAUAAUUUUCUUCAACCAGAUUUGCAUCUGCUUUCACCACCGGAAUGUUCUUGUCCUUUGAAAUGCUCUUGCGGUGAAUACAAUCCUUGGCGAAGUGUCCCUGUUUGCCACAAACAAAACAGCAACCCUUUUGCUUCUUUUGUGUUCUCUUGAAUUUAUGCCCCCCGCUUUUUACUUUGAAGUUCUGGCCGAGUUUCCGUUUUUUGUCCACAGCAUUCACCUUGGAAUUGUACAAAACAGAAUUAUCAUGUAAACGUGACUCUUCCUCAAUGCGAAGAUGUUUCUGUAUUUGCUCCAAAGUAAAGUCUCCCGACUUGUGAAUCAGCCUUUUUACAUAGUCUUUCUAACUUGGAGGCAAUUUCGCAAUAAUUGCUCCAACUUGAAAAGCUUCUGGAAUAUCAAUUUUGAGGGCAUGAAUCUUAUUCACAAUCACUUGCAAUUCAUGGACUUGUUCUAGCAAGGGUUCAGUAUUAAUAAACUUGAAAUCAAAAUACUUUGUGAUUAGAUAUUUGUUGGUACAUUGCUCCUCCGCUUUGUACUUGAAUUCCAGUGCAUUUCAAAUUUCUCUGGCCAACUUUAUUUCAGUGAAUAAGUCAUACAGACGAUUGGAUAGUGUGUUCAGAAUGUUUCCUCGACAAAGUAAUUCAUCCUCCGCACGUUUCUUCUUUUCCUUAUUAACCCUCUCAAUGACUUCCGCACUUAGCUAUCCUCCCUCGACAGUAGGCUUAGGAUCUUCUAUAGCCGCCAAGAGUUAGGAUCUAGUAGGUAGGAAAUCUUCAAAGCAGUGAGUAAGAACGUCAUCUUGUCUCUCUAGCGAGCAAAAUCGUUCCCAUCGAACCGGUCCAAUUUGACCAUAUCUUGAUUCAUAACUUUGAUUGUCUCCAACUCCAUUGUAGCAAACUAAAUCCUUAAAUUUUUUGUAAAAUUAUGGCUUUGAAAUUGGGUAGAACAAUGAAAUUGGAUCGAGUAAAAAAACUCGGACUUUGAGGCCCGAUAUUACUUUCUUUAAGGAUUUAUUUGCCCCACAACGUUGCUAAUGGUCACCAGCAAAAAUCCUCCAGGAUACAACAAAGUCUCGAAUGAGAAUACUAGAUAGCAAUUCAAGUAUUUCUCCAGGGUCUCUCUAAGAAACAAUCGAAAAAUUGGCUGCUGUUUUUCAGAAAGAAGACUCGAAAAUGACCACUCUUUUUCUUUUCGAAAAAUGACAAGUAUAUAUAUGAAACAGUCUUGCAACUCUUCGUGAAAAUUGCGAACAAACACGUCUUUUUUAAUAAAUUGUUCUGAUAAACAAAUGCGACUCUUCGGAAGAAAUCGAAAACGAACAAUUGCAACCCUUCGGGAAAAGUUGAAAACCGGAUAAGUAAUUUUCCAAAUGUUGUACUGAAAGAACACAAAUAAAAUUCGGAAUAAUUUUUUUAAUAGAAUUUCGAAUUUUCAUUUUAUAUAUUUUAUUUCCGAAUUUCUCAAAAAUAAAAGAACCUUUGAAUUUACUAAAAAUUAAUAAAAAUUAAUAAAAAAAUAACAAAGGGAUUAGUGUUAAUUAAACCGCGGGUGCGUAUGCGUGUUAAGUGUGCCAAAUCCGCGCAAUUAUUCACGCACCCACACGCGGGUAUGGUGGGGUUUAGCCCCACCCGAUUAUUCCUUGAUGUACACAAGGAAACCCUUCACUUAUAAAUUAGCCCACUUCUUCCCACUUUUCCUAUGUGGGACUACUAGAAAAACACACUCAGCUUGUUUUGAUAAACAAACCUCCAACACAUACUAGAGUGACGCUUUAUUCUCCCCCAACCAAGCAUUCAAUACUAACACCGUGUGCAACACACUCUUAAGACUAAAUGCUACACAUAGAUACAAAGCUUCGGUUUGUGUUUGGUUUGGUAGCGAAGUUAAGGAACAGUAAAAUGUUACCGAAUGUUCUCACGAAAGCGAAGUUGGGGAUAAAAUGCUGGCGCGGUUGAUAUGAGUGUCGGGGAAAUCGAAGGUUUCUUGUUCAAGUUUCACCACCUACGGUUCACGAGCUUUUAUGUAGCUCGAUACCUUCACUCAUGCCUUUGCAUUAUUAUAAAACAGUUGGAGAUAUUGCGUGGGUUUCCUAAAAUUAAAAACCACACUUCUAUUGUUUUUUAUUUGGAGUUAGAGUGGAGCAAUGUUGUUUUGUUUUGGUCUAGGAAAAUAACGCAAAUAGUCAUUAAACUUCGGUCCAAUGUGUUAUGUUCUUACUGAACUUUUAAUUUAUUUAGUAUGGUUGUCGAACUUUUUGUACAUGUUUAAUUUAGAUCCUAGGCUAGAUAAAUCCAAUGAUGCUGUGUUUGAUCGUUCGAACAUCUUUGCUAUAUGGGAUAAUGAUAGGAUAAAAAUCCCAUCUAAUAUUUCUUGACGUUCGGAUAUAACAUGAUUCAAAUAAAACAAAUUAAAAUGAGUGUUUGAUUUGUAUAAUUGAAAUUAAAAAUAAACCAUGGAAGUCGUAAAUACUAUUCAUCAUUUCCCAAUCUUCAUCCAUAUCAAGCACCCCCAUUCCAUGUGACUUCAAGGACGCUCGCUCCUUCUGUAACACCCCUUUCGCUGCCCUUGAUCAACUUGAUGGAAGUCGUAAAUACUAUUCAUCAUUUCCCAAUCUUCAUCCAUAUCAAGCACCCCCAUUCCAUGUGACUUCAAGGACGCUCGCUCCUUCUGUAACACCCCUUUCGCUGCCCUUGAUCAACUUGAUGGAUUACGCUCGCUCUACCUUUUUGUUGGAGAAAUCAUCUUGAAGUGUUUUGAAGUUGACAAAACGUUUCCAUCAGUCUAGUCUGAAGACUUGCAGACUUUGCUAUUUAAAGUCUGAAGACCUCUGGACAGCCAGACUCAAGACUCAAAGUCUAUCCUCAUUGACAGGUUCUAAUCCGUUGAAGAAAGGCUAUCCAAAACUAGAUGUUUCAUUAAGGAUGUGGCCUUAUCGACUGGAGAAGAUCUAUUGGCUGGAUAUGACAUAACGGAAUCAUUUAUUUGAUCAUAAUUAAUUCGAAGAUUAAGGAUCCGAUGAUUGGGAAAGUAUACUUGGAAGGUUCUAUUUAUGGAAACCGAGAUCCUGAUUGUAUGGGCGAACAAGAUUGAUGGGCUAUCGACAUGUUCCUUUAAUAGCUCGAAUAAUCUUCCUAAUUGAUUCCGUCCAACGGGUAGAUUGGAGAAAUUCCUUUGGUAAGUGCCAACGGGUAUGAUGGCAUGAAGGAGUAUAUAAGGAAGACGUUCCAGUUGUUCGAGAGUGUGCACGAUAGAAGAAUUCCAAAGUCUGAAGCUCCUUGUUCUUAGUCAAUUCAUUUGUUGAGCAAAAUCAUGUAAACAAAAGAGAAUCUAUAUUCGUGAGAAACUUUGAGGAAGUGUGGUAGACCAUCUACAUUGUGGAAUCAAGGAAAAACUGUGAUGUAACUUCUCUUUUGUUCAUAGUGAAAUCCAGCCGAUGGGCUGUCAGUGCGGAAGAGUGGACGUAGGCUUGGAAUAAGCCGAACCACUAUAAAUCUUGUGUUCAAUUUUCUCUUCCCUAACCUUUACUUUACUUUGAUCGUAUUUUCUUUUCUAUCAUUUGCCUAGAAUCGCUUCCAUAUCUCGAGAAAUUGUUUGUGCACCUAUUCACCCCCCUCUAGGUGCUUAUACUAGUUAUCUCAAUUAGUAUCAGAGCCUGUGUACUCACUUUGUUUGAAGUGUUUUAUUUCAGAGUUAAAGAUCCAUAACUAGUAUGUUGGCUCCAGGGCUGGUAGAAGGGCAAAGCAAUACCAGACCACCUUACUUUGAUGGAAAGGAUUACAACAUAUGGAAAAACAAGAUGAAAGCGUUCCUAAGAUCAAAGGAUCCUCCGGAAUGGGACGUUGUAGAAAAAUGAAUCAUUCCUAAAGCUGCAUCUGUCUUAGAAAGAGGAAAAGAUGUUGUUGAGUCUAGCAAAAUGACUCAGGAAGAGAUAAUCAAGAGACAAGCUCUUGAUGCAAAAGUAAUUUAUUCCUUAUAUUGUGCUUUAUCCCCUAUUGAAUAUAACAGAAUAUCUUCUUGUGUUACAACUAAAGAAGUCUGGGAUAGAUUACAUAUUACCUAUGAAGGAACUGAUCGAGUGAAAGUGACUAGAAUCAACAUUCUCCUCGGUCAAUAUGAAGCCUUCAAAAUGAAACCAGGAGAAUCUAUAAUUGAUAUGUUUAGUCGUUUUACAGAAAUCGUGAAUGGUCUUGAAAAUCAAGGUCAACCAAUUUCUGAUCCCAUGAAAGUAAACAAGCUACUGCGUGGACUCUCCAAGGAUUGGAAUCACAUAAAGACCUCAAUCAGAGAGACCCAAAGAAUCAUGCCACUAUCUGUUGAUGAGUUGGUUAGGACUCUUCAGUCUUAUGAAGUGGAACGAAUCAAUGAAGACAAAGACCCUAAAGGUAAGAAAUCCAUUGCAUUAAAAUCUAAUGAUAAUUCUAAUGUUACAGAUUCUGAAGACGAUAUGGAUGAUGAGGAACUUGCUCUCAUGAUAAGAAGAUUCAGAAAGUUGAACAGAAAAGGAAGAAGAUUCAAUCCAAAGAAACAAAGUUUUCAAAAGCAAUAGACAAAGUUUGUUGAGGAUGAUGAAUCAAACAAAGAUGUAGUCUACUUUGAAUGUAAGAAAAAGGGACACAUCAGACCCAAUUGUCCUCUUCUGAGGAAGAAGAAAGGAAAAAUUGAAAAGUAUCGAAAAGCUCUUAAAGCUGAAACCUGGAGUGAUACAGAAUGUGAAGAAAGUGAUGAUGAUUAUGCCAAUAUAUGUCUGAUGGCACAAUCGGAUUCAGAUUCAAAUUCCGAGACAGAUUCAGAUUCAGAAAGCGAAUUUGAGGUAAGUAACUUCAAAAUCCCUAUUAAAGUUUCAAAAUACAUUGAUGAACUGUGUUUUAGUUUUAAGACUUCUCUUAAAAGAAUUUCCGAACUCAAGAAGGAAAAUUCUGCUCUAAAACAACAGGAAAAUAUUUUGAAAGAAAACGUGAAAUGUUUAGACAAGAAUGUUUCUUCUCUUAAGGAAAGUGAAGAUAAUCUUUUAAAAGAAAAUGCAUUCUUGCAAAGUGAUAUAUCAAAUAUUUCCAAAAGAUUUUCUAUAGGAUCUAAGAAACUGGAAAAAAUUCUCUCUGUUCAAAGACCUUAUUUCAAUAAAUCUGAUUUGGGAAUGACUGCUGAAACCAUUCCUUUAAUUGAUUUUCCUAAAGUAAAGGAAAGAAUCAAACAAAGACCCACAAGAGAUGCUUACAAAAAUCAUUUUAAAAAGAUCUUUAUAAAACCAGUAGGUCGCAAUGCUCUCAGAUGCUCAAAGUGCAAUAGUGCAGAUCAUUUUGAAAAAGAAUGUCCUAUGAUUUGGAAACCUGUUAAAAAGGUAUGGGCAAAAACCACAUAUCAUACUAACACCAAUGGACUCAAGAAAAUAUGGGUACCAAAGAAGGUUUGAGUUUCUUUUUUAAAUGCAGGUCACUAUCAAGAAAAAGGUAAAAUGGUAUCUGGAUAGUGGAUGCUCAAGACACAUGACAGGAGACUCAAAUUACUUCAUAAAGUUUGUUCGAGUAAAUGGUGGAAAAGUUUCUUUUGGAGGAAACAGCAAAGGAAAAAUUGUGGGAUUUGGAACUGUAAAGAUUGGAAAUCUCUCAAUCAGCAAUUUUUCAUUAGUGGAAGGACUUAAUUACAAUUUGCUCAGUAUUAGUUAGCUAUGUGAUACUGAUUUCAAAAUCAACUUUCAAGAGGGAAUAUGUUCAGGAAUUAAUAAAGAUUCUACUCAGUCAUUCAUGGGUUGAAGACAUGGAAAUAUCUACCUUUUGGAUGUGAAACCAGAUGAAUCGCAAUGUCUAAUCUCAAUCCAAGACGAAGCAAACUUAUGUCACAGAAAGCUUGGGCACGUCAAUAUGAAGCAAAUAGCCAAAAUCUCAGCAAAGAAGCUUGUUCGUAGUCUACCCAAUUUAUCAUAUCAAAAGUCUGAUCUAUGUACACCAUGUAUAUUGGGAAAAGAGGUAAGAAAUUCAUUUAAACCAAUAAAUCAAGUUUCCACUAACCAUGUAUUGCAGCUUCUGCAUAUGGAUCUUUUUGGACCAACCAGAACUCAAAGCAUUGGAGGUAAGAAAUACUGCCUAGUAAUUGUGGAUGACUACUCACGAUUUACUUGGGUAUAUUUCUUGGCAAGUAAGUCUGAAACUUUCUCUUACUUUGAAAAGUUUGCUAAAAAUGUUCAAAAUGAAAAAUGAUAUGUUAUCUCAAAUAUAAGAACAUAUCAUGAAGGUGAAUUUGAAAAUCAUGAUUUUACAAAAUUCUGUGAUGAAUCUGGUUUUCAGCAUGUAUUCUCCUCUCCAUAUACUCCAGAGCAAAAUGGAGUUGUGAAAAGAAAGAAUAGAUCAUUUCAAGAAAUGGCUAGAACUCUUUUAAUUGAAAGUAACAUCUCUUCACGUUUUUGGGCUGAAGCAGUUUCUACAGCAUGUUACAUUAUAAGUAGAGUUUUUCUAAGGCCUAUUCUGGAAAAAAAAACCCCUAUGAACUAUUUAAAGAAAAGAAGCCUAUUGUUUCAUAUUUUUAUGUAUUUGGAUGCAAAUGUUUUAUACUGAAAAAUGAAAAUGAUCGAGUUGGUAAGUUUGAAGAAAAAUCAGAUGAAGGCAUCUUCCUUGGAUAUUCAACCACAAGCAAAGCGUACAGAGUUUACAACAAGAAGACUCAAACAGUGGAAGAAUCAAUGAAUGUUAAAUUCCAAGAUUCUAUGCAAAAUGAAUCCAUUCAAACUCAUCUUGAAGAAUCUGAACCUGCUUCAGACUCUACAAAGUCUAAAAUAGCUCAGACUUUGAAGGACCAGCAACAAGUGACUAUUGAAGAUUCAAGUGAAGGAAGUGACCAUCAGUCUGACAAAUUAACCAGCAACUGGAAACAUAAGUCCAGUCAUCCCAAAGAUCGUAUUAUUGGUGACAUCAAUAAAAGAAUUCGCACAAGAUCCAAAUGGCGCGGAGAGUCUAGUCAUGUGGCUCUUAUUUCUGAAAUAGAACUCAAAAGCAUAGAAGAAGCUUUAUCUGAUGAAAGUUGGAUUAAAGCUAUGCAAGAAGAGCUCAGGCAAUUCAGUAUUAAUGAUGUAUGGGAAUUGACUCCUAAACCAAAAGGUAAGUCUGUUAUUGGAGCUAAAUGGGUUUUCAGGAACAAGAUGAACGAGAAAGGAAAAGUCAUAAGAAACAAGGCAAGACUCGUGGCCAAGGGAUACACACAAGAAGAAUGGAUAGACUAUGACGAGACUUACGCACCAGUAGCAAGGUUAGAAGCAAUUCGAUUAUUACUUGCUUUUGCUUGUUAUAAGAAUUUCAAGUUAUUCCAAAUGGAUGUCAAAAGUACCUUCCUAAAUGGAUUCAUCCAUGAGGAUGUCUAUGUGGAACAACCACCUGGGUUUGAAGACCCAAGGAAACCAGACUCAGUAUUCAUACUCAAAAAGGCUUUAUAUGGCUUAAAACAAGCACCUCGAGCUUGGUAUGACAGACUGAGUAAGUUUUUAAUUGAAAAUGGAUUUGUUAAAGGUAAAGUAGACACUACUCUUUUCAUUAAAAGAGAAAGCAAGAGUUUUCUACUUGUUCAAAUAUAUGUCGAUGAUAUUAUUUUUGGAUCCACUAAUGAAAGUCUGUGCAAGAAAUUCUCUAAGACUAUGCAGGAUGAAUUUGAAAUGAGCAUGAUGGGUGAGUUAACCUUCUUUCUUAGACUUCAAGUGAAACAACUGAAUGAAUGAACUUUUAUUCAUCAAGAAAAAUAUGCUAAUGAUAUUGUGAAGAAGUUUGGACUGGACAAUUGCAAAAAGGCCGAUAUACCAAUGUCAAGUUCCUUGAAGAUAGAUAAAGAUAAAAGAGGAAAGAAAGUCGACCAAAAGUUAUACAAGAGUAUCAUCGGUUCACUUAUUUAUCUUAUUGCUUCUAGACCUGACAUUUUGUUUAGUGUUUGCAUUUGUGCCAGAUUUCAAGCAGACCCUAAAGAAUCACGUUUAAAUGCUGCAAAGCGUAUUAUCAAAUAUAUUGCAUCAACUUCAAGCUUUGGUCUUUGGUAUCCUAAAGGGGGAGACUUUACUCUUCUUGGGUACUCAGACGCAAACUUAGCCGGAUGCAGAGUUGAUAGAAAGAGCACCUCAGGUACCUGUCAACUACUUGGAGGCAAGACAGUGUCUUGGUUUUCAAGAAAGCAAAGUACAAUAGCUCUCUCUAUAGCAGAAGCAGAAUAUGUAGCUCUUGGAAGUUGUCGUUCACAAAUUCUGUGGAUAAAGCAACAGCUAAAAGACUUUGGAAUUGAAGAUUCAUGCACGGAGAUUAAAUGUGACAACACCAGCGCAAUUAAUCUCACCAAAAAUCCAAUUCUUCACUCAAGAGCAAAGCAUAUAGAAAUUCGACAUCACUUCAUUAGAGAUCAUGUUCAAAAUGGAGAAAUUACGAUUCAGUUUGUUGACUCAAAGAACCAACUGGCGGAUAUAUUUACAAAGCCUUUGGAGAAAAAUCAAUUUGAAAUUAUCCGUUCCAAACUCAACAUUUUGAGGUUUGAAGAAAUGAAAGUCUAGAGACCCUCAGACUUAGACAAAUAAGACUUUGACUAUAAGUUAUUCUCUCUCUCUAAUCUCAUCUUGAAAAGGCACGUUCAUCAAUCGUGUUUGAUUAUUGUUAUCUCAACCGCUAUCUUUAAUUAAUGAGAUUAUUGCAUCGUUUCCUUUAGAAAAAGGAGUUAUUUUGAAAUGACCAUUUUUCGAAAAAGGCAGUUAUUUUUUUAAAAAGGCAUCUUUUCACUUUCCAUUACGACGAUUGGUAUCCCCUCCUUUCGACUGUCUUAUAUACAGUCGGUUUCUCUUUGCUUAACUCCAAAACCCUAAAAAGCAUCAAUCUUCCAUUCCUGUUUUCUUCUCUUGUUUAAUCUUUGAAAAAGUUGUCAUCUUUCUUGGGAAAGUCAAGCAAAGAAUCUUUCAAAGACUAAGAAAGAUUUCGUAUUCAAGAAAGUCUUCAAGGAUCGCACGCAGGGGACCACAGCGAAUGAGUGAGGGGCCUACGCACUUCGAUCUCACUGAAGAAGAAGUGUCUCCAAAUCAGCAGCAGAGCCCACAACAUUCUCAACAGCGUCAUUCUCCUCCAUCUAGUCCUCAAGGUGUUGUUCAUCAACAAGAGGAAGAAAUCAUUGAAGAUGCAGAUCCUGUAAAAGUUCAAACGCCCUCUUUUAUUUAUAAGCUGUAUCGGGCUUUCAAAGGGACUGGUACUUCAUUGAACUAUGUCGAUGAUUUUCUUAAGGACAAAGGAUAUGGAAAUGAAUAUAUCUUUUUGCGAAAAAUUGAAAGUUUGGGAAUUGCUCGUAAAGGGGUGGCAGAAGAAAGCCUUGCGAAUAUCCCAAGUGAUCCUCGGGAUUGGGGAUUUAAUCCGGUAGAUGGAAAUGAUGAUGACAAAUUAUACAGCCAAUUUCAACCAAGAAUGGGAGUCGCGGCGGAAAAUCGAGAAAAAAAGGGAGAGUUGUUUAGAUCGAAGGAACAGAAGGAUCUAUACUCAAAACUGUUGAAGCGUGGGGUGAUAAACCCUAGGAGUGUGGAUUUUGAUUUUCUGGAUGCUGUGAAUGUGAACUUGAGGGAAAAUUUCGGUCAUCUUCAACUUGAAAAAUUUUGCUCUGACACCACAGAGGCCUAUCCUCAACUAACUGCAUAUUUCUAUUCAAAUCUUAGUUUUUUGGAUGCGAAUAGAUUCUCCUUCAGCGUCAAAGAUCAAGACUUUGUAGUAGAUAUGGAUAUGCUAGCAGAUGUGUUAGGAGUGGAGAGAGGAAGAUAUCAACGGAUCAAAGUUUCUAUUGCUCGUACUACACUGAAACUUGUUAAGGACAGGAGAACAGAGGAAAAGAUUUCCUAUUCAAGGAUGAAUUCAUUCAACAUCUUGCUGCACAAAAUUGUAAUAAAUUGCCUCAGACCAAAAUCAACUUCCAAGACUGAUGUCUCAAGUUCAGAGGCAAAGCUAAUGUAUGCCAUCAUCACUGGGAAAAGGUUUUCACUUCCUCACACUGUUAUGUUCUACAUGUAUAGAGCUGUGAUGAAGGACAGAGCUCAACUUCCUUAUCCAAGUCUUGUGACGAAGUUAUCCAGACAUUUGAACAUUCAGCCUCCGCAAAUUCUUUGUGCUCGAUCGUGCGAUCAUAUGGUGGUAGGAUUGAAAAUGGUGACCAAGAUGUGUCUGAAGGAACUAAGCAAGGCAUUGGAGAAAUUUAAGGAGAAGACUCCAGUCAAAUCUCAUCAAUUCUCUUCUAUAGGAAAAAGGAAAGGGAAUGAGCCCAUGGAUGCUCCAUCCAAGAGAAGAAGAGCUCUCCUCGUUGAGGAUGAAGAUGAUGAGGAUAACAUCACCAUUUCUGCAAUGGCUUUGAAGAAUCUCAGUCGAUCUGUUCCAGAGAAAGAGUCAGAACAGCAGAUAGAAGAAAGAGCAGAGAAAGAAGCAGAGGAAAAAGAAACGGAGGAAAGAGAAGAAGAAGAAGAAGAAAGAGAUGCUGAGAAAGAGAGAGUUGAAAAAGAAGAAGAAGAGAAAAGAGAUCAAGAAGAAGGAGAAAAUGAGGAGCACUCUCCACCUGAAGGCAUGAACACAGGGGGAGACCAAGAGAAAAGAGGAAUGUCCUCAAAUCCUGUAACCAGUGAGGGAGUCAGUCAAUCCCCAGCAGAUCCAGAGGAUAUUUAUGCCUCUCAGUUUCCUGAGGAAAGUCAUGAUGUUUCUUCGCCAAAUCUGUGUGAUUAUGCUAAUAUACCAUCGUCUGCAUUUACUCCAUCAGAUCGUGCCAAUGCUAGUAUGCAAACCGACAAUUCAGUAGACUUUCGCAGAGUAAUGGAUAUUCUCUUGGAGAUGCAAGGUCAGAUAUAUGCAUUGGGAUGCGAAGUUCAGAACUUGCAGAAUGCAGGACAAGCUUCUUCGGGUUCAUUGAAUGAUCAAAUCCAAGCCAUUUCUCUUCAGAUUCAGGCUAAUGCUAAGGGUGAGGAUGUUGCACGACUGAAAGAAGACUUGAAAAGGCUAGAAGGCAUCGUUCAGUUGAUGGGAGAUUUCCAGCUUGUUUGUGUUCCCAAGCAUUCUUAACUCCAUUUUCAUCUCAAUCUUUUUUAUGCUGACAAAAAUGGGGAGAGUUGCGAGGACUUGAAAAACUUUGAACUUAAAUUUGUCGAACUUUUGGCUUGUUUGGUUUGUGGUUUAUUUUGACUUGACUUGUGUGUCUGGAUGUGGACUAAAUUUGGGAUUUGGAUUUGACUACUUAUUAUUGAUUUCUUAUGGAUGGCUUUAUUGCAUACUGGACUAACCUAUUUUCUGUGAUUGCAAGUUCUAGUGUUAUUCAUUUAGCCAUUUAUCUCUAUAAGAUAUGCAUAUGUGUUUGAGAAAUGUUUUGCAGGUCAAAGUUUUCCAAAUCUGCAGGAAAGUUUUGUCACCAUCAAAAAGGGGGAGAUUGUUGGAGAAAUCCUCUUGAAGUGUUUUGAAGUUGACAAAACGUUUCCAUCAGUCUAGUCUGAAGGCUUGUAGACUCUGCUAUUUAAAGUAUGAAGACCUCCGAACAGCCAGACUCAAAAUUCAAAGUCUAUCCUCAUUGACAGGUUCUAAUCCGUUGAAGAAAGGCUAUCCAGAAUUGGAUGUUUCAUUAAGGAUGUGGCCUUAUCGACUGGAGAAGAUCUCUUGCCUGGAUAUGACAUAACGGAAUCCUUNNNNNNNNNNNNNNNNNNNNNNNNNNNNNNNNNNNNNNNNNNNNNNNNNNNNNNNNNNNNNNNNNNNNNNNNNNNNNNNNNNNNNNNNNNNNNNNNNNNNNNNNNNNNNNNNNNNNNNNNNNNNNNNNNNNNNNNNNNNNNNNNNNNNNNNNNNNNNNNNNNNNNNNNNNNNNNNNNNNNNNNNNNNNNNNNNNNNNNNNNNNNNNNNNNNNNNNNNNNNNNNNNNNNNNNNNNNNNNNNNNNNCCAGUUGUUCGAGAGUGUGCCACGAUAGAGAAUUCCAAAGUUUGAAGCUCAUUGUUUUAGUCAAUCAUUUGUUAAGCAAAAUCGUGUAAACAAAGAGAGUCUAUAUUCGUGAGAAACCUUGAGGAAGUGUGGUAAACCAUCUACACUGUGGAAUCAAGGAAAAGCUGUGCUGUAACUUCUCUUUUGUUCAUAGUGAAAUCCAGCCGGUGGGCUGUCAGUGUGGAAGAGUGGACGUAUGCUUGGAAUAAGCCGAACCACUAUAAAUCUUGUGUUCAAUUUUCUCUUCCCUAACCUUUACUUUACUUUGAUCGUAUUUUCUUUUCUAUCGUUUGCCUAGAAUCGCUUCCGUAUCUCGAGAAAUAGUUUGUGCACCUAUUCACCCCCCUCUAGGUGCUUAUACUAGCUAUCUCACUUUUGACUUCGCCACAUUGAGAGGCCCUUGGGUUUGAGUUCUCCGCUGGUCUAGCCAUCUUUACUUUCAACGCCUUUUCUUGCCUUUUCCUACGAUGAAUCCAUCCCCUUCGACGAGUGUCAAUACUGCAUUGAUUCCCAGUUACCGUGCCCCGACUUGUUCAGUCGCUUCAACAGCUUCCCCCGAGACAGCGUGCGGAUCCGGUUUGUGAGUGGUAGCACCAUCGGUACCACUCGCUCCGAGUGACGUGGUUGAGGAGCUCUAUCGCCUUGGCUGCCCCCUCUUUCAGAUCAUCUUCUUCACAGAGAAGAUGUCCAGCUUUGAUUGGGAUCACAAAGUUCCCUACUAAAAUGGAGUUAAGUGACAUAAGAAAGAGGCAGGGCUGACGAGCUCCGAUGCCACUUUUCCAAGGCAGCCAAAGGUGGUAAGCAGCUUGUCACUGGUUGUGACAGUCUGAUUUUUCGCUUCUGUUUUCAAUUAAUUCGGGCUUUUCGUCGACGUGCCUAUAGCGCUAUUCUCUGAGCUGAUCACUCAUGAGAUAACUUGACUAAUCGGGAAAGUUAUUAAAGAAUUUUGGUGCAACAGACUUGAAAAUUCGACCAGGAAUCGACUGCUCGACCGUGUUAGUCUACAAGGAUCAGUUCGGCACAGUCGAAAAUCUAUCAGAAAUCGGAAAUAGGUCGAUUCGAUAGAAAUAAAAUUAGGCUUGGGUGAUUCCAACUAAUUUACAAAUUUCUCGUCGAUCGGCACUAAACCGAUUUUUCUGUUGUUUUGGUACCCUGUGCUCGUAAUUGAAAUCUCGAGAUUUUUCACGACAAUCGAGAGUUGCUAAUGCGUCGAAAAUAUAUAUCGUGGCUCGGGAAUAAUCGACCACGGGUCAGUGCACCAAAAGUUCCCAAAAACUAACCGAUAGUUUAAGUUGUGCUAGAAAUCACAUUUUGACUGAAAUUAACCGAGGAAAUGAUGUCGAUUACAGAAAUUAAGAAUUGUCACAUGUCACAAUUCAUCCCAAGGACAUUGUUGCGUCUUCUCAAAAUUUACGGAUGAUGGGAAUUGCUCACGAAAUAUGCAAGAUCAGCAAAUUAGAAGAGCAAGGGAAUUGCCACAUUUUAAGUAGGAUUUUAAGACCUCUAAUGUGAAACAAUUUAAGAGGCAUUAUAAUUGGUUACUAAAGGACUUGACCCUAUUGAAUGGGAUAUUAGAUUGGUAAUUAAAUAAAAAGAGAGGUCUCCUCAAAAAGGAAAUUCGUAGGACUCCCUCUCUCCUACAACCUCACCUCAAUUUCCCUUGGUAUUUAAUGAAAAUUGACUUGAAAAGAUAGGGGGACCACUUGAUAAGGAAGAAACUCAUUCUCCAUGGAAAAGACUAUGAGAGUCACUUCAAAUUCGNNNNNNNNNNNNNNNNNNNNNNNNNNNNNNNNNNNNNNNNNNNNNNNNNNNNNNNNNNNNNNNNNNNNNNNNNNNNNNNNNNNNNNNNNNNNNNNNNNNNAAAUGUUUCAGCUAGAAUAGUAUUGACAAAACUUAUCCUAGCACACACUUGUUUGACCACCCAUGCGACAAAAGGAUUAAUGGCGCCCUUACGAAGAGGGAAAAUAACAAAUCUGAAAGAAGCUAGGAGGAAAAUCCUACUUUUUAAGAGAGUGUUAGCACUAGUAAAACUCUGAUCUAGAAAAGAAAAAUGACAUGCAAGACAAUUAUCUUUCAGCACUCUUUUUAUCAAAUUCUUAUCCAUCUUAAGAAAAUUUGACAAAAUUGAUUUUGGUUCUAAUCCGAUGGGUGGAUUUAUUAAUUCCAAUUCCAAGGGUUUUCCUAUGGCAAUAUUGUAUUCUUCCAGAGUUGGAGUCAGCUUAUGCUUACCAAAUAUAAACGUUGAUGUUCGGGGGCUCCAGAAAUGAGCAAGUGCUUGCAUGACGCCACUCUAGACAUCAAUGUCAAGGAGGGGAACAAUGCGACCAAGUCUGCUCUCUACAUAGCUUUGGUUCUCGUGGCCUAAACAAUCCCACCAUGAUUUGAGUUCAACCUUUGGUGCAGGCACGAAUCGAAUGUCGGAUCUUCCCAUUGUUUAUAGACCAGGACUCGACCAACCUAAUGUCAUGGACCGACCAAAUACAUAAAUAAGUAAAUUGCAAGAGUAAAGGAUAGAGAGCUUACUUUACCAUACGAUUAAAGCCAUCACAUAGACAGUGCAUGAAAGUGUAAGGCUCAAUUUCUAUAUAGAUGGGCUUAGCAAAGUGGAGUUAAAAGGGUGGGAUGACUUAGUUGCAGUCUCGCAUACUAAGUCAAGUCUUCCUAACUCCGGGCUUAGUCGAGAAUGAUACCCCAAUGCGACGGAGCCUCGCGGGAAAAGGUAAACAUUCUUAACACCAAGAAAAACUUUCGGAAUGGAGUUGGGCAACUUCUACUACGCGGCCUCGCGGUUGAAGUUGUAUCCAACUCAAUACCAUCCUAAGUGUCCUAGUGCGGCCCAGGUCUGGCGGCAGGUUGUGUGUGCAAAAGUAUAGUAUAAAUGCAAGACAUACACAACAGUUUAAAUCAAGCAACAGUUCAAUAACUUGAAUUUAAAACAUUCAUCCCUAACUUCAACCUGCAAGACAGGGGUUAGCAAAGACUACUCCCCUUAUAUCUCCCCAUCUGCAAAAAUAUUUAACACCUUAAAUAUUAGGGACGUACCUGGAAUCCUCGUUGCCAAACAAAAACAUUUUUCAUAAAGAAGAAAAUUGGCCUAAGUCCACUAAGUGUUUUAACACAAGUCCCCAACGGAGUCGCCAAGUUGUCGCGACCAAUUUUUCGGGGUGUGAACUACCUAAAAAUUGGCUAAUGGAUUGUUAAGGCUAAACUUAACUUAGGCUCUCCCAAGCUCAUACCAAUUCACGACUUAGGUUUAAGUUCUUAUCAUGCAAUUGAUUUUUUAACCAGGAAUCGCCACUAAUCUAUUUUUUGGUGGGUCGAUUAGAAACCCAAGUAAAGUAAUGGGAGUUUCACUUUACUCCUACAAACCAAAUAUUAUGGGCACGGGGACUUGGUUACACUAGAUUUCUUUAAUGCCCAUUCGGUACCACUUCUUUUUAAUUUUCAAAAAUGUUUUUUGCAGGCAAUUUAAACUGAUGUUAAAUCUAAUUCCAUAACAUGUGAAAUGAUCAUGCGGAUACCCAAUUCACCAAUUUAACACCUGGAUAAACAAUAAAUAAAUUGCAAAAACUUACCUCAAAGCAACAAAAUCAUCUGCAAUGUUAAAUUAAAAUCCACAUCAACAACCCUAGAUAUGGUUUCUAAUUAACACGUAAUUUCUUUUUGUUUUCACUUAAUUAAUGAAAAUCAUGCAAUAUGCAAUGCAACAUUAACUAAAUGACCUAAUUCUAAUGACAUGUAAUUUCUAAUUAAAUGGGCCAAGCAAAAAUACUAAAUGACAUUCAUCUUAAUGAAUCUAAACCUAAUGACGUGCAUAUGACAUUUUUUCUUUUUCCUAAAAGAAUGCAUUUUAUCCUAAAUAAUAAAACUAAUUUAACCUAUGACAUUUUUUGUAUUUUUUAUGAAAUUCGAAAUUAGAAAAUUGUGAAAAUUAUCUAAUUAGAUGAAGAUUCUAUUCAAUUUGUAUUAGGAAUUAGGUUGAACUAAAUCCUAAUUUAAACUAAAAUAUUAUCUUAACCCAAAUAAUCCUAAAAUGCAAUCUAUUCAAGAAAAUACCUAAACUUAUAAUAAAUUAAGAAAAGUAUUAUCUAAAACUAAACUAAGUGCAGUUUUACCCUAAUAUGCAAUGAUAUACAAAACAUGCCAUAAUUCUACAUGACAAAUGCAGGAUGAUUUUUUUGUUGUUUUUCCUUUUUUCUUUGUUUUUUAUUUUGAAAUUAAUAAUUGCCAAAUAAUUAAACAUGCAUUCCAAGUUUAAAGAAAAAAAAAUAGCAACCUAAAUAAAUUGAUUUGACUUCUUUUUUAUUAUUUUUAUUAUUUCUUUGAUUUUUAUUUUUUAUUUUUUAAAAAUUUCGAAAUAAUAAAACUCCUAUCCUAAACAUGCAAGAUAACCCUAAACCAUGCAAUAUUCUAAUUCAAACAUAUUUCAAAAUAAACAAAGCAAUCGAGACAAGCCAAACCAUAGAUAUCAUACAUUGUUCAAAUCAAGGGAUAGUAUUUCGCUAGUAAAAUCGAUAGAUUAAUCUUAAGCCUUAAAGAUCAAAAUAUCAAUUUCAUUCUCGCUUAAUUAAUUAUUUCAUCUAAAGCCUUAUAGAUAAAAUAAAAAAAUUCAAAUGCGGUUGUGAAUCAGGUGGCACAUCAUAAUUUCUAAAUAUGCAUUGGGAAACAUUUCGACUAAAGAAAAGCAAGAAAUAAAUAAAAUAUAGAUAAAAUGAAUUUGCAUAAUAAAAUAAAGUAAAUCUACCUAAUUUGAUUUUUUUUUCUUCCAAAACAGAGUUUGGCAACUGGUUCGGAGCUUUGGGGCUGGAAGUCAGGUGUUGGUGCAGACACGAGUAAGGCAAGCAGCGGUAGCGUGGGCACGAAGCUAGCUGUCGGGCACCGAGGAGAGGUGAGCAGCGACGGUGCGAGCUCUAGCGGCAUCGGGUUGCGGCAGGGACAGCGGCACGGCAGCGGCUGAGCGUCAGGUGGAGAUGAGCAGGGGCGCCAAGACUCCUGGUGCUGCAGAUUGGCGACGGCAGAGGCGGAUCAAAGGUGUUCGGGUCGCAACUGUUGUGCUCGGGCUGCUGCAAGUGACGGGGUUGUACUAGUGUUACGCGGUUGCAGAGGCGCGGGUCGUCACAGGCAAAGGUCACCGGCAAGGGGUCACUGCAGUUGUUGCGAGCGAGCGGCAGCAGGAGGGAAGCAGCAAUAGUGGCGUCGGGCUCUAGUGGUGCCGGUCGCGGCUAAAGCAGGGAACAUCAAGAGCUGGGUUGCAAGUAAAUCUCGGGCACGGGUGUCGGGGAGCUCCGCAGGUGUCGGCGGGGGCAGAGAUGCGGACGGAGCGGCGAGACCGGUGGCGCAGCGUGGCGGAGGUGAGCGGACCAGCAAGGUGGCGAGGCGCGGUGGUAUCCGGUGUGGCACGGAUUGGCGCAAUCGAGGGGGUCUUCUCUGUUCUAAACCAAAACCCCCACUUUUCUGACUUUGACCUAAAACAAAGAAAUCCAGAAAAAAAAAAAAAGACAACUUUUCCUCAAAUUCUUUUUCUCUCAAUUCUCUUGAAAAUUCCCCCAUUUUUCUUUUCAUUUUUUCGUUUUAUUUGUUCCGAUGCAAUUUUUAUUUUAUUUAUUUUCCUAAAUUUGCUAAAAUUAGGUGUAAACAGAAGGUUUAUUUAGCCUAACUAAAUGGGAGGCUAUAUCAAUGGGAGGUUUUUCAUUGUAACAUUCCCUUGUGCUUGGAAUUUGUAUUUUAGUAAAGGAUUUUAUUAGCAUAAUAGUCUUUGAAUUAUUAUGAGAAUAACAAUUUAUUAUGAGUCACAAAUUUUUAAAGUAAUGAACCCCAUAAUAAUUUCAAUUAUUUGUUAUUUGAUUUUUUGUAGUUUGGAAUAAAAAUUAUCACCAAAUUAUUUCUUUUUAACAAAUAUAUUGCUUAACUGUUGUUUUCAAUUAAGUUUGCAUCGGAGAAGAGAUUACUUUGUUUUGCUACGCUUGUCGGAUAUUGCACAGGAUAUUGUCAUUUUCUUAGCACUAGCAACGUUGCGUUCAGACAAGGCGGCAUGGAAUUAUUUGCUUAGCUGCACAUCGCACGACCAUACAUUCAUGGACUGUUCCUCAGGAAAACAUAUAGACAUGUGGCAGAUGCAGAACAUUUCACGAGAUUAAAAAAAAAAAGAAAAUAAUUUUUAAAAAACAAUACUUUCGACUUCAAAACGUGUUAAUCGAACGCCUGCUACUCCCGCCAAUAAAGCUCAGCUCCCCCAACGGCUUCGUUGUCGUCUCGAACUGUCCAUUCUCCAUUCUCUGUUCUUGCAUCGACCUCGGGCUAGACGAUGGUGGCAAUGGCGUCGUCAGACGGUGAGGAGGAUCGAGUUGGGGUCGUAGGGUCUCAAGGUCUCGGCACAGGGGCUGGGCUGCAUGGGCAUGUCUACUUCGCCAGCCCUCCCGAGCCCAACCCCGACACGAUCGAGCUUGUCCACCACACCGUUGAAUCUGGCGUUGCCUUCCUCGACACCUCCGACAUCUAUGGCCUUAACGCCAACGAAGUCCUCCUUGGAAAGGUCGGUAUUUUAUUUUGUAGAUAUAAUUGAAGAUCUUCAUCAUGAUGCCAAUCCUAUUUGCGGACUAAUUGAUUUGGUCAAUUUGUAAUUGUUUAGUGAAUUUGAAAUUUAUAAUUCUUUAUAUAUUAUUUAAUUUUUUCUCUUUCAUUCCUACACUAUAAAUAGACCAAUGAACUAAUAUACAGAUUAAUCAAUAUAUAAUGAAAUUUUCUUCAUUUUCUCUAUUAUUUUCUAUCAUGCUGUCAGUGUCGUUCUUCCUCACCUAGCUUCCCAUAUCUUAGAGUUGCCUUUCUUUUUCUCUUGGGUUUUUUUUUUUUUUAAUUGCAAGUCCUCAUCCUGCAAUACAAAUCAGCAAAUCGAUUAGGAAUUCAAUUUAUUUAUUUUUUUCGAUAUCAAGGCAAAAAUUAAGAACACUGAGAGCUCCACUACCUCACCUCAAAAUCAAGCCCCAUCACCAUCGGAUUCGAUUAUGAUUUGGGACAAGAUAUUUUAAUCAUUUUGAGAUAAUCUUUAACUGAUCAUGCUCUUCUAGAUACACAGCGAUUGCGCACUUCCAAAUGCUUAUUAUGUCAAGUAACAUGACAAUCUGAUGGCAUGCAAUGCAACCAAUUUUGCCCUCGUUGAUGUAGAAUUUGGCGUUAAAAGGAAAAUGAUAGUUGCUCGUAUGCUCUCUGCUUAGACAUUGCUUUAUGUUAUGAACUACCUACCAAGGUUGCGGCCAGAGAACUAAGCUCACAACGCGAAGCUAUUCGACCAAGUGAAUGGAAUUGCACAAAGAAAGGGAUGCACCCCAUUGCAGUUACCCCUCGCCUGGGUACACCACCAGAGUGAUGACAUUUGCCCGAUUCCUGGCACGAUCAAGAUCGAGAAUUUCAACCAGAAUAUUGGAGCUCUGUCAGUGAAGCUUUCACCAGAAGAGAUGGCCAAGCUCAAAUCGAUUGCUUAUGCGGACAAUGUUAGAGAAUUGAAACCACAUUUGAUACUAAAUUAUGCCUAGGUAGGAAUUCAAAACUCCACCUCCCGCUUUUCAUGUGGGAAGGUUGGCCCCACCUCGCGCUUAUGGAAAGAGUAAUCACGAAGACACCACAAUAGUUCAAUUGACGUGAGCAGGUACGUCUUCCCUACAUGGUAAGGGUCGUCACUGGGCGUGCAAUUGACGUAAGCACGUGCGUCUUCACAGCCACUAUCGCUCCCCUCCCACUCUUCGUAGCUUCUGCCACUCCCCUCCUAUAAAUCUCGGCUCGCCCGACGCCUUCGCCAUCGUCUCGGUGCAGUGCAGGGAACCAUCGAGCUCGAGCUAGACUACGGCAAUGGCGGCAUCGACGACAACGGUGAGGAGGAUCAAGCUGGGGUCGCAGGGCCUGGAGGUGUCGGCGCAGGGGCUGGGCUGCAUGAGCAUGUCCGCCUUCUAUGGCCCUCCCAAGUCCGAGCCCGACAUGAUCGCCCUCAUCCACCAUGCCGUCGGCUCCGGCGUCACCUUCCUCGACACCUCCGACGUCUACGGUCCUCACACCAACGAAAUCCUCCUCGGAAAGGUCGUUCUCUCAGUCUCUCUUUUGCCUCUGCAUGAAUUAUUAUAUAUGCUUAUGGUUUUACGGAACUUAGCUUCAUCGAGCAGGAUGCUCUGAUCCUGCGCCUUGGUUUUCUGAUUUCGGGGUUGAUUUUGAGCAGGCACUGAAGGGAGGGGUGAGGCAGAAGGUGGAAUUGGCGACCAAGUUCGGAGUCAGAUUCGCGGACGGGAAGAGGGAGAUCCAGGGCGAUCCGGCGUACGUGAGGGCUGCUUGCGAGGCCAGCUUGAAGCGGCUCGACAUCGAUUGCAUCGACCUCUACUACCAGCACCGUAUCGACACUCGCGUCCCCAUUGAAGUCACUGUAUGGAUCCCUUAUCAAACUUUCACCUCGCUUGAGACUUUCUCUGAGCCAUAUGAUGCAUCGUCAUGUUGUUAUAAGUCUGUUGAAUUUUGUUAAAUGACACUUAAGUUCAGCUGAUAGCAGAGUUCAAGAUGCGGCACGGUGUUGUUCAAGGGUUGUGAAAUUUAGUAGUUUAGUGGCUUGAGUUUUCGUUUUGUGGGAAUCUUUUACAAGUUAAGGGUCAACAAGCGUGGAAAUUAUUCGAAAUCUUCCUUUAAGAUGAAAGUGCUCCGGGGUUCAUCCUGAAUUUAUAUACGGGAAUCACAUAUAAAGUUGUUCCUGGACUUUAUACGGAGACAUUUGAUUCUUGACAUAUUGUGAAAUAUGACAAGUACUUGGAAUACUUCUUUUAUUUGCUCUCUUCUGUGAGAGAUUCAAGAAAUCUACCUCCGUUAACUCAAUACCUUAUGGGUUUUUUGUCGCAUUGAGAUGCAUGAUAAUUGAGGGAUCUAGACACAUAAAAAGCUAAUGACAAAAAUAAUUUUCUGGAUCUUAACAUGUAAGAUCUUGAUGUUGUUGUUCUGUCAUGUGAAUAUGCACAGAUCGGAGAGCUAAAGAAGCUCGUUGAAGAGGGUAAGAUAAAGUACAUCGGUUUAUCCGAGGCCUCUGCAUCAACAAUCAGAAGAGCACAUGCCGUUCAUCCCAUCACAGCAGUGCAAUUGGAGUGGUCGCUUUGGUCAAGAGAUGUGGAGGCGGACAUCGUUCCAACGUGCAGGUAGGAUAUCACUCUGUUAAUUGUUUAUGCAGCAACAACAGCUUCCUUCUGACUCUGCUUUUCCUUUAAAAUGUUGACUAGGGAGCUUGGCAUUGGAAUUGUUGCCUACAGUCCUUUAGGACGAGGAUUCUUUUCUGUUGGCUCCAAGUUGGCGGAGAAUUUCUCAAAGGAUGACUUCAGACAGGUCUGUUCCUGCUUGUCAACAUAAUUAGAUGCUUACAGUGGCUGUCAUUCUUAUUGAAGUGCUGGAAACCUGUUCUUGUGGUAUCAAGAAAAAGUAUCUGGAUGGGAUGAAUAAAACUUGGUGACACGAAUGCUUCGUGUUUUUAUAUGUCUUUAAUCCAGCACUUGCCAGACAUCCCACCUCUCUCGAUUCUAGAUAAAUGUAAAAUCACAAGUAAUGGCUUUAGUGAGCCUGAAAGAGGCAGUUUCCUGGAUUCUCGUGCUUUUGGGAAUGAAUACAUAUAGGUUUAUAUGUAAGUUGCUCUGUUUCCCAGCCUUCCCAACAUUUGCUUAUCACUAUCCUUUCCCCACUUUCCACCCACCCUUUUUCUCUCAUCUUUCUUCACAAGAUUAGCGAUAUUUCCUCGAAAUAACUGACGCCAGUAUCGGGCUCUGGCCCUCCGUCCUUUUUCAUUCUCAUCUUUCUUCACAAGAUAAACUAUAUCUUGACACAACCAUUUCUUGAGUGAGGACUCCCGACACCCUUCUUAUGAGAGUUUUGGAUCAAGUUCCCAUCUGACAUAAAGCCAAUUGUGUAUUACUCCCCGCCAUUAGCGUUUGACUAGCGAUAGUGCUGGGCAAGUGAGGUAGCUAUUUUUCUUUGUAGCUAAAAGAGCUCUGCGUCUGAUAACACUCUUCUACACAUCAUCUACAUUUCUGAUUUCUUAUUUUAUGUGUGACUAAUGGUAUCAUCACACGUACAAAACUUAGAUUGUCGAGUUUGUUUCUGUUUUCACAUCCUACAUCAAGCCCAUCAGCCUUGUGUGGUAGUUGCUAGAUCACUUCGCUUGACGUUUCUAAUGCUUAUGAUUUGGGACAUGAUAUUUUAAUCAUUUCAAGAUUAUUUAUAACUGAUCAUGCUUAUCCAGAUAGACAACGAUUGCACACUUCUAAAUGCUUAUUAUGUCAAGUAACAAGACAAUCUGAUGGCAUGCAAUGCAACCACUUUUGCACUUGUUGCUGUAGAAUUUAGCCUUAAAAGGAAAAUGAUAAUUGCUCAUAUGCUCUCUGCUGAGACAUUGCUCCAUGUUAUGCAGUAUCAUCCAAGGUUCCGGCCAGAGAACUUGGCUCACAACACGAAGUUAUUUGACCGAGUGAAUGAAAUUGCGCAAAGAAAGGGAUGCACCACAUCGCAGUUAGCCCUGGCCUGGGUACACCACCAUGGUGACGACAUUUGCCCGAUUCCUGGCACAACCAAGAUCGAGAAUUUCAACCAGAACAUUGGAGCUCUUUUAGUGAAGCUUACACAGGAAGACAUGGCCGAGCUUGAAUUGAUUGCUUCUGCGGACAAUGUCAAGGGUGGCAGGUAUGAUGGAAGCAUAUCUACAUGGGAAAACUCCGACACUCCACCCCUUUCUUCUUGGAAACCUGCCUAGAAGCGUGUCUGCUUCUGUUGCUGCAUCUUUGAUGUGCAGAGUUUGAGCAUUUGCUGCUGAAGUAAUUUGAGUUUAUGUUGUGUGGCUGUUAUAAGUAUGUGUAAUAAGAGAGUGACUGUUUUCAUUUUGUACAUGUGACAUUCACUAUGAGAAGAUUAUGGAUGUGUACUAACCUUACUGGGGAAAGAUCACUUGAUAAACACGGGAGCGAGUUGAAUACGAACUGAGCCUUCCGUGUCGACUUUAUGGGGUGACUUUUAGAAUAUGAGAAAUUGGGAUUUUGAAGAAUUCAAACUCAGUCGUACAUACUGUUGGAAAUAUGGCUUCGAAAUUGGGUAGAAUAAUGAAAUCGAAUUGAGUAAAACAACUUGGACUUUGAGGCGCGAUAUCGGAUUUAUUUGCCCCACAAAGUUGCUAAUGGUCACCGGCAAAAAUCCUCCAGGAUACAACAAAGUCUCGGAUGAGAAUACUAGAUAGCAAUUCAAGUAUUUCUCCAGGGUCUUUCUAAGAAACAAUCAAAAAAUUGGCUGCUGUUUUUCAGAAAGAAGACUCGAAAAUGACCACUCUUUUUCUUUCUGAAAAAUGACAAGUAUAUAUAUGAAACAGUCUUGCAACUCUUCGUGAAAAUUGUGAACAAACACGUCUUUAGAAAAUUGUUUGGAUAAACAAAUGCGACUCUUCGGAACAAAUCGAAAACGAACAAUUGCAACCUUUCGGGAAAAGUUAAAACCGAAUAAGUAAUUUUCCAAAAGUUGUAUUGAAAGAACACAAAUAAAAUUCAGAAUAAUUUUUUUAAUAGAAUUUCCAAUUUUCAUUUUAUAUAUUUUAUUUCCGAAAUUCUCAAAAUAAAAGACAACCUUUGAAUUUACUAAAAAUUAAUAAAAAUAAAAUAAAAAAUAAUAACAAAUGGACUAGUGUUAAUUAAACCGCGGCGGGCAUGCGUGCUAAGUACGCCAAAAUCGCGCAAUUAUUCGCGCACCCGCACGCGGGUAUGAUGGGGUCUAGCCCCACCCAAUCAUUCUUUGAUGUACACAAGGAAACCAUUCACUUAUAAAUCAAGCCACUUCUUCCCACUUUUCCUAUGACAAACAAACCUCCAACAAUCCCCCACUUUGUUUGUAAAACAAAGAUUUCAGAAUUAAAAUUUUAAAAAACAUACAGCCAAAAUUUCAGUAAGAUUAAUAUACAUACAUAAAGGUCUCUUUCGAGUUAAACAUUUAUUUAGUGCAAGUAUAUUAAAGCUCUAUCAAAGUGACAAGUAGCUCGGCUUUAAACUUGUACUUUAAUAUAAUAGAACUGGACAUACCGCACAUACACUAACCUCUUGUUUCAGUGAGAAGUUCUAUAUUACUCCGCACUAUUAUGGCCUUGUGCUUGAUCAUAUUUCAUGAGCUCUCUAGAAAACAACCCUAACUUUCGUAAGAAGCGGCACCACUUCUAAGCUCAUAUAAGUGAAAUAUCUACCAUGUGUUUCUAUUACUAUCAACACACUACAAACUUGUAUCAUACUUUAUUAAGAAUUCAAUUCAUCCUACAAAACGUAACAGACAAUACUGACUUCUCAUAUCAGGGCUAUGUCAGUAUCAAACAAUCACAUUCAAUAACUUGUUCUUACCCAUUAAACCUUGUAAAAGGUCAGGUUACCAUUAUCGGUGAUUUCAAUUAAAGGGUUUCAGCCCCAUUUCUUGUGAGGUCGUUAUUACCAUAUGUCUUGGUAAAGCCUUCGUCAAUGGAUCGGCAAGAUUUUUACUUGACCUCACAUAGACAAUUGUUAUGAUACCAUCUUUAAUCAAUUGUCUUACAUAUUCAUGUCUUAGACUAAUGUGUCUAGACUUACCAUUAUAGUUGCUACUAUAGGCUCUUGCCAAAGUGGCCUAACUAUCAUAGUGGAUAGAAAUAAGAGGCAUAGGACUAGGCCAUAAUUUGAUAUCCAACAACAAAUUUCUAAUCCAUUCAGCCUAUUUCCCAGCUACCGCCAAAGCAAUAAAUUCAGAUUCCAUUGUUGAGUGAGUUAUACAUGUCUGUUUCUUGCUCGCCCAAUAUACAGCACCUCCAGCUAGUGUGAAAAUCCAUCCAGAAGUGAAAUGCUCAUCUCCCACACUUGUAAUCCAACUAAAAUCAGUGUAUCCUUCUACAUCGGAUAAUUAUUGUAGAACAAUCCUAAAUUUUUAAUUCUCUUAAGAUAACAAAAAAUUCUAGUAAUAGCUCUCCAAUGUUCUGUACUUGGAUUACUAGUAUACCUACUCAACUUGCUUACAUAAUAAGCAAUAUCGAGUAUAGUACAAUGCAUCGCAUACAUUAAAGACCUAUAGCACUUGCAUAUUUAGUUGUGCCAUCGCUCUACCAAUAUUAUAAUUUAAUUUAAUACUGGAAUCAAAUGGAGUACUUAUUUCUUUAAAAUCAAGAUGUUGAAAUUUAUUUAAUAAUUUUUCAACAUAACUACAUUGGCUUAAAGAAUAACCCCUACUAUUUUUCUUAACUUUAAUAUCUAAGAUAGUAUUUACUUCACCCAAAUCCUUCAUUUUAAGCAUGGAAGUUAGAUACUUCUUAGUCUCAUUAAUUCUAGUAAUAUUUGUUCCAAAGAUAAGCAUAUCAUCAACAUACGAGCACGCUAAGACACCAUAGUCUUUAGUAAAUUUAGAGUAUAUACACAUGUCGGCACUACUAUUGAUGAAACCAUUUGACAAUAUGACCGAAUUAAACUUUUCAUGCCACUGCUUAAGAGCUUGCUUAAGUCCAUAAAGAAACUUAAUCAAUUUACAUACUUUUCUUUCAUUUCCAGGAAGAACAAAAUCCUCCGGUUGUUCCAUGUAAAUCUCCUCAUUUAAGUCUCCAUCUAAGAAAGCAGUCUUAACAUCCAUUUGAUAAACACAAAGAUCAUAAAUGGAAGCUAGAGCAAAAAGAACUCGAAUAGAAGUUAUAUGUGCAACAGAAGCAUAUGUAUCAAAAUAAUCUAUUCAUUCUUUUUGUCUAUAUCCCUUAGCUACAAGCCUAGCUUUAAAAGCUUGAAUAGAACUAUCAUAAUGAUAUUUUCUUUUAAAAACCCAUUUGCACCCAAUAGAUUUUGAUCCUUUCGGUAAAUCUACUAAUACCCAACUAUUAUUGGACAUAAUUGAGUACAUUUCAUCAUUCACAGCUUCUUUCCAAAAAGAAGCAUCUCUAAAAGAUAUAGCAUCAUUAAAGCUUCUAGGAUCAUCUUCUAAAUUUAAUACUAAAGAGUACUUAUUUAUCACGUUAUUAUCUCCAUUUCCUUCAACAAGAAAAAGAGUUAUAAAAUCAGGACCGAAGUCUUUUAUUUUCCUAGCUCUAAUACUUCUCCUUGGUUCAAUCAUGUCUUUAGAAUCAUUCAUUUCUUUCUCUUGAGAAUCACUUUGAGUUUCCAUAGAUCUUGAAUUAUUUUCAAUAAUUUCAGAACUUGUAAAACAUUUAUUCUCAAAGAAUUCAACGUCCCUCAAUUCUACUAUGACAUUAGACUUUAAAUCAAGAAGUCUAUAAGCUUUACUAUUUUCAGCAUACCUAAUGAAAACACUUUUGAUAGCUCUAGGACCGAGCUUUGUUCUCUUAGGAUCUGGAGCUCGGUAGUAUGCCAAACACCCCCACAUUUUAAGAUAUGACAAAUUUGGCUUUCUACCUUUCCAUAUUUCAUAGGGGGUUAUGUCAUUUUUCUUGGAAGGUAUUCUGUUAUGAAUAUAGCAUGCAGUAAGUAAUGCUUCUCCCCAAAGAUUAAUUGGUAGAUUUGAAUUUGAAAGCAUACAAUUAACCAUUUCUCUAAGAGAUCGAUUUUUCCUUUUAGCUAAACCAUUUUGUUGUGGAGUAUGUGGUGCUGAAUCUUGAUGAAUAAUAUCAUAUUCUUCACAAAACGAAGAGAAUUCAUUUAAGAAAUAUUCUACACCUCUAUCUGAUUGUAGAACUUUAAUUUUCUUUUCUAAUUGAUUCUUUAUUCAGCCUUAUAUUUCAUAAACAUGGUAAAUGCUUAAUCCUUUGAUCUCAUGAGAUAAACAUAUAAGAACCUACUGCAAUCAUCCACAAAGGUAAUAAAAUACAUUUUACCUCCACGUGUUAGCAUACCAUUAAAUUCACAUAUAUCACUAUGAACCAAAUCCAAUAAAUUUGAAUUUCUUUUAACACUAGGAAAUGGCUUCUUAGUAAAUUUUGACUUAGCACAUAUUUCACAUUUAUCAAAUUCGCCAUUAAAAUUUAUCAAGUCUAAUUUUCUCAUAUUCUUCAAAUAACGAAUAUUUAUACGUGCCAACCUACUAUAUCAUAAAAUUGAAGACUCGACAAUAUAAGCAGAACUAUAAAUAUUAUUAUUGAUACUCAGUUGAUACAUGCCAUCAUUGACAUAACCCAUCCCAACAAACAACCCAUUUUUCGACAGGAUAACCUUAUCGGAUUCAAACAAAAUCCGAAACCCCCUCUUACAAAGUAAAUCAAUAGAAACUAGGUUCUUCCUAAUUUCGGGUAUAAAUAACACAUUAAGAAGAGUUAUCUUCUUUCCAGAAGUGAAGUCUAUCUCCACCGUGCAUUUUCCAGCAACCUUUGCAAUAGCAUUAUUCGCCAUCAGGACUUCUUGAACAUUUGAGUCAACAAUCUUUUCAAAUUGCUUGAACAUGUACUUGUCCCUGCACACAUGGAUUGUUGCUCCAGAAUCUAUCCAUCAACUGGAUUGGACAGUGGUAGAAUUAAUUUGAGAAACCAUAGCCAUCGUAUCAUUGAUUUCAGAAAUUUCCAUGUUUGAAAACAUGUUUAAAAUCAUGGCUACAUAAUUUUCUUCAACCAGAUUUGCAUUUGCUUUCACCACUGGAAUGUUCUUGUCCUUUGAAAUGCUCUUGCGGUGAAUGCAAUCCUUGGUGUAGUGUCCCCGUUUGCCACAAACAAAACAACAACCCUUUUGCUUCUUUUGUGUUCUCUUGAAUUUAUGCCCCCCGCUUUUUACUUUGAAGUUCUGGCCGAGUUUCCGUUUUUUGUCCACAACAUUCAUCUUGGAAUUGUACAAAAUAGAAUUAUCACGUAAACGUGACUCUUCCUCAAUGCAAAGACGUUUCUAUAUUGCUCCAAAGUAAAGUCUCCCAACUUGUGAAUCAGCCUUUUUACAUAGUCUUUCUAACUUGGAGGCAAUUUCGCAAUAAUUGCUCCAACUUGAAAAGCUUCUGGAAUAUCAAUUUUGAGGGCAUGAAUCUUAUUCACAAUCACUUGCAAUUCAUGGACUUGUUCUAGCAAGGGUUCAGUAUCAAUAAACUUGAAAUCAAAAUACUUUGCGAUUAGAUAUUUGUUGGUACCUUGCUCCUCCGCUUUGUACUUGAAUUCCAGUGCAUUUCAAAUUUCUCUGGCCGACUUUAUUUCUGUGAAUAAGUCAUACAGACGAUUGGAGAGUGUGUUUAGAAUGUGUCCUCGACAAAGUAAUUCAUCCUCCGCACGUUUCUUCUUUUCCUUAUUUACCCUCUCAAUGACUUCCACGCUUAGCUAUCCUCCCUCGGUAGUAGGCUUAGGAUCUUCUAUAGGUGCCAAGUUAGGAUCCAGUAUGUAGGAAAUCUUCAGAGCAGUGAGUAAGAACGUCAUCUUGUCCCUCUAGCGAGCAAAAUCAUUCCCAUCGAACCGGUCCAAUUUGACCAUAUCUUGAUUCAUAACUUUGAUUGUCUCCAACUCCAUUGUAGCAAACUAAAUCCUUAAAAUUGUUGUAAAAUUAUGGCUUCGAAAUUGGGUAGAAUAAUGAAAUCGAAUCGAGUAAAACAACUUGGACUUUGAGGCGCGAUAUCACUUUCUUUAAGGAUUUAUUUGCCCCCACAAAGUUGCUAAUGGUCACGGGCAAAAAUCCUCCAGGAUACAACAAAGUCUCGGAUGAAAAUACUAGAUAGCAAUUCAAGUAUUUCUCCAGGGUCUUUCUAAGAAACAAUCGAAAAAUUGGCUGCUGUUUUUCAGAAAGAAGACUCGAAAAUGACCACUCUUUUUCUUUCUGAAAAAUGACAAGUAUAUAUAUGAAACAGUCUUGCAACUCUUCGUGAAAAUUGUGAACAAACACGUCUUUAGAAAAUUGUUCGGAUAAACAAAUGCGACUCUUCGGAAGAAAUCGAAAACAAACAAUUGCAACCCUUUGGGAAAAGUUAAAACCGAAUAAGUAAUUUUCCAAAAGUUGUAUUGAAAGAAUACAAAUAAAAUUCGGAAUAAUUUUUUUAAUAGAAUUUCGAAUUUUCAUUUUAUAUAUUUUAUUUCCGAAAUUCUCAAAAUAAAAGAACCUUUGAAUUUACUAAAAACUAAUAAAAAAAUAACAAAUGGAUUAGUGUUAAUUAAAUCGCAGGCGUGUAUGCAUGUUAAGUGCGCCAAAUCUACACAAUUAUUCGCGCACCCACACGCGGGUAUGGUGGGAUCUAGCCCCACCCGAUUAUUCCUUGAUGUACACAAGGAAACCAUUCACUUAUAAAUCAGCCCACUUCUUCCCACUUUUCCUAUGUGGGACUACUAGAAAAACACACUCAGCUUGUUUUGACAAACAAACCUCCAACACAUACUAGAGUGACGCUUUAUUCUCCCCCAACCAAGCGUUCAAUACUAACACCGUGUGCAACACGCUCUUAAGACUGAAUGCUACACAUAGAUACAAAGCUUCGGUUUGUGUUUGGUUUGGUAGCGAAGUUAAGGAACAGUAAAAUGUUACCUGAUGUUCUCACGAAAGCGAAGUUGAGGAUAAAAUGCUGGCACGGUUGAUAUGAGUGUCGGGGAAAUCGAAGGUUUCUUGUUCAAGUUUCACCACCUACGGUUCAUGAGCUUUUAUGUAGCUCAAUACCUUAACUCAUGCCUUUGCAUUAUUAUAAAACAGUUGGAGAUAUCGCGUGAGUUUCCUAAAAUUAAAAACGACACUUCUAUUGUUUUUUUUAUUUGGAGUUAGAGUGGAGCAAUGUUGUUUUGUUUUGGUUUAGGAAAAUAACGCAAAUAGUCAUUAAACUUUGGUCCAAUGUGUUGUGUUCUUACUGAACUUUUAAUUUAUUUAGUAUGAUUGUCGAACUUUUUGUACAUGUUUAAUUUAGAUCCUAGGUUAGAUAAAUCCAAUGAUGCUGUGUUUGGUUGUUCGAAUAUCUUUGCUCUAUGGGAUAAUGAUAGGAUAAAAAUUCCAUCUAAUAUUUCUUGACGUCCGGAUAUAACAUGAUUCAAAUAAAACAAAUUUAAAUGAGUGUUUUAUUUGUAUAAUUAAAAUUAAAAAUAAACCAUGGAAGUCGUAAAUACUAUUCAUCCUUUCCCAAUCUUCAUCCAUAUCAAGCACCCCCGUUCCAUGUGACUUCAAGGACGCUCGCUCCUUCUGCAACACCCCUUUCGCUGCCCUUGAUCAACUUGAUGGAUUACGCUCGCUCUACCUUUGACUUCGCCACAUUGAGAGCCCCUUGGGUUUGAGUUCUCCGCUGGUCUAGCCAUCUUUACUUUCAACGCCUUUUCCUGCCUUUUCCUGCGAUGAAUCCAUCCCCUUCGACGAGUGUCAAUACUGCGUUGAUUCCCAGUUACCGUGCCCCGACUUGUUCAGUCGCUUCAACAGCUUCCCCCGAGACAGCGUGCGGAUCCGGUUUGUGAGUGGUAGCACCAUCGGUACCACUCGCUCCGAGUGACGUGGUUGAGGAGCUCUAUCGCCUUGGCUGCCGCCUCUUUCGGAUCAUCUUCUUCACAGAGAAGAUGUCCAGCUUUGAUCGGGAUCACAAAGUUCCAUACUAAAAUGGAGUUAAGUGACAUAAGAAAGAGGCAGGGCUGACGAGCUCCGACGCCACUUUUCCGAGGAAGCCAAAGGUGGUAAGCAGCUUGUCACUGGUAGGAGGAACGGUGGCCCUUAGAGUUUGCUCAGGUCGUUGUGGCAAGGGCUUCUCUAGGUAUCUUCGCGAUACUCAUGCUCUAACUAAGUUUGUGGUGGUCAUUUUAGUGAGAGAAAUUGGAACAAGAGAGAGAUGAUGGUGGCACUGGUCAAAAGUGAGGAUAAGCCAUCAACAAGCGCAGGAGUGGGGGAAAAAGUUGUGUCCCUUAUCUUUUCAGUUCUCUAAAUUUCACAUACCAUAUUUGAAUUUAUAUCACUUUCUAGAAGGGAUUUUUAUCCGGACUAUAUCUGAAUUUCACAUUACUCUAAACAACGUAUAGGAUCAAACUUAUCAUAUUAGAGUUUUAUCCAACCCAUCAAAGAUAGUCUUAUGAGAUAGAAUGCAAUGAUAUAAUUUGUGAGUUAUAUUAAACAUUUAUUAAAAGUUUAAGAACAAUAGUUCACAUUUUGAUUAUUAUGAUGCACCAAUAAGUUAUGUUAAAACAAUCCCACAAUAUAUUGAUAGCUUUGAAAUAUGGCUUUCUCUUGGUGAUGAUGUCGAUUAAUAUGGAGAAAUUAAUGGGAGGGUUUAUUUGGCCUAAUUAAAUGGGAGGCUAUAUCAAUGGGAGGUUUUUCAUUGUAACAUUCCCUUGUGCUUGGCAUUUGUAUUUUAGUAAAGGAUUUUGUUAGCAUAGUAAUUUUUGGAUUAUUAUGAGAAUAAUAGCUUGUUAUAAGUCAUAAAUUUUUAAAGUCGUGAACCCCAUAAUAAUUUCAAUUAUUUGUUAUUUGAUUUUUUGUAGUCUAGAAUAAAAAUUAUCAUCAAAUUAUUUAUUUUUAAUAAAUAUAUUGCUCUAACUGUUGUUUCAAUUAAGUUUGCAUCGGAGAAUAGAUUAUUUUGUUUUGGUGCGCUAGUCGAUUAUUGCACAGUACAUUGUCAUUUUCUGAGCACUAGCAACGUUGCGUUCAGACAAGGCGGCAUGGAAUUACUUGCCCAGCUGCACAUCGCACGACCAUACAUUCAUGGACUGUUCCUCAGGAAAGCAUAUAGACAUGUGGCUGAUGCAGAACAUUUCACGAGAUUAAAAUAAUAAUAAUAAUAAUUUUUAAAAAACUAUAGUUUCAACUUCAAAACAUGUCGAACGCCUACUUCCACAUCAAGAAUUUGGGACUUCCCAAAUAUUUUCUUGGUAUUAAGAUUGCUCAAUCUGGUAAAGAUAAUAGUCUUAGUAAGAGGAAGUUCAUCCCAGAAAUCAUUUCUGAAGCAGGAUUAUCUAGAUACUAAUCGGCCAUCAUACUAAUUGAACAAAAUACUAAGCUGCCAACUCAUGGACUUAGAGUCUUCAUCUUUUGAGGAUUCAUUGCUCAAGGAUCCAUUGGCAUAUCGGCAACUUGUUGCAAAAUUAAUAUACCUCACCAUCACAGGGCCUGAUAUAUGUUAUGUAGUGCAAGUACUCUUAAUUCAUGCAUAGUCCAAAAUAAUCUCAUAUGAAUGUAGCCCUAAAAGUUGUGAAAUAUUUGAAGUGAUGUCUCAGACUUAGAAUAUUUUUAUCUUCUGACUGCAACAUGAAGAUGAGAGCUUUUCGUAAUAUAAAUUAUGCCAAGAGAUCUAUUUUUGUUUAUGCAUUAAAUUGGGAAAGACAAUAAUCUCGUGGGAAAGGAAGAAGUAGUCAAUUAUAUCAUUGUCCUCAGCUGAAUCGAAGUAUUAAGCCAUGGGGAAAACUACCUGCGAAGUAGUUUGGAUAGGAGGAUUACUCUCAGAUCUUGGAUUACAGGUUAGUGGAGCAACUAAAUUGUUUUGUGAUAAUGAUGCUCCACUCAAAUUAACAACAAAUUUGGCAACAACAAAAAAAACAACAAAUCUAGUUUUUCAUGAAAGAAUAAGACAUGUAGAAGUUAAUUGCCAUUUUACUCGAGAUAAAAUCAUAGAAGGAGUUGUUGUAACUAAAGGAGUUGGAAUUAUGGACCAACCUGUAGACAUCUUCGCUAAGCCACUAUGUUAGAGACAACAUAUGUACCUAGUAUGUAGAAGGUUGUUAGCCUUCUUUUUGUCAAUCAUAUGACAAAAUCCCCAAUUUUAGUUCUAGUUCCAACCCAUCUAAACUUUUUUUGUCUCAUAAAAACCCUUAAAUUUAGAUGCAGUACCAAAUUUAUCUUAAAUGUUGUUUUGUCUCAUAAAAGAAACCCAGCUGUAGGUCCAAUUUUAUUUUCAUUGUAAUUUAUUUAUCUCAUAAAAGAUUAUCAACUGUUACUUGAGUCCUAAAUCUACUCUGCAUUAACCCUUUGUUAAAAUUGCCCCUAGGGAUUUUGCGCUUGGUUUUCGAUCUUUCGUGCUUGGAAAUGUUCUAUCUCUCUUGAACAACUCGUGUUUGGGAGCUUUCCUUCUCUUGAUGUCAAUAGAAUAUUUUGGAUGAAGGGUUAAUGGGAGCAAAUUUGCGACUCAAGUAAAAAUUUAUGAAUUUUUAUGAGAUUGUAAAAAUUUUAGGGUAUUAUAAAAAAAAAAGGUCUAAGGUAGAAUUAGUAUGUGAGUUAAAGUUGAGGAUUUUUUAUGGGACAAAAGAAGGUAAUGGUAGAAUUGUGAAUGGAUCUAAAAUUAUUGUUCUUUUUUUAGACGAAAGGUACAAUUAGGAGAAAAGCUAAAGUAGGGGGUUUUUUUAUAAGGGUGUUAGGGUCCAUUUUGUCAAUCAUAUGACGUCAGCAUUUCUUAUUUUCUCCUCCCUUUUCGUCAGCACGUGCGUCUACGGUAGCAUAUCCGGCCCCUCGCACCUACUGCUACUCCCCCUCAUAAAUAUCUGGGCUCGCCCGACACCUUCUUCAUCGGCGACUUCGGUAGCACGUGCAGGGAUCGAGCGAGCUCGAGCUAGACGACGGCAAUGGCGGCGGCGUCGACGACGACGGUGACGAGGAUCAAACUGGGGUCGCAGGGGCUGGAGGUGUCGGCGCAGGGGCUGGGCUGCAUGGGCAUGUCCGCCUUCUAAGGCCCUCCCAAGCCCGAGCCCGACAUGAUCGCCCUCAUCCACCACGCCGUCGGCUCCGGCGUCACCUUCCUCGACACCUCCGACAUCUACGGCCCCCACACCAACGAAAUCCUCCUCGGAAAGGUCGGUUCUCUCAGUCUCUGUUUUGCCUCCGCAUGAAUUAUAUGUGCUUAUAGUGUUACGGAAUUUAGCUUCAUCGAGCAGGAUGCUCUGAUCCUGCGUCAUGGUUUUCUAAUUUCGGGGUUGAUUUUGAGCAGGCGCUGAAGGGAGGGGUGAGGCAGAAGGUGGAAUUGGCGACCAAGUUCGGAGCCGUCAUUGGGGACGGGAAGAGGGAGGUCCGGGGCGAUCCGGCAUACGUGAGGGCGGCUUGCGAGGCCAGCUUGAAGCGGCUCGAGGUCGAUUGUAUCGACCUCUACUACCAACACCGUGUCGACACUCGAGUCCCCAUCGAAGUCACUGUAUGGAUCCUCCUUAAACCUUUACCUCUCUCUCGAGACUUUCUCGGAGCCAUAUGAUCAGUUGCUAAACUAGAUUGGUGUUAAUUAUGCAUCGUCAUGUUGUUACAAGUUUGUUGGAUUUUGUGGCAGUUGCUUGUAAAUAUUGUUAAAUGAGAUUUAAGAUCGGCUGAUAGCGGAGUUCAAGAUGCGGCACGAUGCUGUUAAAGGGGUUGUGGAAUUUAGUGGUUUAGUGGCUUGAGUUUUUGCUUUAUGGGCAUCUUUUACAAGUUAAGGGUCAACAAUCAAGAAAAUCAUUUGAAAUCUUCCUUUGAGAUGAAAGUGCUCCGGGGUUCAUCCUCAUUUAUAUACAAGAAUCACAUUUGAAGUUGUUCCUGGACUUUCUAUGGAAUGGAGACAUUUGGUUCUUGACAUAUCAUCGUGAAAUGUGACAAGUACUUCGAACACUUCUUUAAUAUGCUCUCUUCUGUGAUCGAUUAGAGAAAUCCACCUCCGUUAACUCAAUACCUAGUGACUUUUUUGUCACAUUGAGAUGCCUAAUAAUUGACUAAACUAUUCAGGGAUCGGGAAACAUAAAAAGCUAAUGAUGUGCAUAAUUUUCUGGAUCUUAACACGUAAGAUCUUGACGGUUGUUGUUUUGUUUUGUCUUGUGAAUAUGCACAGAUCGGAGAGCUAAAGAAGCUCGUUGAAGAGGGUAAGAUCAAGUACAUCGGUAUGUCUGAGGCCUCUGCGUCAACAAUCAGAAGAGCACAUGCUGUUCAUCCCAUCACAGCGGUGCAAUUGGAGUGGUCGCUGUGGUCAAGAGAUGUGGAGGCAGAGAUCAUUCCCACGUGCAGGUAUGAUAUCACUCUGUUAAUUUAUUUAUGCAGUAACAUCAUCUUUCUUCUGACUCUGCUCUUCCUUCAAAAUGUUGACUAGGGAGCUUGGCAUUGGAAUCGUUGCCUACAGUCCUUUAGGACGAGGAUUCUUUUCUGUUGGCUCCAAGUUGGCGGAGAAUUUCUCAAAGGAUGACUUCAGACAGGUCUGUUUCUGCUGGUCGACAUAAUUAGAUGCUCACAGUGACUGUCAUUCUCAUUGAAGUGCUGGAAACCUGUUCUUGUGGUAUAAAGAAAAGUUUCUGGAUGGGAUGAAUAAAACUUGGUGACACAAAUGCAUCACGUUCUUAUAUGUCUUCAAUCCAGCACUCGCCAGACAUACUACCUCUUUUGAUUCUAGAUAGAUGUAAAAGCACAAGUAAUGGCUUUAAUGAGCCUGAAAGAGGUAGGUUCCCGGAUUCUCAUUCUUUUGGGAAUGAAUAAAAAUAGGUUUAUUUGUAAGUUGCUCUGUUUCCAAGUCUUCCCACCAUUUGCUAAUCACUAUCCUUUCUCCACUUUUCGCCCACCCUUUUUCUCUCAUCUUCCUUCACAAGAUUAGCAAUAUUUCCUCAAAAGAACCGACACCAGUAUUGGGCCUCAGCCCUCCAUCCUUUUUUAUUCUCAUCUUUCUUCACAAGAUAAAUUGUAUCUUGACACAACCAUUUCUUGAGUGAAAACUCCCAAACACCUUUCUUAUGGAAGUUUUGGGAUCAAGUUGUGUAUUACUUCCUGCCAUUAGUUUUGGGCGAGUGAAGUAGCUAUUUUUCUUCGUAGCUAAAAGAGCUUUGCAUCUGAUAAUAUUCAUCUACACAUCAUCUACAUUUGUGAUUUCUUUCUCUAUGUGACUAAUGGUACCAUCACAUGAACAAUACUUAGAUUGCGGAUUUGGUUUCUGUUUUCACAUCUUACAUCAAACCCAUUAGCCUUGUGUGGUAGUUGCUGGAUCACUUAAUGAUUUGGGAAAAGAUAUUUUAAUCAUUUCAAGAUAAUCUUUAACUGAUGAUGCUUUUCCAGAUACACAGCGAUUGUGCACUUCCAAAUGCUUAUUAUGUCAAGUAAAAGACAAUCUGAUGGCAUGCAAUGCAACCACUUUUGCUCUUGUUGCGGUAGAAUUUGGCGUUAAAAGGAAAAUGAUAGUUGCUUAUAUGCUUUCUGCUGAGACAUUGCUCUAUGUUAUGCAGUACCUACCAAGGUUACAGCCAGAGAACUUGGCUCACAACGCCAAGUUAUUUGACCGAGUGAAUGAAAUUGCACAAAGAAAGGGAUGCACCCCAUCGCAGUUAGCCCUCGCCUGGGUACACCACCAGGGUGAUGAUGUUUGCCCGAUUCCCGGCACAACCAAGAUCGAGAAUUUCAACCAGAACAUUGGGGCUCUGUCAGUGAAGUUUACACCAGAAGAGAUGGCUGAGCUCGAAUCGAUUGCUUCUGCGGACAAUGUCAAGGGUGACAGGUACGAUAGCAGCGUUCCUACAUGGGAAAACUCCGACACUCCACCUCUUUCUUCAUGGAAACCUGCCUAGAAACAUGUCUGCUUCUGGUGCUGCAUCUUUGAUAUGCAGAGUUUGAGCAUUUGCUGCUGAGGUAAUUUGAGGCUAUGUUGUGUGGCUGUUAUAAGUACGUGUAAUAAAAGAGUUCGUUAUCUUGUAAUAAAAUCUGAACUCCAGAGAGUGACUGUUUUCGUUUUGUACAUGUGACAUUCAAUAUGAGAAGAUUAUAGAUGUGUACUAAGCUUAUUGAGGAAAGAUCACUCGAGAAACACGAGAGUUAGUUGAAUACUGUGAGAUAUUUGUAGGACUACUGUCAAUUACUCUAAAAACUUAAGCUGUAUGAAUGUGUGAAUAUUCUAAUAUUCUCUCAGAUGCUUAGUUUGGUCUUUUAUCUAAUACUAAGCAUGCAAAUUUAAUUGAGGAGACAAAUGGAGUAUGGAAAGAUUUAAACUUGGGACCUUCAACUCUGAUAUCAUGUAAAAUUUAAUCGUAUGAGAUUUUAUGAUAUUGCUAUCAACUAUUUUAAAAUCUUAAGUACAUAUUUCUGGUCCUCUCAUCCCCUAGCUUUGUGUUUAUAGACAAGACUGACAGCCAGGAAUUAGUUGCCAGUCAUCACAUUGUGUACCUCCACAUUAAUGGACUAUUCCUCCAGAAAAUAUAGAGUAUACAUUGAUGGACAUGUGCAGGUGCCCGUAAAACUUAAGGAAGAAGAAUUAGGAAGAAGAAUCCUCAAGGGGUGGAACUCCUUAAUGUCACAUCCUAUAUUCCCACCUAGGAAGAAAAAGAUAUGAAGGGAAUUAGGAGACCUUUAGUGGGAAAGGUAAAUAUUAUGUCAAGAUUUUGGUUCUGACUAUCUUAGAAUAGACAUAUAUAGUAGUCUCGUGCACUUAGAAUAAGAAAGUGGAGUGUCCAACCUCCUGCUAGGUUGCCUAAGGAUACACAUGGCAAUGAGUCCCUGAACAUAAGCCUAAUGUAUAGCGUCGUUCAAUUUUUAAUUUAUUCAAUAUAGUCUAUAAACGUUAGUCCAAUAUGCAAUGUAGACUCUGUAUUUUUUAUUUGUUCAAUCUAAUCCCUAAACUUUCGGUAUAUGUUUAAUUUGGUCCUUAAAUUAUGAUAAAAUGUUCAAUGUUUCCCUGAUUUUGAAUUCAUGGAGAGAUUACAUUUAACAUUUUCAUAGAUUUAAAUGAUUACAUUGAACAAAUUGAACAAAUUAAAAAUUAAAGGACUAUAUUGCAUAUUGAGUGAAAAUUUAUGGACCAUUUUUGUCAUUAUUCCCAUCACAAAAAUAGAACAUUUAACAAGGAAAAAAAAUCUAUACAUAGAUAAUAGAGAUACAUAGCAAUAAAUAUGUCAUGAAAAUAAUUAAAUCUACAAAAUAUUUAAUACCUUCAUUAUACGAAAAACGAGGUGGCUGAGGAUUGCGGCCUCCAGUCCAUCCCCCAAUUUUUCCAUUCACAUAACUUCAAAGUCGUGCAAAACUAUUAUUGAUGAUUACUCAAUCCGGACUUGCCUUUUGAGUCGCACAUUGUUAAUUUUGUUAGCAAAAAUUUUAUCAUGCACAUAUCACAAUUUUUCAACAUUGUGCAAUCAAUUCCUGAAAGUUCUGAAAUUGCAGAGUUAUGUAAUAUGAUAUAAACCUUUAUUCUUUCACGACUCCUAGUUAUGAUUAUUUUUAGGACCGUGCGAUUUUCAUUCCAAAUUUUGUUUUUCACAAGUCCUUUUACAUCGUUUUUCUUCUGAUCAUAUUACAUCCGCUAUCCCUCCUUUCGUUCGAUUGCUUGCUUUUCUUUUCUUGCAAGUCUCAUGUUGUUCUUUCUUUGCUAUUAUUGUAAUGACAUAAAGUAGUUUUUAAAUUUUGACUCAAUAUAUAAUUUGAAUGUGAUUUCUGGACUUUAUCCUAGAGUUGAUUUUCCUUGCUUUGUUGUCUCCCCUUUCGGCUCAUGCUGACCAGCCAUUUGUACCCCAUUCCUCUUCUUCUUACUCUGUUUUCGAGCUUUCGUCCACCCUUUCCUUUCCUUGCUGACCAUCUGAGGGAAGACGAAGAGCUGGGCUCUCUCUUCUCUAAAGAAGAGUCGCAGGACGUGCAUUCGAACCUGCAAUAAUGUCUCUCCUCAUUGAUUUUUGCCCCGAAAAUGUCUGUCUUCCAGCUGUUCGAUAAAAUGCCUCUGAGAAAAGUGUCAUUGGGUUGGCUUGUUCGGUUGCUCUAUUUGCUUUCGUUAUAUUUGUCUUUCAGGACGGGGACAGUAACUUCGUCUUCGAGGGAAAACCAUACGGAGGAUGCCUUUGUCCGGCGGCGCGAGAACGACGGGGAAGAAGGUUCGGGCACGGGUUCUUCCGUCGGGUAACCGCCGAACGACGGCACGGCGGACUCCGGAAUCUCGCCGGCAAGCUUGUUGUGGGAUUCAGUCGAGAGUAGGUGACGAGAGCCUGACGUCAGCACGCGCGCCUUUUUGUAGACCCGUUGACUUUUCACCGCCGGCAGCUUCGUUGUCGCGUCGGUUCAGUGGAGGAAGUGAGCGAGCGAGCAAGCUCUCGGACCGUUUCUUCUCCGCGCUCUCUUCUCGCAUCGACCUCGAGAUAGGCGGCGGCGGCGAUGGCGAUGGCGUCGGCGGCGGUGAGGAGGAUCAAGCUGGGGUCGCAGGGCCUGGAGGUCUCGGCGCAGGGGAUGGGCUGCGCGCGCAUGUCCCCCUUCUCUGGCCCCCCCAAGCCCGACCCCGACAUGAUCGCGCUCAUCCGCCACGCCGUUGGCUCCGGCGUCACCUUCCUCGACACGGCCGACGUCUACGGCUUUAGUGCCAACGAAGUCCUCAUCGGAAAGGUUGGUUUUUUGAGAUAUUGAGUCGCGUCUCCAUUCUAAAGGUUUCGUCUUGUUAGAUCAACUAGCUGACAGUCGUCGCAGAUAAUUCUGUAAUCUGAUCGAUUUCGGUGCUCGUGUGUGUUAUAAAGCUUAGUCUCAGCUUCUGCAUGAUGUAGAUAUGCUACAGUCAUGCCGAAUUCUAAGAUCCUGCAUCUCGAUUUCCGAAUUUCGGGGUCUUGUUGUGGUGAUUUGGUGUGGAUUUUGAGCAGGCACUGAAGGGAGGGGUGAGAGAGAAGGUGGAAUUGGCGACCAAGUUCGGGCUCUGCUAUGCAGAUGGAAAGUGGGAUGUCCGGGGCGAUCAAGUGUACGUGAGGGCGGCCUGCGAGGACAGCUUGAAGCGUCUCGACGUCGAUUGCAUCAACCUCUACUACCAACACCGUAUCGACACUCGCGUCCCCAUCGAAGUCACUGUAUGGAUCCCUCAUUAAACCUUUCCCCCUUUUGAGACUUUCUCUGAGCCAUGUGAUGAGUUGUUAAACUAGAUUCGUGUUGAUGAUGCAUCCUCGCGUCGUUAAUAGUUUGGGGGAUCUUGUGACAGAUUUAACUAUUUCCUUGCCUUUGACUGGUAAGGUUUUGUUAAAUGAGAUUUUGAUAUUCGAGAUCGGGAUGCAGCACGGUGUUGUUAAAGAGGUUGUGGAGCCUAGUCUUUUCAGUGGCUGAGCUUUUUGCCUUAUGGGCAUCUUUUACAAGUUAAGGGUCAACAAGCAUGAAAAUUAUUCUGGAUAUUCCUUCAAAAUGAAAGGGCCAUGGGCGUUCAUCCUAAUUUAUGUAAGUGAAUAUCGCAUUGAAAGUUGUUUAUGGACUUCCUGUAAAGACCUUUGAUGGUUGACAGAUUAUUGUGAAAUGAGACUGAUAGUUGAAAUGCUAUUUUUGUUUGCCCUCUUCUGUGAUAGAUUAGAGAAAUCUUACUCCGUUAACUUAAUUCUUCUGUUAUUUGCCCUCUUUUGUGAUAGAUAUAUGUCCGUUAACUUAAUGUCCAGUGACUUUUUUGUUGCAUUGAGAUGCAUGGGGAUCUACUCAUCCUUGCUAAGAACUGCCUAGUCAAGACGUAAUGUUUGAAUAGUGAUGUGAUAAAUGUGCAUAAACUUCUGGGCCUUAAUAUGUACGGUCUUGACUGUUGUUGUUGUUGUUGUUGUUGUUGUUGUUGUUGUUGUUUUGUCAUGUGAAUAUUUGAAGAUCGGGGAGCUAAAGAAACUCGUUGAAGAGGGCAAAAUCAAGUACAUCGGCUUAUCCGAGGCCUCUGCAUCAACAAUCAGAAGAGCACAUGCUGUUCAUCCCAUCACAGUGGUGCAAUUGGAGUGGUCACUGUGGUCAAGAGAUGUGGAGGCAGAGAUCAUUCCCACAUGCAGGUAAAGGAAUCACCUCAUUAGUUUGUUUAUGCAGAGCAACAGCUUUUUUCUGAUGCUGCUCUCCUUAAAAUGGUGACCAGGGAGCUUGGCAUUGGAAUUGUUGCGUACAGUCCUUUAGGACGAGGAUUCUUUUCUGUCGGUUCCAAGUUAUUGGAGAAUUUCUCUGAGGAUGACUUUAGACAGGUUUGUUUCUGCUGAUCAAACAUAACUAGAUGCUCACAGUGACUGUCAUUCCUAUUGAAGUUCUGGGAACUACGAGUUCUUGUGGUAUACAGAAAAUGCAUCUGGGUGGGAUGUUUAACAAUUGGUGACACAGAUUCUUUAUAUUCCUAUAUUUCUUCUCCGGCACUAGCCCCACACCCACCUCUCUGAUUCCACAUUAGUGUAAAAUCAUAACUAAUGGCUUAAUGAGCCUGAAGAGGCAGUUUCACGACUCUCAUGCUUUUGGGAAUAAGCAGAUAUAGGUUCAUUUGUAUGCUCCUCUGUUUCUCAGCCUUCACCAUUUGCUAUUCACUAUCCUUUCCCCACUUUCUACCUGUCCUUUUUCUCUCAUCUUUCUUCCCACGAGGACAAUUCUCCUCCAUUUGGCCGACACUGGUGUUGAGUCUUAGGCCUCCGUUCUUCUUUUUCUCAGCUUUCUUUAUGGGAUAAAUUAUAUCUCGACACACCAGUUCUGGAGUGGGGACUACCUAACACCCUUCUCAUGGAAGUUUUGGGAUCAAAUUCCUAUCUGACAUAAAGCCAAUUGUGGAUUACUUCCCGCAAUUUGCAUUUGACUAGUCAUUGCGCUGGGAAAGUGAGUAGCUAUUGCUUUUUAGCUAAAAAGGGCUUUACUUCUGAUAAUGUUUCUCUACACAUCAUCUAGAUUUGUGAUUUGUUUCUUUUAAGUGCGAUAAAUGGAUACCAUCCAUGGAGAAAACUUAGAUCGAUUUUGUUUCUGUUGUCAUGUCUUACAGCAAAACCAUCAGCCUUGUGCAGUAGUUUCUAGAGCACUUUGCUCCACAUUUUGAAUGCUUAUGAUAUUGAACAACAUUUUCUAAUCCUUUCAAGAUGAUCUUUUACUAAUCAUGCUUCUCAUAUCAAGACAAUCUGAUGACCACUUCUAGUAUUGUUUGCCCUUGUUGCAGUAGAGUUUUGUGUUAUAAAGAACAUGAUAAUAGCUCAUAUUCUCUCCACUGAGACAGUGCUCCAUAUUAUGCAGAAACUACCGAGGUUCCAGCCAGAGAACUUGGCUCACAACGCGAAGUUAUUUGACCGAGUGAAUGAAAUUGCGCAAAGAAAGGGAUGCACCCCAUUGCAGUUAGCCCUUGCCUGGGUACACCACCAGGGCGAUGACGUCUGCCCAAUUCCCGGCACAACCAAGAUCGAGAAUUUCAAUCAGAACAUCAGAGCUCUAUCGGUGAAGCUUUCUUCAGAAGACAUGGCUGAGCUUGAAUCGAUUGCUUCCGCGGACAAUGUCAAGGGCAGCAGGUAUGAUAGCAGCAUCUCUACAUGGGAAAACUCCGAUACUCCACCCCUUUCUUCAUGGAGCGCUGCUUAGAAAGCACGUCUCCUUCUGUCUGUCUCCGCAUCUUUGAUGUGCAGAGUUUGAGCAUUUGCUGCUGAAGUAAUUUGAGGCUAUGCGGUGCGGCUGUAUAAGCAUGUGUACGAAGAGAGUACUUAUUAUCCUGUUAGUAAAGUAAAAUCUGAACUGCAAAGCGUAAACGUUAACAUUUUGUAUAAGCAACGUUCACUAUGAGAAGAUCAUAAUAAGCUUACUGGGAAAUGAUCACUCAAGAAAGAUGGACCGAUGGCUCUCCAUAAGGCUUUGUCUUCGGGUCGGGAUCGGAGUUAUAGAAAAGUAGAAUGUGAAGCAAUGCUGAUGGACCCCGACCACCUAGAUCGCCGGCACGUGUCACUCCAUGUUGCUUCUCUUGAAAGUUGUCGAAGCCUCCUAAGGCACAAUUGGGUGAGCCUCGAUUGAUCAUUAUACUAUGCGGGAAGGGGAAUGCGUGUGCGGACUUCGUUGCCAAUUGCUAUGCACAUGGAGUUUCAUCUCCUAUUUUUCAAUUUCUCUCUCUCUCUCUCUCUCUCUCUCUCUCUCUCUCUCUCUCUCUCUCUCUCUCUAAUAGUAAAGAAAGAAAGGCCGCCUCACACUCAAAUUCCGUUUAUUCUGCCAAAAAUAAAUAAUUUAGAAAAUAUUUUCUUAAAUAUGGUCACCAUAUUAUUUAUAAAAUGGUUAAUAUUAUGAAAAAUUCUAAACUGGAUAAAUUUAUGCCAAAUUAAUUUUUGAGUCCACAAAAAUCAUAAUUUAUGCAAAUGUGACAAAUUACCUUAAAUUAAUUUUUGGACCAUCAAAAAACCUAAAUUAAUAUAUUUGUGAUAACUUUUUCCUAAAUUGAUAUGGAUUUCCGUUUGAACUUGUUAUAUCAAUUGAAUUAUUGUCAAUAUUCAUCAAACUCAGUAAUUUCAUAGUAAAAUUUAACAGAAAUUACUAGAUGAUAAAUAUGUUAUGGAUAUACUAGUUUAGGGUUUUUAAUGACCCAAAAAUUAGUUUAUGAUAAGUUUAUCACAUGUGUAUCAGUUUGGGGUUUUUUGUGAUAAAAAACCUAAUUUUGAGUAAAUUUGUCACAAGGGUAUUAGUUUGGAGAUUUUCGUGAUAUUAUCCCUAAGUCACUAGGAAAAUAUUUUCAUUGUCCAUAAAAAUAUUUGGAUAUAAAUUGUUGUUGAUAAUGUAAAAAAGUUUUCUUUCACUAAUUAUUUCAAAUGAUACAAUUGAUUUAUUUUCAAAAAAAUGUUUUCAAAAUCGUUCAAUUUCUAUGAAAAAAACAUAACGUUUGAAAAAACAAAAUUCUUCCCGACAAAAAGUGUGGAUCUGUGCAUUUGGUCCUUUUUUUUUUUCUUUUUAGCUUGGACUUUUAUCACUCCGCCGGGAAAAUUCCCAAAAUCUUGGAUUCAUUCAACCAACAUUUCUUGAAAUUUCAAACGUUAGUUUCUAGUUCGUGCAUACCAAUUGGGCCUUGUCUAGUCAAAAGCAUCAAGCGUAUAGUCCUCAUCAAAUGGGGAAAAUGAGUUUUGCCAUGAAAUGUGAAAAUCAAAGAAAGAGUACAUGUAACAAAAAUUAAGGAAAAUUAUUUGGUCCAUUAGAAAAAUUACCCAAAAAAUCCUCAGUAUAAUGCACUUUUAUUAAUUCAAUUCUAAAUCUUUCAAUUUUAUCAAUUGAAUUUUAAACAUUUUCAUUUUUUGCCAAGUGAAUCCAUCAUGUCAAUUUUGGUCAGAAAUUGCUAAGGUAGACACCAAUCAUUCAACAUGAAUAGUUUUUAAUAAUAUUUUAACUUUUUGUCGAAUUAUUUUUUUCUUUCUUUUUUUCCAAACCCUAGGUUGGCAAGGGCCAGUGACCCUUGUUUGGCAUGGGUGAAGGCAUUGCUGCUCUCGCUUGCAAGGGCAUUGAGGGGAGGGCGUUACAACCCUUGCUAGCCAAUUGGCGAGGGUUGUAGCCCUCGCUUGGUUCCAGAUGAGGGCCUCACACCCUCGCUAGUCCAAGGUUAGACGUAAAAGAAAAAGAAAAAGAAUAAAACAUUAUUCAAAAUUGUCCUUAUUAGCAUUGGUUGUACCACAUAGGAUGAUAAAUGUCUAUGUUAGCGAUUUCCAACCAAAAUUAAUUGAAUGGACUUAAUUAAAAAAAUGUGAAAAUAUUUAGAAUUUAAUUAGCAAACUUGAAAUGUUUAUAAUAGAAUUGACAAAAGUACAAUAAAUUUAGGACUUUUUGAAUAAUUUUCCCAUGUGAUAAUAACCUUUGCAGAGUCGGCGCAAUCAGUUGAAUAGUUUGGGGAUUUCCAGGUUAGAAGCUUGAGGUUAUCGGUUGAAUUCUCACAACUCACAUGUUAGGGGUGAGUGGUUGCACGUUUCGUUGAGAUUCUAUAUGAAGCUUGAAACUUACUUGUUGGAACACAUUUCCUAAUUUUUGGAACCUUGAAUUUACCUUACAUACUUAGGAACCUAGAAUCUACCUUGUCAUAGGUAUUAGGUUCUACCUAUACUCUGUACUCUUAAUGACUAGCAUUUACUACAAUCCACUAAUAACAAUUCAUAUAUAAUACACGAAAAUUAUGAAAUAUAAACAAAUAAAAUUUUUAAUUAUAGAUAUUAUUGAAAAUGGAAGCUCGAAUUAGCAGUUUUAGAUUGCAUACUUAUUAUUAGAGGCUAUGAAAUGUCACAAGAUCACAUGAAGACAUUAAAUAAGAAAAACAUAAAGAAUUAUUUCAGAUUCCAAGUUUCAGAUUUCUCACAUGUUGAAACAAAUUCUUCAAUUUUUAGAAGUUAAAACCUACUAUGUAUGUUCUAAAAUUGGAACAAGACUGGUUCUCAUUAAUUCGAUUCUCAGUACCUACCACGCAUAAUCUAUUAUGAGCAACAAACAUAGACUACAUUCAUGAGAUUACGACAUUUUUCCGGAGCCGUCGACGUCGGUGGCUCCGGAUUAUAAUAAAAUAAAAAUCGGAUAUAACGGGCAAGUUCACUAAAAUUGAAAGUGGACACAUAACAUAAUCGUCUUUGUAACUUUCUAAGUAGUGCCGUACUGUUGGGUGAUUUCGCCAAAAAGCCGCGUACCUGUCAUUUCCGACCAAUGAAUGAGGAAUCGAGGGCAGCUCCACCGAUCUUGCAGGUAAGUGCUGUUUUCAGAGCGCUCGUGGACAAGACAGCAUGGAAUCUCCCGCCUCCCUACUAUAAAGCUCGGCUCGCCCCAUCACUUUCAUUAUCGUCUUAGUGCCGAAAUUUUCUUCAUUUUCUCUAUUAUUUUCUAUCAUGUUAUCAAUGUCGUUCUUCCUCGCCUAGCUUCCAUAUUUUAGAGUUGCCUUUCGUUUUAUCUUGGUUUUUUUUUUUUUUUGGUUAUUACAAGUCCUCAUCCUGCAAUACAAAUCAGCAAAUCGAUUAGGAAUUCAAUUUUAAUUUUUUUCGAUACCAAGGCAAAAAUUAAGAACACUGAAAGCUCCAUGAUAGAGGAGACACCUACCUCACCUCAAAAUCAAGCCCCAUCGCCGUCGGAUUCGAUUAUAAUUUGGGACAAGAUAUUUUAAUCAUUUCGAGAUAAUCUUUAACUGAUCAUGCUCUUCUAGAUACACAGCGAUUGCGCACUUCCAAAUGCUUAUUAUGUCAAGUAACAUGACAAUCUAAUGGCAUGCAGUUCAACCAAUUUUGCACUCGUUGAUGUAGAAUUUGGCGUUAAAAGGAAAAUGAUAGUUGCUCGUAUGCUCUCUGCUUAGACAUUGCUUUAUGUUAUGAACUACCUACCAAGGUUGCGGCCAGAGAACUAAGCUCACAAUGCGAAGUAAUUCGACCAAGUGAAUGAAAUUGCACAAAGAAAGGGAUGCACCCCAUUGCAGUUAACCCUCGCCUGGUACACCACUGGAGUGAUGACGUUUGCCCGAUUACCGGCACGAUCAAGAUCGAGAAUUUCAACCAGAACAUUGGAGCUCUGUCAGUGAAGCUUUCGCCAGAAGAGAUGGGCCAAGCUCAGAUCGAUUGCUUAUAUGGAUAAUGUCNNNNNNNNNNNNNNNNNNNNNNNNNNNNNNNNNNNNNNNNNNNNNNNNNNNNNNNNNNNNNNNNNNNNNNNNNNNNNNNNNNNNNNNNNNNNNNNNNNNNCCUCGCGCUUAUGGAAGAGUAAUCACGAAGACAUCACAAUAGUUCAAUUGACGUUAGCAGGUACGUCUUCCCUACAUGGUAAGGGUCGUCACUGGGCGUGCAAUUGACGUAAGCACGUGCGUCUUCACAGCCACUACCGCUCCCCUCCUACUCAUCGUAGCUUCUGCCACUCCCCUCCUAUAAAUCUCGGCUCGCCCGACGCCUUCGCCAUCGUCUCGGUGCAGUGCAGGGAACGAUCGAGCUCGAGCUAGACUACGGCAAUGGCGGCAUCGACGACGACGACGGUGAGGAGGAUCAAGCUGGGGUCGCAGGGCCUGGAGGUGUCGGCGCAGGGGCUGGGCUGCAUGAGCAUGUCCGCCUUCUACGGCCCUCCCAAGUCCGAGCCCGACAUGAUCGCCCUCAUCCACCACGCAGUCGGCUCCGGCGUCACCUUCCUCGACACCUCCGACGUCUACGGUCCUCACACCAACGAAAUCCUCCUCGGAAAGGUCGUUCUCUCAGUCUCUCUUUUGCCUCUGCAUGAAUUAUAUAUGCUUAUGGUUUUACGGAACUUAGCUUCAUCGAGCAGGAUGCUCUGAUCCUGCGCCUUGGUUUUCUGAUUUCGGGGUUGAUUUUGAGCAGGCACUGAAGGGAGGGGUGAGGCAGAAGGUGGAAUUGGCGACCAAGUUCGGAGUCAGAUACGCGGACGGGAAGAGGGAGAUCCAGGGCGAUCCGGCGUACGUGAGGGCUGCUUGCGAGGCCAGCUUGAAACAUCUCGACAUCGAUUGCAUCGACCUCUACUACCAGCACCGUAUCGACACUCGCGUCCCCAUUGAAGUCACUGUAUGGAUCCCUUAUCAAACUUUCACCUCGCUUGAGACUUUCUCUGAGCCAUAUGAUGCAUCGUCAUGUUGUUACAAGUUUGUUGAAUUUUGUUAAAUGACACUUAAGUUCAGCUGAUAGCAGAGUUCAAGAUGCGGCACGGUGUUGUUCAAGGGUUGUGGAAUUUAGUAGUUUAGUGGCUUGAGUUUUCGUUUUGUGGGAAUCUUUUACAAGUUAAGGGUCAACAAGCAUGGAAAUUAUUCGAAAUCUUCCUUUGAGAUGAAAGUGCUCCGGGGUUCAUCCUGAAUUUAUAUACGGGAAUCACAUAUAAAGUUGUUCCUGGACUUUAUACGGAGACAUUUGAUUCUUGACAUAUUGUGAAAUAUGACAAGUACUUGGAAUACUUCUUUUAUUUGCUCUCUUCUGUGAGAGAUUCAAGAAAUCUACCUCCGUUAACUCAAUACCUUGUGGGUUUUUUGUCGCAUUGAGAUGCAUGAUAAUUGAGGGAUCUAGACAAAUAAAAAGCUAAUGACAAAAAUAAUUUUCUGGAUCUUAACAUGUAAGAUCUUGAUGUUGUUGUUCUGUCAUGUGAAUAUGCACAGAUCGGAGAGCUAAAGAAGCUCGUUGAAGAGGGUAAGAUAAAGUACAUCGGUUUAUCCGAGGCCUCUGCAUCAACAAUCAGAAGAGCACAUGCUGUUCAUCCCAUCACAGCAGUGCAAUUGGAGUGGUCGCUUUGGUCAAGAGAUGUGGAGGCGGACAUCGUUCCAACGUGCAGGUAGGAUAUCACUCUGUUAAUUGUUUAUGCAGCAACAACAGCUUCCUUCUGACUCUGCUUUUCCUUUAAAAUGUUGACUAGGGAGCUUGGCAUUGGAAUUGUUGCCUACAGUCCUUUAGGACGAGGAUUCUUUUCUGUUGGCUCCAAGUUGGUGGAGAAUAUCUCUAAGGAUGACGUCAGACAGGUCUGUUCCUGCUUGUCAACAUAAUUAGAUGCUUACAGUGGCUGUCAUUCUUAUUGAAGUGCUGGAAACCUGUUCUUGUGGUAUAAAGAAAAAGUAUCUGGAUGGGAUGAAUAAAACUUGGUGACACGAAUGCUUCGUGUUUUUAUAUGUCUUUAAUCCAGCACUUGCCAGACAUCCCACCUCUCUCGAUUCUAGAUAAAUGUAAAAUCACAAGUAAUGGCUUUAGUGAGCCUGAAAGAGGCAGUUUCCUGGAUUCUCGUCCUUUUGGGAAUGAAUGCAUAUAGGUUUAUAUGUAAGUUGCUCUGUUUCCCAGCCUUCCCAACAUUUGCUUAUCACUAUCCUUUCCCCACUUUCCACCCACCCUUUUUCUCUCAUCUUUCUUCACAAGAUUAGCGAUAUUUCCUCGAAAUAACUGACGCCAGUAUCGGGCUCUGGCCCUCCGUCCUUUUUCUUUCUCAUCUUUCUUCACAAGAUAAACUAUAUCUUGACACAACCAUUUCUUGAGCGAGGACUCCCGACACCCUUCUUAUGAGAGUUUUGGAUGAAGUUCCCAUCUGACAUAAAGCCAAUUGUGUAUUACUCCCCGCCAUUAGCGUUUGACUAGCGAUAGUGCUGGGCAAGUGAAGUAGCUAUUUUUCUUUGUAGCUAAAACAGCUCUGCGUCUGAUAACAUUCUUCUACACAUCAUCUACAUUUCUGAUUUUUUGUUUUAUGUGUGACUAAUGGUAUCAUCACAAGUACAAAACUUAGAUUGUCGAGUUUGUUUCUGUUUUCACAUCCUACAUCAAACCCAUCAGCCUUGUGUGGUAGUUGCUAGAUCACUUCGCUUGACGUUUCUAAUGCUUAUGAUUUGGGACAAGAUAUUUUAAUCAUUUCAAGAUAAUUUAUAACUGAUCAUGCUUUUCCAGAUACACAACGAUUGCACACUUCUAAAUGCUUAUUAUGUCAAGUAACAAGACAAUCCGAUGGCAUGCAAUGCAACCACUUUUGCACUUGUUGCUAUAGAAUUUAGCCCUAAAAGGAAAAUGAUAAUUGCUCAUAUGCUCUCGGCUGAGACAUUACUCUAUGUUAUGCAGAAGCAACCAAGGUUCCAGCCAGAGAACUUGGCUCACAACACGAAGUUAUUCGACCGAGUGAAUGAAGUUGCGCGAAGAAAGGGAUGCACCCCAUCUCAGUUAGCCCUCGCCUGGGUACACCACCAGGGUGACGACAUUUGCCCGAUUCCCGGCACAACCAAGAUCGCGAAUUUCAACCAGAACAUUGGAGCUCUGUCAGUGAAGCUUACACCGGAAGAGAUGGCCGAGCUUGAAUUGAUUGCUUCUGCGGACAAUGUCAAGGGUGGCAGGUACGAUAGCAGCGUUCCUACAUGGGAAAACUCCGACACUCCACCUCUUUCUUCAUGGAAACCUGCCUAGAAGCAUGUCUGCUUCUGGUGCUGCAUCUUUGAUGUGCAGAGUUUGAGCAUUUGCUGCUGAAGUAAUUUGAGUUUAUGUUGUGUGGCUGUUAUAAGUA